GAAACAUACAUCAAACUCAAUAGGGGCUAAUCAAAUUCCGUAAGGAUAAAGCUGAACGCCAUACUGCUCCUUAUCCUUGAAUUCCCGUAGCUUUUGUCUUAGCUCUGGCUGAGGCCACCAGCAAUCGAACUUGUUUAAGCUCUUUAUGCCCCAGAGCUGUUCAGGCAUCUUUUUCAAGUAAGCACAAGGGUUGAUAAUCAAGCAUUCUAGUUUUGGCAUGGCUCCAAUCCCCAUAGUCCACUCCCCUAGCCAUAGCAUUGAUUUCAGGUGCAAUACCUUGAGAUUUGGAAAACCAUCAGAGCCACAAGUCAGCUUCCUACCUGAAUACGAAUUUUGCUUCAGUUUGAGCACUUGAAGAAGCGGCAGCUUUUCUAGUGUCGGCAUGGGAUCAUCCAUUAGGUCAGUAUUAGAAAAACUCAAGUGGGUUAGACUAUGAGGAAAUAGGUAUUCAGCAAGGACGAUUUUGGAGAGCCGUGGCAUCUUGCUUUCAUUCGCCAGCUUCAAUGACUUGAGAAAGCUCAAUCUGCAGAGACUUUUGGAAAACAAAGAUUGAUUAUAACUUAAAUCUCCCCGUAUUCGGAGAUUUUGAAGAUUAGGUAGCCUGCCCAAUAUAUCUUCAGUACAGCAGCAAGGAUGCAAGGCCGAAAUGAAAUUUAGAUUUUCCAGAGAGCCACAAUAUUUUCCUGGAUGCGCAGGAAGUGUGAUUGACCCAAAAUUUAGAUGCCUGAGUUUGUUCAUCUUCCAAAAUUCAUCUGCUGUAUGAUCUAUGUAGCUAAAGGGCAUGUCUAGGGUGUAGAGGUUUAGAAGAUUGCUUAAUAAUGAGGAAGGCAGGCUUUUGAGGGAAGGGAUAUUCAACUUCAAAUAUCUCAAAAGAAAUAAAUUUUCAAUUUCGGAUGGAUAUUGGUUGAGAACAAGAGAUCCCAAGUCCAAUAUUCUGAGAAGUUUGAACAUUCCACAAAUUUUCUCCCAAUCUAUGGGGUCAAAGUGGCAGCUUUCUGGAGAGCAGCACAAUAAAGAAUGCAGUUGCGAGUCAUAAUCAUCUAAGCAAUCAAAAUCACCCUCUCUUUCAACAGCGUUUAACCGUUUGGCUCUUUUUCCUGAUUCACUAUCGAUGGAAGGGGAAAAGAUGAAUUCCACCUCAGAAGAAACUGUGAACAACACGGGACGCCAACGACCAGGAAUAGAGCAUGUGUUGAUAGUGCCUCCGGCUUUUCUCUUCUUUGCUUCAACAAAGCCUUCCUUGAUAAGUUGUUCCAAGUAACUCUCAGCAGUUGCCUCACUAUUGUCUGGAAUGAAACCUUCAGCUAUCCACAACUGAUAUAACUGCCUGGUGGAUAUCUCUAGGUGUACGGGAAACACAGAUAAGUAGAUAAAACAAGGUUUCAAGCAAAACGGUAACAUGCAACAUUUGAAGUACCGAAGCACAAGGGGUAUCUCCACUGCUUCCCCUAUAUUUUCUUCUAAUGAGAUGCUUCCAUGAUAUAAGAUGAGGAAAGGCCAUCCUUGGUAUGUAGCUCUCAAUGGUCCUCCAGUGGGCACUAAAUCAAGCCGAAUGUUCUCUCCGUCUUCGAGCUGAAAUGAGGUGACCAUCUUAAUUUCAGUGAGUGUUAUUAAUACUCUACUUCUAUUCUGAUUAUCCGGGAGUAUUUCUCGAAUAAUAGCCCAUACUUCAAUGUUCCACACAUCAUCAAUCACAAUCAAAUACUGCUUGGUCAUUAGAUAUUCAUGAAGAAUAAUUUUUUUCAUUUCAUAAUUUUUAUCCUUCAUUUCACUCAACCUAGAUGAAGGCAUCAGAAACUUAAUAAUGAUAUCUAAUAUUUGGUCAGCAUCAUAUUCAUUGCUGUAAGGUUCUGUAAUCCAAGCGUGACAAUCAAAAUAAUGCUUCACAUAACUGCUGUUGUAAGCCUCUCCGGCGAAAGCCGUCUUGUCCAACCCAAUGCUAUCAAGUAUGGCCACCACUGAAAGCUGAGGUGGUCCCUCAAUCAAUAGAUCUAACAACUCCUCCAUUCUAUCAUCUAGACCCACCGUGUCCCUACUUUUAGAAGAUGAAGAUAUACCUGCUUCAGCUUUAAAAGUUUUGAUGCGAUCAAUGAUUUCGGAAUCCAUGUGCUUAAGUUGUUGCAUUCGUUGCUUAAUAUCAGUGAUUCUGCUUUGGAGUCCUUGCAGAGCAUCAAAAAUGUCCUUGCUGCCGCUGCUUUGACUCUUCUGUUGAGUGAUGCUGUUGAUGAAUGUGUCAAUGACCCUCUCAGAUUCAUACGUAAAGCAAUUGAUUUCAUCCAUAACGGUCGCCAGAUCUGGGUUUUCAAUUUCAUCUUCUCCGAUCUUUUCCAACAUAAGCAAGGAAGUUUCAUCUUCAAAUUCACUCAGCCAAGAAGUAACGAUUUCAACCUCCGCAUGAAGGUUGUGAAUAGGUAGUUUUGCAGCAUCAGGCAACGUGACUUCUUCACCAGCUAACACCCUUCUCAGCCUCUCUGAAAAUAGUCUGAAGUUGAUGUCCAUAUCUCCUCCUCUCUCAGAUUCACCCCGAAAUCAGUCCUAUAAAAGGACAUCGUCAAGAAGUUGAAUAUGCUUUAAAGCUCGCAAUUCAAACAUUAGUGCUGGCUCCCAUACCUCCCUUCUCUUAGCUAGUUCUCCAGUCAAGAAGUUGAAUCAAGAUCGUUGACUCUCAAAUUAGAACAGAUCAAGGCAGAAUCUUACAAUAAUCUCGUCUCCCAUAUGAUGAAAAAAGAAUAAAGCAGAGAAAAAUAAACAGGACAUCGUCAAGUAUCGAUCAAGACCAAUUUGUUUUAUACAUCCACUUUUAAGAAAGGAAGGGUAAAAACAAUUCCACUGGGACUAUAAAAGCUUGUCUGAAAAGAAAAGAACGGAGCAAGCACAAGAGCGUUAUCAAUUAUUUAAUAAUUAAGCUGUGGAAAAAUGCCAAAUCAUGUCUGGUGUUAAAUGUUAAAUUUAUUGCGAGACUUGCAUGUAUCUUGCAUGUAUCUAUAUCACAAAUAAAAUUUGUAUCCCAGGGUUAUAAAUGUAAAAUUACUCAAAUAAAUAUGCAUUCUUAAUCAUGUGUGAUGCUGUCUUAUUUCUUCAACCAGAUUUAGAGAAAGUACUAAAUCGUUUGUAAAAUUUUAUAGUUAAUAUAUGUUCAAUUUUCUUUUUAGCAUUCUUUUUUAAGAGAUGAAAAAUGAUAAAGAGUUCUAACAACGGGUGACAAAAAUAAUAGUAAAUUGUGUACUGUUACAAUGUUAAUUGAAAAAUAGUUAUAAUUUUUUAUUUAACAUUAUAAAUAAAAUCUAUAGUUGUUUUCUCACUACUGUAUCAUUUUUUGAUUCAAAUAUCAGUAUUAUAUGAACUCUUUGAAAGGAUUACAUCAUAUGACACUAUUUAUAAUUAUUUUCAUUUGAGCCCUUAGUGUUAAAAAUAUAACAAUCCAUCAAUGAAAUCAAUGAUAAUGGAAUUCUAAGUAGGAAUGGCAGAAAAAUCAAGUCUAGCUAGAGCUAGUUUUCUAAGUAUUCUGGCUGGUCUUGGGCUCCGGCUAAAAAGUCCGAACCCAGCUCGAAAGCCAAAAAAAUACUGAAAAUUUUAAAAAUUGUAUAAUUCCAAGCCUUAAAGACUUCUCCAAAUGUAUGGUACAACAUUGCAUAAUAGGACCAAUCACAUGGAGAUGAUUUGUACAUUAUUGUACACAAUUUUAGUAUGCAUAUCAGAAGAGAGGCAGCAAUCUUAGUUGAUACUUUUAUUUGACAUAUGAUGUAAGAAACGGAACAAAGAUUGUAACGUUACAAAUUUUGCUAUUCAGCAUCCAAAAUAUCACUAGAACUUGCAAUACAAGCUUUAAUCUCUUCAACAACCCGUCGAAUUGCGGCCAGGAACACAAACGCAGAGAUGGGUAUCAAGAUCGCAUUCGAAAUCGACUGACAGGGAUUGUCACAGUUGGCAUUGCUUUUACAAGUGACUGCUUUUGAUUCCGGUUGAGCAUCAACUGCCGGCAUGGAAAUAUCAAACAACACACCUGCAUAUAUAAAUGGCAAUCAAUUAAUUAGCCUAAUGCUAAUAACACGCCUGCAUAUAUAAAUGCCAGCCAAUUAGUUGUCAUAUUAUAGUUAAUUAUGCAUGCAUUAAAAAGAUGAGGAAAAUAAGAUUAAGGAACAAACAUGAGGCUACCAAGAGAGUGAUGAAAAAUGCGGAUUUAAGUUUAAGUUACAUAAUGUUUAUGUAAGCAAAAGUGCAAAACUGAGAGUCUGAGGAUAAUGAUAUUAUUAAAUUUAAUAUGGGUUUGGUUUGUAUAGAUUCAUGAGUUUCUCUAGACAUUAUAUAGGGGGGGGGGGGGGGGGGGGGGGGGAAUUUAAUCCACUUGACAACUAAAAAAUUCAGAAAUCAAACCUCGAUUUGACAAAUUAGAAAUUUAAAAAUUAAAUUUUUUUCCAUAUGCAGGCUCUCGUUUUUCUCUCUAUCACAACGGUAUAAUUGGAAUUAUUGUUAUGACAAUUUGAUUCUCUUUUCUUACAUGUUGCAGGAGUCAUGUCCUCCCGUUGAGGUGACAAAAUGACUAUGGAUUGUGCCCGAGUGGAGUACACCACCAGUAUGAUUAUCUCACUCCCUUUCGAGGUUUUGUUGCAGUAAUUUCUCAUCUUUUAUAGGGUACCCUGCUCUUCAUUGCUUCUGUAAAAGUCUUAUGAGCUAAUUGCUUCCGAAUCUUUAAAUUUCUUCAAUGAGGAACCUUUGUUUGGAAAAUCGAUUUUCAUCUGAUCCGAGAAGGUUGCUUUGAAGCAGAGAGCUUAUGAAAUGCAGCAUGCAAAAUCAUGACUACAAUGCAGUAGACUAAUUGUUAGCUCACUCUAAGCAAAGGCAACGUUCAUAAAAGAUGAAGAAGAGUUUCUAAUAUUUACCAACAUAACUGAUAGCAAGUGCACAGAAUAGAGCUAUCUGAACAUUCAGAAGCAUAAGAACAACCAAUGUAGCUGCAAAGAUGAGAUGUAAUUACUACUGUGAAGUCGACGAAAGAAUUCCACUAUUUAUCAACAGCUAGACUGUAGUAUAAUGGAAAGACCUGCCAAGGAAAGUUUAAAGCAAAACUUAUCCAGAGAAGGCAAGAACAUAAGUAUAGAAGCAGAAGUGCACACAUUCAUAUUUAGGGGUAACGAGAAAUGUAUCAUAAAUCACUUGCUCUAGCACAGUACUAUUUCAUGCUAAUUUUCUUGCUCGUUCUAUGGUUAGGACCCUUUGAGCGGAAAGAAAUCAAAUCACAAUGCUUAUUCUAGCUAGAAACUCCUGAAGUCCAUGCUUGAACCCUGUGUCGAUUGGUCAUAGACUCCAUAUUCUCCUCUCCCAAAAGUAUGACAUUUUUUUCUUCCACUGAUUAAUGGAACUUAAAACUGUUUUGCCACAAUCUUAGUCAUACAAACCCUUUCUCUUUACAUUUCUUAAGGUCAUCAGACCCAAGCCAGAACAUGUUUACUUCCUAGGAGAAAUCUUAAAUAUCUUAAUCAAUACGGAACUGUGUAGUUCAGACAGCAUUCCCUUGGCCAACUAGACGUAAAGAUUUGCAAUGUCCUAGUAAGUCUAUGAGUGGAACUAACAGUGCCCUUCCAAUACGGAAAAACAAUCAUCAAAAACAAUUUUUUUACCCCAUCAACCACAUACAGUAUAAGACUGUAGCAGGUUAUCUCAAUAUCGGCUGCCAUUUUGAUUCAAAGAAGAAAUAUUUGAGAACUCACCACAUUGUGCAAUGCGAACCAGAACCUGCCUAAUCACAGGAUGCCAAUCCCAGUUCCAUUUGUCACUACAGAACUUGAAAAAAUCCCAAAGUGCCAAACUUGAUAUCAACCCAACAAGAGCAAGUGGCAUCUGGUAUCUAUAAGAUGGAGACAGAGACAAUGUCACUAGACAGAUGAUACACAGAAAAAAAAAAAAAUGUAAUACAACUAACACACACAAUACUAUGAUUAAAAAAAUAUCUCCAUCAGUUAAAAACUAAACAAUGGAAAGGCGAGACUCUAUGAACUAAUGCCCUGAACCAGCACAAAUACCAAUUCUCCUGGAGUAUUUUAAGUAUUCAUAUAGUUGUUUCAAAGCACAGGAAAAAAAACAAACAACGCAAAAUUGCAAACUCAUAGUGUUGUUAUUUAUCAAUUGGAACCCAGAAAAAAAUAGCUGUAAUUUAAUUAUUCAUUUAAGCAGAUUGAAACCCUUACAAACACAGGUAAGCAAAUCAAAAUUAUCAUUAAAAAUCCAAUCAAGGCCACAUAAAUCUAAUCACAUCCAAAAGCAUCCCAAAAUCUCGUUCAAUAUUCAUACAACCACAUACAAAAACCAUUCAAAAAUUUAAUUUUUUUUAACUCAAAAUAAUAACUCAGAAAAGGAAACAAAAUUCUUACAGAGAGCAAGCAAAGAAGAGGAUGAACAAAGAAGCAUAAUUCCUGGCAUAACGUUUAACAUUCUCAUGAACUCUCAACUUAAGGGUGUGUGGGGAAGAUGGAAACGAGAAAGACCCAAGAGCCCCAAUAAACUCACGGGUCCAAGACGGGGUGUUGGCUGAGAAAUCAUCAGUGGUGAGUUUAGCAAAAGGGUUGGCGGUAAGAAGAGAGAUAAAGGUGUAUAAAUAAUGUAAAAGGCUGUGAGUUAAGGUCGUGGCUGUGGCUGUUUCUUUGGUGGAGGCUGUUGUGACGGCGGUGGCCGACGUGGUGGUGGCGGUGUCGAGGAUUUCGAGGUAGCCGGACUCGCGUAGCCAUGACUCGAAUGCUGGGUCGGGUACGUUUAGAGAUAACGGGUUGGAUGCGAAUACCUUCCCCAUUACAAAAAGCUAUCCAAUUUCGGUUGAAUGAGGGUCACUAAAUUAUCAAAAUAUUAAUAACUAAUUUUUAACAAAAUUCAUAUGAUAUGAUAUGAUGAUAUAGGCCUUGGUUAGUGGUUUUCUAAACAAUUUAUUAUUAUUAUUAUUCUCUUAAUCACUCCAAGUUUAAAUUUGGAAGAUGUAGGGGAUAGAAAUAAAUUAUAUUAGGAUUUGUCGAUUUGUCAAUAAAAACUUCAGUAUUAUAUGCUUAAUUUUUUUAAAGAAUUUUCUUUGAGUAUUGUUUUGAGUAAAUAAUUGUAAUUAAUUUAACAUGCUUAAGGACUUUUAGUAUUUUAAAGACCAUACAAAGUAUAACUUAAUUUUUUAAGUUUAAUAGAUGAGUGUGUAGAACAAUAAAGUAUUUAAAGUAAUUAUUAGAGGAUAAAUAGGCAUAUCCAAUACUCUUUUUUUUUUUUGAAAACAAAGUAAACCUUUCAUAAAUCACAACACCUCAAAUACAACUUGAAUCUUGGCUGGAAUAGUUCCUAGCCACAUAGAAGAAGAAUUUCUUCCCAAAGCUAACUUAGCUAGGGAGUUGGCAUAAGCAUUACAUUGUCUUAGAAUGUGAUGAACAAUAACUUUUUGAAAACCUUUCAACUGAUUUCGGAUCUCCAGAAUUGUCCAAAAAAAUUCUGUUUUGCUGCCCUUGGUAUUGUUUACAAGUUGAACCACCUCUAAGCAAUCUGACUUAAUGAUCAAGGAGGUUAAAUCUGCUUCUUUUGCCAACUGAAGCCCCCAUUGCACAGUCUCUGCCUCAACCAAACUGACUGGUCCCUUAAGAUGAAUCUGAUUAAUACCGGCUGCAAUUAUCUUUCCAUUAGAAUCUCUAAUCACUGCUCCCACGCCUGCAAUCUGAUUCUUAGUAUUAAUGGCAACAUCCACAUUAAUUUUGAAAAUAUUUUCAGGGGGAGGGAACCACUUUUGUUGUUUCUCUCCUCUGGGGUGGGCAAUAUGAGAAGGCUUUUUCUUUCUUACUCUUUGAAAAGCUGAGCCUUUACAACAUGAGCAGGGAGGGGACUCCACUUUUGAUGCAUCAUAGAUAGUUUCUUCUCUGCAAAAACUUUGCCCAAAUUUCUUAAGUUUCUUAAAGGCAUCCAUCAGAUCUGCCUUUGCAACACUUUCCACAAAGUAGAAACUUUUCUUCUCAAAAUUCUGCAUCAUAAAAUACAAAACCAAGCAAAAUCAAAUGAACCCCAGAUUUGUAAAUCUGGGUAGACAAACAAUAAUAAACCACCACAAAUCUCUAGAUCUGAGUGGAAGAACAUACCACCACAAAUUUGAAAAUAUGAGUGGAAGAACAAAACCACCACAGAUAUGAGGAUCUGAGUGGAGAAAAUAAGUAAAGAAAAUAAAAAAGGAAUGAAAAAAGAAGGUUUCGCCGGAAAACGAACUCAUAGAGCUGAUUUUCCGACGAAAGAAGAAGGUGAAAUGUUAUUGGAUGUUCAGAGCCUUUUUUUUCUGGAAAGGCAUAUCCAAUACUUUAACUUAUGGUUGGUUGUUUUUUUCACAUAAUUUUCUGAUUUGAAUUGAAUCAAUUACAAGUUGUGACUCGAGCUCAAGAGAGUUGAAGAGAAAGAAAAAGAAAAAUGGAGUCCUUCUCUUGUCCCUUUUAAGUGAAUAUAUUUAGGUUGGGUACCGCAGGGUAGUUGAUGAGCAUAAUUUAUAUACAUAUUUUACCCUUAAUUAUAUAAUUACUAGCUAUUUUCAUUGGUCAUUUUUAAUUAAUUGAAUUAUUUUAUUGAAUAGGGAAUUAAUUGGGGAUUAUGGAUGAAAAGUGGAUAAAGAAUAACAAUUGGACAACAUUAAAAAUCAAGUCAAUUUGUGGAAGCAGUUAAGCAAAUGUGUAUGAAAUUCAAUCCGAAGAAGCCGAAGCCAAUAAAUUGAAUUCUCCAUGCUAGUGCAAACAAAGAAUAAAUUUAAAGCUAAAGUGGCCUGCACGUGAGAAGCAAUUGCAUGGCAUUAAAAAAAGAAUGAAAAAUCCAAGUGGGCUUCACGUGCAUGGGCUCAAAGUCAGUUGUGCUUUGCUUGUUUUAAAACCUUUUGAUUUGAGCAAAGUAAACACUGAUGCAGCCAUUUGCUUUGAAAAGAACAUUGUAGGGCUGGGGGCAGUAAUCAAAAAUGUUUUGGGGCAUGUUACAGCAGCUGCUAUCAAGGUUGCUAAGUUUCGUGGAGAUGUUUCUUAUGCAGAAGCAGAAGCCAUGGAAUGGGGUAUGUUAGUGGCGCGAGAGGCCAACAUGAAAGCUGUCAUUAUGGAAUCAGAUUCUCAAGGUGUGGUCAAUUUAGUUAACAACAAGCAGGGCAGCAGAUCAGAGAUCUAUUGGGUUGUGUCAGAAAUUCAGAAACUAGCGGAAAGCUUCGAACGUGUUAGCUUUAAAUACACGACUAGAUCUUGAAAUGUUAUUGCCCACUCUUUAGCUAAACUAGCUUUAGAGAAGUGCGAGAAUGUUGUGUGGAAAGGGUCAUACCCUUCACAAGUGAUGUAUCUCUUUUCCACUUUAGUUUAAUGGAAAUCUCUUUUCAAAAAAAAAAAAAAAAAAAAAAAAAACCUUUUAAUUUGAGGAUUUUGGAGGGUGUUACAAUAUAAAAGUCGUGUUAACAUAAAUAUGUUAAUAAUAUUGAUUUUGAUGCUAACAAAUUUUAAAUGAUUUUUUGAUAAAAGUAUUGGAGCUAUUUCUUAAUAAACGAGAGCCUUAGUAAUCAUUCCAUUCAUGCUUCAUAAAAGAUGGACUUUAAAAUUAGAAAAAGAUUCUCUGCAAAAACUAGUUUAAAAUGCAAUUCUGGUUAUAAACGGUUCACCGUUUAUUUAAACGGUUAACCGAUAACAGCCAGAGAGCAACGUAUUUCCUAAACCUCUAACCGUUUAUGAAAAACGGAAAACACAAAAGAUGGGAAGGUUACUGGAACUUAACGGUGAACCGUUUAUUUUAAACGGUUAACCGAUUAGAACCAGAGAGCAACAUAUUACCUAAGCUCUAACCGUUUAUGCUUAACAGAAAACACCCAAGAUGGGAAGGCUACUGGAACCUAACGGUGAACCGUUUAUUUUAAACGGUUAACCGAUAACGUCCAAAAUUGAAGGUUGUCCUCCUCUGGCACUGAUUAACGAAAACUGAUAAGGCUAAAUUUGUUUUGCAGGUUACUGGAGACAAACGGCGAACCGUUUAUAUCAAACGGUUAACCAAUAAUUUCCAGAGAAGCCACUUCACGCAAGUCCUUAACCGUUUAGCGUAAACGGAUAACAAAUACUCAUUUUGCAGGUCUCUGGAAGUUAACGGCGAAAGGGCAACCCUAAACGGCAAACCGUUUAUUUGAAAUCUGGCCCAACGGUAACUUUGACCAGCCUAAACGGUUAACCGUUUAUGGUUAACGGCGAACCGUUUUCUGUCCGACAGUUUGUAACGGCUAGAUUUUCGGCUCCAAAUAUAAAUAAGCUCAUUCAAAUUCAAAGAUGAUUGAUCACAACACGACCAUUUGAGCUAAUAUUCGAGAAUACAAUCUUCAUAGAGCUUAGAACAUAUUCUUGCUUCAUCUAUUCACAUAUUAAGCAUCAUUGUGUAAUCUUAUAUAUUGUGAGAGGCAAAACAAUUUAUAAUCUUUUAUUUUGAGUGAUUGUAAGUGUUGGGAUACACUUGGGUUAAGAGAUUGGGGAUAAUCUCUUGUUGUAAAGGUUCAUUGACACCUUGGAAGUCAAGUGUAAGCAUUUGAAGCCUUGGAGGCUUGCUUAGUGGAAUCCUCAAGCCCGGAAAGCUUGGAGGCGUGGACGUAGGCGAGGUUGGCCGAACCACGUAAAAAUCUCGGUGUUUGAAUCCCUCUUCCCUUAUCUUUUUAUAUUGUGAUUCUCUUAAUUGUUAUUGCUUUGAAUUUGAUUUAUAAUUGCAUUAAGAUUUUCUUUAAUAAAUUGAAUAAUUUUUUAGAAUCCCAAUUCACCCCCCCUCUUGGGUUGCAUACUUGUAUUUCAAUUGGUAUCAGAGCCUCGUUCUCUUGUUAAGACUUAAUCGUCUAGAGUAAAAGAUCCAUGGCAACCCUAAAUGACUCAACCUUUAGAGAAGGGCAAUCCACAACUAGACCACCAUUUUUCGAUGGUAAUGACUAUGCUUAUUGGAAAACUAGAAUGAGAAUUUAUUUGCAAGCCUUAGAUUAUGAAAUUUGGGAAGUUGUUUGUGAUGGUCCAUUCAUGCCUACGUUCAAAGAUGAAGUAGGAGAUGAUAUUCCUAAACCAUCGAGUCAAUGGAGUGAGUUAGAAAAGAGAAAGAUGUCUCUAAACUCCAAGGCUAUGAAUGCUUUGUUUUGUGCCCUUGAUAAGAAAGAAUUCCAUAGAGUAUCUAGUUGUGAAAGUGCACAAGAGAUAUGGAACAAACUUGAAGUUGUCUAUGAAGGGACAAAUCAAGUGAAAGAGUCUAAAAUCAGUAGAUACACUCGUCAAUAUGAGUUGUUCCAAAUGGAACAAAAUAAAAAUGUGUAUUCUAUGUAUACUAGAUUCACGGACAUAGUGAACACCCUAGGUGCCUUAGGGAAAACCUUCUCAAAUAGUGAGAAAGUUAAGAAAAUCAUUAGGUCUCUUCCAAAAGAAUGGAGACCCAAAAGAACCGCUAUUGAAGAGGCCAAAGAUUUAAAUACUUUACCUCUUGAUGAUUUAAUUGGUUCUCUUAUUUCGUAUGAAGAGGAUUUAGCUGCAGAAAGAGGACAUGAGGAGAAGAAGAAAAGCAUUGCUCUCAAAGCUUCAAAAUAUGAGAGUGAUGAGGAGAGUGAACCGGAUGAUGAAGAACUAGCCAUGCUAGCAAGGAGGUUCAGAAAAUUCUUCAAGAAAACCGGAGAGCGAAGAAAUUUCAGAAACUUCAAGAACUAUAGGGAGAAGAAGGAGGCAAUCACUUGCUAUGAAUGCAAGAAGCCUGGACAUAUAAGAUCGGAGUGCCCACUUAUCAACAAACUCAAGAAGAAAGCAAUGGUUGCAACUUAGGAUGAUAGUGAGGAAGAAUCAAAUGAUGAAGAAGGAUCGCAAGAAGUAUCAAACCUAGCACUCAUGGCAAUAGGAGGAGAUGAUGAUCUCAAUGAGGUAAGUGAUCCUACCUAUGAUGAAUUAUAUGAUGCUUGUCAAGAUUUGCAUAAUGAGUUAAUGAAAAUUGGUAAAAAGAAUGUAUGUCUUAAAAAGAAAAUGGCAAAACUUAAAAAUGAAAAUGAAUCUCUAAAUGCAAGAAUUGUAUGCCUAGAAGUAGGAAACAAAACAUUGCAUGAUGAAAUUGCAUUAUCAAAUGAGAAACCUAGCAUCUUACAUGAGCAUUUGAAAUCACACAUAGAUGAGUUGAAAAAUGAGAACGAAUUGCUCAAGAAAAAGAAUAAUGAAUUAAAUGAAAUUGUUUUGAAAUUUACAAAUGGGCAAAAGAUGUUGGAUAAUAUGCUUAACUCACAAAAAUGUGUUUUUGAUAAAGGAGGACUUGGAUAUAAGCCAAAUUUGAAGCAAAAGUAUUAUAAGAAUUAUUUUGUUAAAGCUACCUCCCCAAAUGAUCAUAAGAUUGUAUGUCAUUAUUGUAAUCAAAAUGGUCACAUGAAAUUUAAAUGUCCCGUGAAAAGGAAUGCAUAUUAUGGUGUCAAGUGCAUUUGGGUUCCAAAAGGAACCGUUGCUAACUCUCAAGGACCCAAAAAGCUUUGGGUACCUAAAACUUGAGACUUUUUCUUGUAGGGCUUGAAGAAGAAGAAGAAUAAAUGGUACUUGGACAACGGUUGUUCAAGGCACAUGACCGGAAACUAUGCAUGGUUCUCAAACUUUUCCAAAAUUGAAAAUGGUGGAGACGUAUCCUUUGGAGACAACUCAAAAGGAAAAAUUCUUGGAAUUGGAAAUGUUGGUAAAGUUUCUUCAACUCUAAUUGAGAAUGUAUGUUUGGUUGAAAACUUGAAACACAACUUAAUUAGCAUUAGUCAAUUAUGUGACAAAGGUUAUAAAGUUAUCUUUGAUAAAUUUAGUUGUGUUAUUGAGAACUCAUGUGAUGGCAAAACCUUAUUUGUUGGAAAUAGAUGUGGUAAUGUUUAUAUCAUUGACAUAAAAUGUGCAUCUACUCUUGAUAAAUGUUUUUCGGCAUUGCAUGAUGAUUGUUGGUUGUGGCAUAGAAGGUUAGGAGAUGCAAGUAUGGAUUUGAUUUCAAAAAUUUCGAAAGAUGAUUUAGUUAAAGGUCUUCCGAAAAUUGGUUUUCAAAAGGAUAAGAUUUGUGAAGCUUGUCAAUUUGGAAAACAAAUUAAAACUUCUUUCAAGAAUAAAAACCAUAUUUCUACUUCAAAACCACUUGAACUUCUUCACAUAGAUCUUUUUGGGUCAUCUAGAUAUGCAAGUCUAAAUGGCAAAUAUUAUGCUUUUGUGAUAGUGGAUGAUUAUUCUAGAUAUACAUGGGUAUUAUUCUUAGCCAAUAAGGAUGAUGCUCUUGAUGCAUUUAAAGUGCUUUGUAAGAAAUUACAAAAUGAAAAAGGGCAUGGUAUUGUAUGCAUUAGGAGUGAUCAUGGAGGAGAAUUUGAAAAUCAUGCAUUUGAGAGUUUUUGCAAUAAUCUAGGCAUUGAGCAUCAAUUUUCUUCACCUAGAACUCCACAACAAAAUGGAGUUGUUGAGAGAAAGAAUAGGUCUAUUCAAGAAAUGGCUAGGACCAUGUUAAAUGAAAAUGCAUUACCAAAAUAUUUUUGGGCCGAAGCCGUCAACACCGCUUGUUAUGUUUUAAAUCGGGUGUUGAUUAGACCUAAUCUUAAUAAAACUCCAUAUGAGCUUUGGAAAGAUAGAAAACCCAACAUUGGCUAUUUUAAAGUUUUUGGAUGCAAAUGUUUUGUUCUGAACACAAAAGACAAUCUUGGUAAAUUUGAUUCAAAAUUCGAUGUUGGUAUUUUUCUUGGUUAUUCAAAUUCAAGCAAAGCUUAUAGAGUUUAUAACACAAGAACUUUAGUUGUGGAAGAAUCUAUGCAUGUCACAUUUGAUGAGUCUAACCCCUCCUCUACGAAGAAAGUCGUUGUUGAUGAUGAUGUAGGAGAAGAAGAACAAGAAGAAGAAGCAUCAAAUGACAAUCAAGAGGAUGCACUACAUGGAAUUCAAGAGGAACAUCAUGAAGAAUCAAUGUGGAGCAAAAUGAAGGUACUUCUCAUACACUCCCCAAGGAGUGGAGGUAUGUCUCUUCUCACCCUAAAGAUGUAAUUUUAGGAGAUCCCUCAUGAGGUAUAACAACUAGAUCAUCACUUAGAAAUACUUGUGAGCAUAAUGCAUUCAUCUCUCAAAUUGAACCAAAAUCCUUUGAGGAUGCAGAAAAUGAUGAAUUUUGGAUUAUGGCAAUGCAAGAGGAGUUAAAUCAAUUUGAAAGAAACAAUGUGUGGGAACUAGUUCCUAAACCUGAACAUCAAUCUAUAAUAGGUACUAAAUGGGUGUUUAGAAAUAAGAUGGAUGAAUCCGGUGUGGUUGUAAGAAACAAAGCUAGAUUAGUGGCUCAAGGUUACAACCAAGAGGAAGGAAUUGAUUUUGAUGAAACCUUUGCACCUGUAGCAAGGUUAGAAUCCAUUAGGAUGUUGUUAGCAUAUGCAUGUCAUAAGGAUUUUAUUUUAUAUCAAAUGGAUGUCAAGAGUGCUUUCUUGAAUGGAUAUAUUUUGGAGGAAGUUUAUGUGAAACAACCUCCUGGUUUUGAAAAUGAAAAAUUUCCAAAUCAUGUGUAUAAGUUGCUCAAAGCCUUGUAUGGAUUAAAACAAGCACCUAGAGCAUGGUAUGAUAGACUUAAAAAUUUCUUGCUAGAAAAUGACUUCUCUAUGGGUAAAGCGGAUACUACUCUUUUUGUUAAGCAUAAGAACCAAGACAUACUUAUUGUUCAAAUUUAUGUUGAUGAUAUCAUUUUUGGUUCUACUAAUGAGUUGUUGUGUAAAGAAUUUUCAUUGUGUAUGAGCAAAGAAUUUGAGAUGAGUAUGAUGGGAGAGUUGAAAUACUUCCUUGGACUUCAAAUCAAACAAAGCGGGGAAGGAAUUUUCAUAAAUCAAGCCAAGUACGUAAAGGAUCUACUCAAACGAUUCGGCAUUGAUGAUUCAAAGACCAAGAAUACACCAAUGAGCACAACAACCAAGCUGGACAAAGAUGAAAAAGGUAAAGAAGUGGAUAUCAAAAUGUAUCGAGGUAUGAUCGGAUCCCUACUCUAUUUGACUGCAAGUAGACCCGAUAUCAUGUUUAGUGUAUGUUUGUGUGCAAGAUUUCAGUCUUGUCCCAAGGAAUCUCAUUUGCUCGCUGUUAAAAGAAUUUUCCGUUAUUUGAGUGGAACCAUAGAUAUUGGCCUUUGGUAUCCUAGGGGAACUCAUAUAGAUUUAACAUGUUUUUCGGAUGCGGAUUUUGCUAGUUAUAAAGUGGAUAGGAAGAGCACUAGUGGAACUUGCUAUAUUCUAAGACACUCUCUUGUUUCAUGGUUUAGCAAGAAACAAAAUUCUGUUGCACUUUCAACUACUGAGGCUGAAUAUAUAGCUGCCGGAAGUUGUUGUGCACAAGCACUUUGGAUGAAACAAACACUUAGAGAUUAUGGCAUUAAUCUUGAACAAAUUCCUAUUAAGUGUGAUAAUACUAGUGCUAUAAACCUUUCAAAGAAUCCCAUUCAACAUUCUCGAACCAAGCAUAUAGAAAUAAGACAUCAUUUCUUGAGAGAUCAUGUUCAAAAGGGAGAUAUUGCAUUAGAGUUUAUUUCCACGGAAAAACAACUUGCCGAUAUUUUCACAAAACCGCUUUGCGAAGAACAAUUUUCAAAAAUUCGGCAUGAACUUGGGAUGAUGAAAUUUUUGCAUUAACAUCUCUAUUCAUGCUAUUGAGUGUACUGAAUUGAUUGAUUACUAUUUAUGAAAUGCUUGAGCUUGGUAGACAAAUGAUGAAUUUGCAUUAAUAACUCUUGAUUAUAUGAAUUGAUUGGUUGAAAACAUGUCCAUGAAUCAUGCAUUAAACUGGCUCAUAAAAUAUUUUCAGAUCAAUUAAAUGAUCUUGGAAUAUAUUAUUUGCUGGCCAAAAAUUAAAUCAAAUGUGCGAAAUUACAGAUUGAAUAAACGGUUAGCCGUUUCCUAUAAACGGAUCACCGUUUAAUUCCAGAAACGAGAUUAUGUGUCUGCCCGUUUACCCUUUCACCGUUUUCCACAAUCGGUGAACCGUUUUUCAACAGAGAGUCCUCUAACAGUUACUCCUUAGUCGUUAAGCGCUUAGGCUUUCACCGUUUCCCUUUCUUCAGCCUCUGGACGUUACCCUUUCACCGUUUCAAUAAACGGUUAACCGUUUUCGCGAAGUAUAUAAACUGUUUAAAGGUUUUCUUCUCCUUCUCCAGUUACCCUCUCACCGUUUCCUCCAUUGUUGCGCAGCCGAAGGUCUCUUUGUCCUCAAAUCCUCAUUUUUCUUGAUUUCCGUGCCAAAUCAAAUCCUCAAAAUCAUUUCUUAUCACCUUUAGAACAUUUCUACCGAUUCAAAACUUCAAAUCGAACCCAAAAUUCAAAAAUCCCAAAUCUAAACCCUAACUGUCGCGAGUCGGGUUUCUCUGUCCUUAAUCUGAUUUCCACCUUUCUUCAACCAAAUUAAACAUCCUACUCACAUCUUCUACUCCUCAUUACGUGUUUCCAUGGCUGAACCUCCUCGGAGAAAUCUCAGACGUAAAUCUGUGCCUCCAAGGAAUCCCAUACCACCUCGGGACGUCUCGGAAUUUGCAAGGAUUCACUUCCCCACUCCUUCCUUGGCCAAGCGAUUCGAAGAACGCUUCAAUGGUCGAAAGGUACUUGACUCCUUCUUUGUUGACAUUGAUGAUUUCCAUAAUUUGGUUGUAUGUGGUAGAAGCAUUUGGGAUAUGCUUCGGCCUUGGGAGUCUGGCAUUGAUUUUGAUGACCGAGUUUAUCCAAACUUAGUGCGAGUCUUUUAUUCGAACAUGGAAAUCUCCAAUACUCGUCCAAAUAGGAUAGUCACUCAAGUCGGCCGUGUACCCAUAGAAUUUGAUGAUGCGGACUUAGCUGACUUUCUAGGUAUCUCUUGUGAGGGGAUUGACAUCUACACUUCUAGGAAAACCCUCUCCUUUGAUACUUUUUCUCAUACUCACGGCGUCCGUAAUAUAUGUCGUCGUCGAGACUUAUCGGAUGAUAUCUGUCAGCUUCCAUUUCGGUCUCAACUUUUACCGCUCCAAGUUCGUAUUCUUCACUCUAUUCUACAGCACAUAGUGACUCAUAGGAAGGGUCACUCGGAUGAGGUUACGAGGUUAGACGUCGCCUUAUUGGAUAGCCUUAUUACAGACCGUCCCAUUAACCUCGGGUAUAUUAUUGUGCGACAUAUGCUGAGUACUCCAGUGGUCAACCACCGCUUGUUUCCCUACGGCAGUAUCAUCACUAAAAUACUGCGACGCUUUGAGGUGCCACUUCUUGAUACUGGACAUAUGGAGACUCGACGGAUUGGUUCCGAGGCAGUAACCAGUAUCGGAUUCUCUAGAAAGAAUGGAGUGUGGAUAAAGACAAGCAACUCCAAAAACCGGGAUACCUUGAUUGCUCCAGAGGACGAUCGGAUGCUCAAUGAUGUCUAUCGUCCCGACCAGCUUCCUGACUUUAGACUAGGCGCUCAUCCUCAUCCUCCGCGUCGCCGUUUUGUUCCUCAGCCUCCAGCUGACUCAGACUCUGAGGAGCGUGCGAUGGAUGCUGAUAUUCCCUCCUCUUCCGAGCCGCCUACUGCUCCUGAGCCUUCUGCUGUUCCCGAGCAGCCAUCUGCCUCUAUGCCGCCUCCAGCUCCAGUUCAGCCCCCUGCUUCAGACGCAGUGCAGCAGCUGAUCUCUGAUGUUCAGCGGAUUUCGGAGCGCCAGCAGCUAAUUCUUGAUCGGUUGGACACUCUUUCCCGUGACCACCAGCAGCUGCGUUCUGACUUUCAGAUAUUCCAGCGGCAGAGCCUUGAUUAGCAGAUGGAGCUUAUCGCUGGACAGCGCACUAUUCUCGGCUAUUUCGGCUAUGAUCCAAGGAGCACAUCUUCUCCGCCUCCGUAGUUUCUGAGCUUUGUCUUCGCAUAUACAUUUUACAUUCUGGUUGCUAGCAUUUUUAUUAUUAUUUUGAUUUUGAUGCAUAUGUGUGUGAUGUUCUUGAUGAUUAGCUUAUUGAUGCUUUGUGAUUGCCUAAUUGGUUGGAUAUUGUAGAAAUGGUUUAUUUGUGGAUAUUGGAGUGUUGGUAUAUUUGUGGAUAUUGAAGUGUUAUUUUAUCUUGUUCAUGGAGUUGUUGGCUUGUUGAACGCAGAAGUUAAUGUUGAUCUAAUUUUGGAAGUGUUUUAUCUCAUUUUGUAUUUAUGGUUUUACUCAUUUUUAAGGGGAAACUCUGCCAAAAUUUUUUUUUUUUUGCUUGCCAAAACCGGGCACUUUCUUUCAUGAAUUUGCGUAUUUCUUAUUUCCUCUUUCCUUUUGAUGAUGAAGGGGGAGAUAAUUAAAGUUUUUAAGAUGGUUUUUAAGUUUUUAAGAUUUUUUUUUAAAUUUUAAAUGGGGAGAUAUUUGUUUUUAAGAUGGAUUUAAAAUGGGGCAAUUUAUUCACAUUUCUCAAUUUGGCCAUACAUUUAGGGGGAGCACAUAUUAAGGGGGAGCUAAACAUUGAUUAGAAUUUGUCAUCAUCAAAAAGGGGGAGAUUGUUAACAUAAAUAUGUUAAUAAUAUUGAUUUUGAUGCUAACAAAUUUUAAAUGAUUUUUUGAUAAAAGUAUUGGAGCUAUUUCUUAAUAAACGAGAGCCUUAGUAAUCAUUCCAUUCAUGCUUCAUAAAAGAUGGACUUUAAAAUUAGAAAAAGAUUCUCUGCAAAAACUAGUUUAAAAUGCAAUUCUGGUUAUAAACGGUUCACCGUUUAUUUAAACGGUUAACCGAUAACAGCCAGAGAGCAACGUAUUUCCUAAACCUCUAACCGUUUAUGAAAAACGGAAAACACAAAAGAUGGGAAGGUUACUGGAACUUAACGGUGAACCGUUUAUUUUAAACGGUUAACCGAUUAGAACCAGAGAGCAACAUAUUACCUAAGCUCUAACCGUUUAUGCUUAACAGAAAACACCCAAGAUGGGAAGGCUACUGGAACCUAACGGUGAACCGUUUAUUUUAAACGGUUAACCGAUAACGUCCAAAAUUGAAGGUUGUCCUCCUCUGGCACUGAUUAACGAAAACUGAUAAGGCUAAAUUUGUUUUGCAGGUUACUGGAGACAAACGGCGAACCGUUUAUAUCAAACGGUUAACCAAUAAUUUCCAGAGAAGCCACUUCACGCAAGUCCUUAACCGUUUAGCGUAAACGGAUAACAAAUACUCAUUUUGCAGGUCUCUGGAAGUUAACGGCGAAAGGGCAACCCUAAACGGCAAACCGUUUAUUUGAAAUCUGGCCCAACGGUAACUUUGACCAGCCUAAACGGUUAACCGUUUAUGGUUAACGGCGAACCGUUUUCUGUCCGACAGUUUGUAACGGCUAGAUUUUCGGCUCCAAAUAUAAAUAAGCUCAUUCAAAUUCAAAGAUGAUUGAUCACAACACGACCAUUUGAGCUAAUAUUCGAGAAUACAAUCUUCAUAGAGCUUAGAACAUAUUCUUGCUUCAUCUAUUCACAUAUUAAGCAUCAUUGUGUAAUCUUAUAUAUUGUGAGAGGCAAAACAAUUUAUAAUCUUUUAUUUUGAGUGAUUGUAAGUGUUGGGAUACACUUGGGUUAAGAGAUUGGGGAUAAUCUCUUGUUGUAAAGGUUCAUUGACAUCUUGGAAGUCAAGUGUAAGCAUUUGAAGCCUUGGAGGCUUGCUUAGUGGAAUCCUCAGGCCUGGAAAGCUUGGAGGCGUGGACGUAGGCGAGGUUGGCCGAACCACGUAAAAAUCUCGGUGUUUGAAUCCCUCUUCCCUUAUCUUUUUAUAUUGUGAUUCUCUUAAUUGUUAUUGCUUUGAAUUUGAUUUAUAAUUGCAUUAAGAUUUUCUUUAAUAAAUUGAAUAAUUUUUUAGAAUCCCAAUUCACCCCCCCUCUUGGGUUGCAUACUUGUAUUUCAAGUCGAACUUUGGCUUUUGCAAGAAGGAGGAGCCGCCAGAGGAGGGAAACGCGAGACAAAGAGAAGAAAAUCUGAAGUGGUUCGACUUCCAUGGCUGGUUUUAUCUCUUUUGUUACUCUUAAUUCAAGUAUGUCUAGCUAAUUUUCUUAUACUGAGGUUAAGGAUGAAACUCUAUUCAAUGAAAUAAUUAUCUUUUUAUUUAUUUAAUUCCCUAUAUAUGUUCUUUAAUGAUUAUGAUUUUUAUUUUACAUAAUUAAUUGGAUGUUAUUAAAAUCUUUUCAUCAAUUUUGUCAUGCAUUAUUGAUUGUUGGGAUUAAUAUUCGAUUAAAUCUAUGCUUGGAUUUAUAAAGUUUAUACAUGAUUAUCUUUGAUUAUAUGUCUUUCAUUAAAUUGUUUACAUGGAGUGCUUAGGAAACUUUGACUAUUUGUUAUUCAAUAUGUUCACAUGGGAUACUUAGAUGUCAUACUAUUAAGCGGAAAAAGAACCUAUAUUAGAUUUAAUUAUUUGGGCUUAAUUGUUAUAUCCAUGAGAUGACAUAUAUUGAUUUCGAGUUAUCACUCUAAAAUUGGGGAUUAAUGAAUAUUUAGAUAAUUACUAGUUGAAUAGUGGUGGAUUCUGAAACCUUGGUAAUUUCUAUCCUAUUGAAUUCUCCUUUUCUUUAAUUGUUUUCUUAGUUUAAUUAGUUUAAUUUCUCUUAAAACUCAAUUUGCUCAACUAGGCUAGAAUUAAUAUUAAUUUUAUAUUUAAAUUAGACUUUUCAAUUUAUAACAAUCCAUGUGGGAUCGACCUCGUUAUCACUAUUUUAUUUCUAGAUUCGUGCGCUUGCGAGUUUAUUAAAAUUUUCACAACAUUAGUUUAAUCUUUUCUACUGCAUGGCACCUCUUUACUCAAAUAUCAAAUGAGCUUGCUCUUCACGUGACGCUAAAUUUACCAAACUUUAUUUUUUUCCUUAAUUGGCUCGUGUAGGACAGUCGAGGUGUCAUUUUUUUUUUUUUCACCGUUCAACUUCUUAUUUAUUAUUCUUAUACCGCAUGUCAGCUUUCAAUUAGUCCAAAAAUAUCCUUCAAAUUUUACCUCCAAACAAAUCUAAUAACCUCUUGAAAACAAAAAAUUAAAAAUUUAUUCAAUCAUUCAAUGUUAAGGAAAUUGGCCAAGUAAUGGAAUGCUAACAAACCGAAUUAAAUUUCCACAUUUAUUUUUUUUUCUCAUGCAUGCUCUACUAAAAAUAUUUGAUGUCGUGCUAAUGCUCACUGCAAAGUAUAUAUUAGAUGCUCGCGCAUAUACCGUAGGCUAUAGCUAUACAAAAACUUAUACUUGCGUUCUCGAAUGCACACACUUGCACGCAAAAUUCUAUUAUUGAGAGUCGCUGCUUUCUAUAACACGGCCUUUUUCUAGCCUUUCAUUAGACGUGGUUUCAAUUUAUUGAACCAUUAGAGGGACACAUCAGUAGUCACAAAAAUGCCCCUCUGUAGAACCUGAAGGGAACUUCAGUAGCUCAAACACCUUCAGCCUCUGCCCAAGAUUCAAGAUCAGAUUCCUAGAUGCUUGACUAUAGAUGACUUGAAAAAUGUUUAACCAAGAACUUCAAGUGAACAGAACAAUCAAUGGUUUAAGAAUCAAAGAAUCGAAAAAAAACUAAAGAAUAAAGAACAGAGGAGAUUUAACGUGGUUCAGCUAAAACACUUAGCUUACAUCCACGGAGGAACAAGACUUCAGGCUUUUAUUGAAUGAACUCAAGAUUACAGAGAAUUACAGAUUGUAUCUCAUGGAAAUUACUACCUAUUAAACCCAGGAGUAACCCCCUUUUUAUACUCAUAAAUUGUAGCCAGCUAUCUGCACCAGAAUCAGCUCCUUUUCAGUUGCUGAUAACUUCCUGGAAACUAAUCCAGAUGCUCACGUGCAAGCCAUGCUUCAUUAACGACUUUAACGGCUUCUUUCAUUCGAAUCCAUUCACGUGAGUCUCAGGUGUUUCACUUAAGUCAAACGACAUUCCAAGACAUCGUUUCACUUAGCUUUGGUUUACACACCGAAACGCACUCUGUCAAGUCGUUUUGAAUGCCACUGAAUUGCUUUCAAUGGUUACUUUACACCCUCUAAAUGGCAAUUCUUUUAAUCAUUUUGCUGCCGCUCUUCCUUCCAGUCCCAAGUACACAGCCCAAACUUCAAUUUUCUCUGGGAAUAAUGAAUCAUGGCUCAGUCUCAAUAUGUCUUCCAUAUUCCAUGGAACGAGCCAAAGGAGGAGUACUUCUAUAGUUAGUAGCAACUAGCAAUCAUAUUGAUUCUUGAAGGAAUUUUCUGCAUCAGAUAAAGAAAGAGCAGCAGAGAACAAAGCUGUUAAUCAAUCAACACAUGUAAAGCAGUAUUAGUAUUUCUGCCUUAUUGUAGUGCCUAAGUGGGUAUUAGGAUUUCUCCACAAGAACGUUUACUAAGAUAUUCAGCCAAGUGUGAAGUUCAUCAAUAAUCAAUCUUUUCUGGAAAUAAACGAAACAUAUUGAGUGCCAGACUUGUCCAGCCUCUGAAACAGGAUUUCAGAGCAAGCAACAGAACAAAGACAGAAAAUACAUUCAACUGAACCCAACACCAGAAAGCAUCACAAAUAUUAUUUAUUUUUUGUACACAAUUAACGAACCGCCGUUGAAGCACAAAUCAAUGAACUCUCAACUGAAAAUCCGAAACGAAAUUUCUUAUUUAUGAAUAGACAGCGGAAACAAAGAAACCAAAAAAAAUGUCCACCGCCGUAGGAUCAGGAUUUAUUUGUGUAGACAGUAGAAGUGAAGACGGAAAGGAUUCUGGUAGAAAUUGAAGUUCGGGCUGCAGUUAUGAUGUUUUCUUCUCUGAUUUCACCUACACAAGUCAUUGAAGAAAUUGUGAAAAAUAAGAAUUUUAAAUUACAUUUUUUUCCUUAACUAUUAAAACAAAUGAACGCCGAUGUCUGCUAGGCUCAUGGUUGAAUGUGGUCUCCAUUGCUGCUAAAGAGGGCUUGAUGAUUGGGGUGAGUAUCGGAAACACUUUGUAUAACCAUUUUUGUAUUGAAGACAAGGGGAAAAAAAGUAUAUGAAAUUGGAUAAAUAAUUAAAAUUUGAAGAAAUUGGGUAAAACGAGAAACAUACAUCAAAUUCAAUAGGGGCUAAUCAAAUUCCGUAAGGAUAUAGUUGAAUGCCGCACUGUUCCUUGUCCUCAAAUUCCCGUAGCUUUUGUCUCAGCUCUGGCUGAGGCCACCAGCAAUCGAACUUGUUUAAGCUCUUUAUGCACCAGAGCUGUUCAGGCAUCUUUUUCAAGUAAGCACAAGGGUUGAUAAUCAAGCAUUCUAGUUUUGGCAUGGCUCCAAUCCCCAUAGUCCACUCCCCUAGCCAUAGCAUUGAUUUCAGGUGCAAUACCUUGAGAUUUGGAAAACCAUAAGAGCCACAAGUCAGCUUUCUACCUUGUGAAGAAAGCUCAUUGUGCUGAACUGAGAAAAGAGAGGAAGUCAGAAGCUAAGGUUCAUCAGCAAUGCCACGUCAACAAUGCUGAGUCAGCUGAUUCUGUUAAGCAACAAUGAGAGCUCACGUGUGUUGCAGUUAGUUAGUAUUAGCUAACCUCUUACUGAUUAGUUAGUUAAAUUUCAGAGUAAUAUAGAUUAGUUGAUAUAGCUUUUACUAACAAAAUAUGUAACUAUAUAAAGUCUGGAGUUUUACUCAUUUGUUAUUAAUAAUAAACAAUCCAGUAUAUUCAUCAUAUUUCUCUCUGUUUUCUUAGUAACCAAACAACAUUUUCGAUUCAAUUUUUCAUGGUAUCAGAGCUAGAAAUAUGGCAAGCUCAAGCAAUUUAAACACAAAUCCAAACGCAACAAACAUGAAUCAAUCAAUACAAACUACCUUUUCAUUUAUUACGCCAAUCAAAUUGGAUAGAUCCAAUUAUAUGCUCUGGCGAAAUCAAGUAUUAGCUUCCAUAAGAGGAAACAGACUCGAAGGCUAUAUCAAUGGAGAAAAAGCAGCACCUACUCAGUUUCUUACUUCUGGAAGCUAUGCUGAAACAAUGGGAAGAGUUUCACAACAAGUUGAAAAUCCAGAAUACACGAUCUGGAGAUCACAGGAUCAAACAUUACUAAGCUGGCUAUUAAGCUCAAUUACUGAAGGUAUUCUCAGUCAUGUUCAUUCUUGUAAUACUGCAUAUGAUGUGUGGAAAACUUUGGAGAAAAAGUUUGGUGCAAAAUCAGAAGCUAGAGUUCUUCAACUCAAAUAUGAGAUGAGUGUUUUGAGAAAAGAUUCGCUAAAUAUAGAGGAUUAUUGUUUGAAAAUGAAACAAAUAGCUGACAAAUUAACCUGUGCUGGUAGUCCAGUUUCUGAUAAAGAUCUGUUACAACAGAUUCUUAAUGGUCUUGGACCAGGCUAUCUAGAUUUAGCAACUUUCAUUACUGCAAGUAAGCUGGAUUUUGAUGAUUCAUAUGCAUUGCUAUUGACACAUGAAACAAGAUUAGAACAGAGUCUAAAUGAAAAACAGAUGCUCAAUGCAAAUCUUGCUAAUGUUUCUCAUAAUAACAAUAGCUAUGGUAUGAUGAAUGCUUAUUAUGCUCAAACAAGAGGUAAUGCUCGAAGAGGUGGAUAUAAUGGAGGAUUUCAUGGUGGAAAUCAAUUUGGAAGGAAUAAUUUUCAUACUGGAAAGGGAAUGUUUAUCAAUUCUCAUCCAAGAGGAUUUCCUUCUGGAUCUGGAAAUUUUGGUAAUAAUCUUGGUAGAGGUCAAAUGAUUGGAAACAACAAUAAGCAGACACAAUUCAUGAGAGGACAAUAUAGUAUUAACUCUGGUUUGUCAAAUCCUGAUGGUAGUGAUGAACAAUCUGUUGUUUGUCAAAUCUGCUUUAAAACUAGACACACAGCAGCUGAAUGUUGGCAUAGGUUUGAAGAAAACUAUAUGCCUCAACACAUGAAAAGAGGAAGAAAUCAGAGAUCAGCCUAUAUGACAUACCUUACUGCACCUUCUGAAGACUCAUGGCCUGCUACAGCUGCUUAUUCAGGGAUACCUCACAUGUAUAAUCCACCAUGUUCUUCAUACAUAUCUGAUUCAAUGAGCUUGCCUGUGGCUGGAGCUGGAGCUGCUUAUGCUGCUAACUUUGAAGGACCAGCAGAUGAAGGAUGGUAUCUUGACAGUGGAGCUACACACCAUCUGACAAAUGAUAUGGCAAAUAUGCAUGUCAGCAGUGAGUUCAGAGGUAAUGACAAGCUUAUCAUUGCUGAUGGUAAAGGUCUGUCAAUCACACAUGUUGGUAAUGCCAAUUUUAAAGUUCAAAGCUCUAAAACACAAUCUGCUAGUACAUGCAUUGCACUUAAAGAUAUACUGCUUGUUCCAUCUAUUACAAAGAACCUAAUAAGUGUUUCUAAACUCACCACUGAUAAUGACUUAUCUGUUGAAUUUCUUGGUUCUGUUUGCUUUGUGAAGGAUAUACUGAAAGGGAAAAUUCUGCUACUGGGUAUUGCUGAGAAAGGUUUAUACAAAUUGCAGCUGAGUUCAUCACCACAACCUACAUAUACAUCUUUUCUAUCCCAGAGUUCAAUAAAUAAGCCUGUAUCUAUGCUAUCUCAGUGUCAUUUCAGCACUUCAGUCAAUAGUCAUUGUUCUGGAAAAUAUUCUCAGUCCAAUAAGAACACUUGUAGCACUGAUUCAUUCAAUAAAAUGUCUUUGUUUCACAAAAGAUUUGGUCAUCCUAAUACUCAAAGUCUAAUUCAUUUACUUAAGCUUGUGCAUCCUAAUUUGUGCUCUACAAAUAUUGUUAAUCAAGCAACAAAGCAUUUCUGUGAAGCAUGUCAGCUGGGAAAAUUUCACAGACUCCACUUUCCAAUUACAGAUAUAAAAUCCAAAUCAGCACUAGAACUUGUUCAUAUUGAUUUAUGGGGUCCCUCACCAGUAUGUUCUAGAGAUGGUUUUAGAUAUUACAUUAGCUUUGUGGAUGAUUAUACAAGAUACACCUGGAUUUAUCCUUUGAAACUGAAAUCAGAAGCUCUAGAAGUGUUCAAACUGUUUAAACUUCAAGUUGAAAAUCAAUUUCAAACAACUAUCAAAAUUCUCCAAUCUGACUGGGGGGGAGAAUACAGGCCAUUCACUGCCUUCCUAAAUGAAUGUGGCAUUCUCUUUAGACAUUCUUGCCCUUACACUCACCAUCAAAAUGGCCUUGUUGAGAGGAAACACAGACAGAUUGUAGAAUUAGGAUUGACACUUCUAGCUCAAGCCAAACUCCCUUUUCAAUUCUGGUGGGAUGCUUUUCAUGCCUCAGUUUAUCACAUUAAUAGACUCCCUACUUCUGCACUUAAGAUGACCACUCCAUAUGAAAAACUUUACAAACACAAAGCUGAUUAUACCAUGCUGAAAUGCUUUGGAUGUGCUUGUUAUCCAUAUCUGAGAGAUUACAAUAAGCAUAAGUUUGACUAUCACACAACCAAGUGCAUCUUUCUUGGUUACAGCCCAUUUCAUAAAGGUUAUAAGUGUUUUCAUCCCUCUGGUCAUAUAUAUAUAGCUAGGCAUGUUGUUUUUGAUGAAUACUCAUAUCCAUUUGCUUCAGAUCCUAGCUUUCAUCCUUCAGAUAAAUCUAAGUCUGAUACAUAUUGCACAAUUACUCCUAUUCAAGUUUUUCAGUUGUCAACAUUACCUGUCAUAUCAGAUCUUUCAGUCACCAGCAAUGAAUCUUUUUCUCAAGCAUACUCCAGUGGCAACAUUUUCCCUCCAGCAGUAGUCUCAACACAGGUAACAGAUCAGCAACCCUCAAACACAGAUAGAAAUAAUUCAUCUGCACCUACAGUGUUGCCUUCUGUACCUGAUACAAUAUUAGAUCAGCCCUCAGAUGAAAUUUCCCAAAACCAACACAAUAAUAAUACCUCUCAUCUCAAUCAGACAGUGAUAACCCCACCACCAUUAAACCAACAUCCUAUGAUCACUAGAGGGAAAGCAGGUAUCUUUAAACCAAAGGUAUAUACUGCAGUAUUGUUGCAUAAAGAACCAGAUACUGCUCAGGAGGCUAUAAAUGAUGAGAGAUGGUUUCAAGCAAUGAAGACUGAAUAUGAUGCACUGAUGUCAAAUGGUACCUGGACACUUGUGCCAAGAACAGAACAUCACAAACUUGUUGGUAACAAAUGGGUGUUUCGAGUAAAAUCAAACACUGAUGGAAGUGUUGCAAAAUAUAAGGCAAGGUUGGUUGCUAAAGGAUUUCAGCAGAUAGAAGGAGUUAACUACUUUGAGACUUUCAGUCCAGUGGUGAAAGCAGCAACAGUUAGAGUGGUCCUAAGCUUAGCAGUAAUGAAUCAAUGGCAAAUAAGACAGGUUGAUGUAAAUAAUGCAUUCCUAAAUGGAGAUCUAAUUGAGGAGGUAUAUAUGAGUCAACCAGAAGGGUUUAUUGAUUCCAAAAGGCCUGAUUUUGUGUGCAAACUUCACAAGGCACUCUAUGGUUUGAAACAAGCUCCACGAGCAUGGUUUGACAAGCUGAGAAACAGUCUUAUGCAAUGGGGAUUUGAGAACUCAAAGUCUGAUUCAUCUUUGUUCUUGAAGAAGAAUAAAAGAUCAAUUAUUUUAAUCCUGAUAUAUGUAGAUGAUAUAUUGAUUACAGGAUCAAAUGGUGAUGAGCUGGAAGAUUUUAUCAAGCUAUUUAGUUCUGCAUUUGCAUUAAAGGAUCUGGGAAAGCUAUCUUACUUCCUUGGAAUAGAAGUCUUGUAUGAUACUGAUAGUGUAUAUCUAUCACAAAGGAAGUAUAUUAGAGAUCUGCUGGCUAAAGUUGAUAUGCUCGAGUGUAAAGGAAUAGACACACCAAUGAGCAGCAGCAAAGAUUACAGAUUGCAGAAGAGUGUUGAAGGAGAAAUGGGUUACUACAUAGAAGAUCCAUCUCAUUACAGAAGCAUAGUAGGAGGCCUCCAGUAUUUAGUUUUGACAAGACCUGAGAUUGCCUACUCUGUUCAUAAGCUAAGUCAGUAUGUAGCUUCACCAACACUUCAACAUCUUAUGGCUUGUAAACGUGUGCUUAGAUAUCUUAAGGAAACACAAGACUAUGGGCUGAAAUUUGUUAAAGAAGGUGAGUUGAAGGUUACAGCAUUUACAGAUGCAGAUUGGGGAAGUGAUCUUGAUGACAGAAGAUCCACUGGUGCCUAUUGUGUGUAUCUAGGGAACAAUUUAAUCUCAUGGUCCUCAAAGAAGCAAUCUGUAGUUACAAAAUCUUCUGCAGAGAGUGAAUACAGAGCACUUGCAGCAGCUGUUUCAGAGAUAACAUGGUUAAAAUCCUUAUUUCUUGAGAUUGGUUUAUGUUGUGUGGAGAAACCAGUUAUAUGGUGUGACAAUGUGAGUGCCAAAGAACUUGCUUAUAAUCCAGUGUUUCACUCAAGAACAAAACACAUAGAAAUUGAUCUGCAUUUUAUCCGAGAUAAGGUUCUAGCUGGAGAUCUUAAGAUUCUCUAUGUUCCCAGUGCAGAGCAGAUAGCAGACAUAAUGACUAAGCCUUUAAACUCUACUCAGUUCACCUAUCUGAGAGACAAACUUAAUGUGCAUUUAUGCCCCUUGAGUUUGAGAGGGGCUGUGAAGAAAGCUCAUUGUGCUGAACUGAGAAAAGAGAGGAAGUUAGAAGCUAAGGUUCAUCAGCAAUGCCACGUCAACAAUGCUGAGUCAGCUGAUUCUGUUAAGCAACAAUGAGAGCUCACGUGUGUUGCAGUUAGUUAGUAUUAGCUAACCUCUUACUGAUUAGUUAGUUAAAUUUCAGAGUAAUAUAGAUUAGUUGAUAUAGCUUUUACUAACAAAAUAUGUAACUAUAUAAAGUCUGGAGUUUUACUCAUUUGUUAUUAAUAAUAAACAAUCCAGUAUAUUCAUCAUAUUUCUCUCUGUUUUCUUAGUAACCAAACAGCAUUUUCGAUUCAAUUUUUCAUACCUGAAUACGAGUUUUGCUUCAGUUUGAGCACUUGAAGAAGCGGCAGCUUUUCUAGUGUUGGCAUGGGAUCAUCCAUUAGGUCAGUAUUAGAAAAACUCAAGUGGGUUAGACUAUGAGGAAAUAGGUAUUCAGCAAGGACGAUUUUGGAGAGCCGUGGCAUCUUGCUUUCAUUCACCAGCUUCAACGACUCGAGACAGCUCAAUCUGCAGAGACUUUUGGAAAACAAAGAUUGAUUAUAACUUAAAUCUCCCCGUAUUCGGAGAUUUCGAAGAUUAGGUAGUCUGCCCAAUAUAUCUUCAGUACAGCAGCAAGGAUGCAAGGCAGAAAUGAAAUUGAGAUUUUCCAGAGAGCCGCAAUAUUUUCCUGGAUGCGCAGGAAGUGUGAUUGACCCAAAAUUUAGAUGCCUGAGUUUUUUCAUCUUCCAAAAUUCAUCUGCUGUAUGAUCUAUAUAGCUAAUGGGCAUGUCUAGGGUGUAGAGGUUCAGAAGAUUGCUUAACAAUGAGGAAGGCAGGCUUUUGAGGGAAGGGAUAUUCAACUUCAAAUAUCUCAAAAGAAAUAAAUUUUCAAUUCCGGAUGGAUACUGGAUGAGAACAAGAGAUUCCAAGUCCAAUACUCUGAGAAGUUUGAACAUUCCACAAAUGUUCUCCCAAUCCAUGGGGUCAAAGUGGCGGGUUUCUGGAGAGCAGAACAACAAAGACUGCAGUUGCGAGUCAUAAUCAUCUAAGCAAGCAAAAUCACCCUCUCUUUCAACAGCGUUUAACCGUUUGGCAUUUUUUUGUGAUUUACCUUCUGGAUCCAUGAAAGGGGAAAAGAUAAAUUCCACCCUAUAAGGAACUGUCAUCAACACAGGAUGGCAACGACCUGGAAUAGAGCAUGUGUUGAUAGUGCCUGCAGCUUUUCUCUUCUUUGCUUCAACAAAGCCUCCCUUGAUUAGUUGUUCUAAGUAAUUCUCAGCAGUUGCCUCACUAUUGUCUGGGAUGAAACCUUCAGCUAUCCACAACUGAUAUAACUGCCUGGUGGAUAUCUCUAGGUGUGCGGGAAACACAGAUAAGUAGAGAAAACAAAGUUUCAAGCAAAAAAGUAACCUGCAAUAUUUGAAGUACCGAAGGACAAAGGGUGUCUCGAAUACUUCCUCUAUAUUUUCUUCAAAUGAGAUGCUUCCAUGAUAUAAGAUGAGGAAAGGCCAUCCUUUAUAUGUAGCUCUCAAUGGUCCUCCAGUUGGCACUGAAUCAAGCCGAAUGUUCUCUCCGUCUUCGAGCUGAAAUGAGGUGACCAUCUUAAUUUGAGUGAGUGUUAUUAAUACUCUACUUCUAUUCUGAUUAUCCGGGAGUAUUUCUCGAAUAAUAUCCCUUACUUCAAUGUUCCACACAUCAUCAAUCACAAUCAAAUACCGCUUGGUCAUUAGAUAUUCAUGAAGAAUAAUUUUUUUCAUUUCAUAAUUUUUAUCCUUUAUUUCACUCAACCUAGAUCAAGGCAUCAGAAACUUAAUAAUGAUAUCUAAUAUUUGGUCCGCUUCAUACGGACAAGGCUCCUGAAUCCCAGUGUGACAAUCAAAAUAAUGCUUCACAUAACUGCUGUUGUAAGCCUCUCCGGCAAAAGCCGUCUUGUCCAACCCAAUGCUAUCAAGUAUGGCCACCACUGAAAGCUGAGGUGGUCCCUCGAUCAAUAGAUCUAACAACUCCUCCAUUCUAUCAUCUAGACCCACCAUGUCCCUACUUUUAGAAGAUGAAGAUAUACCGGCUUCAGCUUCCAGAUUUUUGAAGGCAUGAAAGAUUUCGGAAUCGAUGUGCGGAACUUGUUGAGUCCGUUGUUUUAUAUCAAUGAUUCUGCUUUGGAGUCCUAGCAGAGCAUCACAGAUGUCCUUGCUGCAGCUGCUUUGACUCUUCUGUUGAGUGAUGCUGUUGAUGAAUGUGUCAAUCACCUUCUCAGAUUCACAGGUAAAGCAAAUGAUUUCGUCCAUGACGGUCGCCAGAUCUGGGUUGUCAAUUUCAACUUCUCCUAUUUGUUGCAUCAGAAGCCAGGACGUUUCAUAUUCAAAGUCCCUCAGCCAAGAAGUAACGAUUUCAACCUCGGCAAGAAGGUUCUGAAUAGGUAGUUUUGCAGCAUCAGGCAACGUGACUUCUUCAUCAGCUAACACCCUUCUCAGCCUCUCUGAAAAUAGUCUGAAGUUGAUGUCCAUAUCUUCUCCUCUCUCAGUACCACCCUGUAAUCAGUCCUGUAGCAUGCAAAGAAAUAGUUAAAAACAGAGAGUUGGAAAGAAACUAUGCUUUAAAGCUCCCCUACCUCCGUUCUCUUAGCUAGUACUCCAUUCAAGAAAUUGAAUCGAGAUUGUUGACUCUCAAAUUAGAACAGAUCAAGGCAGAGCAGUGCCGUAAAUGAAUCUUACAAUACACUGUUCUCCAUAUGUUGUAAAAAGAAUAAAGCAGAAGAGAAUAAAUAGGUCUUGAUCAAGGAUCAAUCAAGACCAAUAUGUAUUAUACAUCCACUUUCAAGAAAGAAAAGGUCAAACCAAUUCCACCGGGACCAUAAAGCCUAUUUGAAAAGAAAAGAACAGAGCAAGAUCGUUAAUAAUUUAAGCUGUGGAAAAAUGCAAAAUCACGUCAACCACUUUCACUGGCGUGCAAAAGUUUUUAUGUAUCCACUGAAACAUUUAUUGUUGCUGAAUGAAAUGAUCUUAGGUUGACCUACACAACUCUUUCUUUCAGUACUCCAGUAGUGCAAGCAUGUCAGUUUAGUCAAUAGUUUCUCCUACACAUAAAUGAUGUUUAUUAUAGAAUUUUGAUAAUGGGUACAAUAAGAAAGUAGUUGCAGAGAAAAUAUUGGGGGUUGAUGUGAUAUCUAUUGACUUGGAGCAUAAUAAAUAAUUACAAAAUCAUUGUUUGUCUUUUAAUUUUCAUCAUACUCAUUAAAAAAGUAUUAUGAUUACAUAGUCAGUGAUUUAUAUUCACAGAAGACAAAAGUAAUGAAUAAAUAAGCUACCACUUGCAAUUAAUAAAAUGCUAACCCUAUCUGGUAAGGUAGCCCUGUUCAUUGAAAGCAAAAGCAACAGAAUCGUUCACUGUGCUGCCACAAAAUGAUUGUCAUGGAAGGCACCAAAGUUUCCAAGUAACAGACAAAGUCGAAGUAGUUAGCACUAUGAGGCGAGGCUGAAAAACUUGUUCCUCACGGUAAAUAAUUUUUAAUAACGACCUACUGCUAAUCAUUGUGUUUGUUAAUCUCUGCCUUAUGCCUUAGCUUUAACAGCACCUCCAUGUAAUCCUCUCAACCCAGUACACGGGAUCAGAGUCAGGCAAGCAUGAAGUUCAUCAGUAAUCAAAUCUCUUCGGUAAAUAAACAAAGCAUAUUGAUUGAGUGCCUCAGUGUAGCAACUGGAGUGCUUAAAACCAGAGAUACCUCAGUUGCUGCCCAAUAUCACAAUCCAAUCAAUCAAGAUGCUACCAAGAAUGAACUGAUUUGAAGUUCAAUUGAAAAUGGAAUUGAAACAAGAUGAUGAUGAAAGAACAGAAAGCAAUUAAGAUCAAAUUGAAUCAAAGAAUUGAAAGAACCAACAGAGGACAAAUCGAUUCAACGUGGUUCAGCUAAUUUGCAUUAGUUUGCAUCCAUGGGAGGAAAUUUCUGAUCAGUUUUUAUUGAUUCUUCAAGAUGCAUUACAGAGUACAAAGCAAGGAACAAGAUGUAUUACAUAACGCGAGUUAGCUAACUCUAACGAACGUAAGCAGCUUUCUACAAGCACGUGAGAUGUCCGUGCUUCAUUAAGCAGCUUUCUAGCCUUUUACUAGACGUGGUUUCAUUUUAUUGAACCAUUAGAGGGACACAUCAGUAGUCACAAAAAUGCCCCUGUAAUGGCAAUCCUUGUAAUCAUUUGGCUGCCGCUCUUCAUUCCACUCCCAAGUACGCAGCCCAAACUUCAACUUUCUCUGAGAAGGUAAUGAAGCGUGGCUCUGUCUCAGUAAUCUGUCUUUCAUAUUCCAUGAAAUGAGCCAAAGGAGGAAUGCUUCUAUAAUUAGUAGCAACCACCAAUCAUAUUGAAGGAAUUUUCUGCAACAGAUAAAGAAAGAGCAGCAGAGAACAAAGCUGUUAAUCAAUCAACACAUGUAAAGCAGUAUUAGUAUUUCUGCCUUAUUGUAGUGCCUAAGCGGGUAUUAGGAUUUCUUCACAAGAACGUUUACUAAGAUAUUCAGCCAAGUAUGAAGUUCAUCAAUAAUCAAUCUUUUCUGGAAAUAAACGAAGCAUAUCGAGUGCCAAACUUGCCCAGCCUUUGAAACAGGAUUUCAGAGAAAGCAACAGAACAAAGACAGAAAAUACAUUCAACUGAGCCCAACACCAGAAAGCAUCAUAAAUAUUAUUUAUUUUUUGUACACAAUUAACGAAACCAUGGCCGAAGCACAAAACAAUGAACUCUCAACUGAAAAUCCUAAGCGAAAUUUCUUAUUUAUGGAUAGACAGCUGAAACAAAGAAACCAAAAAAAAGUCCACCACCGUAGGAUCAGGAUUUAUUUGUGUAGACAGCAGAAGUGAAGACAGAAAGGAUUCUGGUUGGAAUUGAAGCUCGGGCUGCAGUUAUGAUGUUUUCUGCUCUGAUUUCACCUACACAAGUCAUUGAAGAAAUUGUGAAAAAUAAGAUUUUUUAAUUACAUUUUUUUGUCUUAACUAUUAAAACAAAUGAACGCGAUAUCUGCUAGGCUCAUGGUUGAAUAUACAAGGGUACUUAAGUCUCCACUUCUGCUAAAGAGGGCUUGAUGAUUGGGGUGAGUAUCGGAAACUCUAAAAGGUACUCAAUGUUGAGACAAAUUAGAAGAAAACACUUUGUAUAACCAUCUUUAUAUUGAAGAGAAGGGAAAAAAAAAGUAUAUGAAAUUGGAUAAAUAAUUAAAAGUUGAAUAAAUUGGUUAAAACGAGAAACAUACAUCAAAUUCAAUGGGGGCUAAUCAAAUUCCAUAAGGAUAUAGUUGAAUGCCGCACUGUUCCUUAUCCUCAAAUUCCCGUAGCUUUUGUCUCAGCUCUGGCUGAGGCCACCAGCAAUCGAACUUGUUUAAGCUCUUUAUGCACCAGAGCUGUUCAGGCAUCCUUUUCAAGUAAGCACAAGGGUUGAUAAUCAAGCAUUCUAGUUUUGGCAUGGCCCCCGUCCCCAUAGUCCACUCCUCUAGCCAUAGCAUUGAUUUCAGGUGCAAUACCUUGAGAUUUGGAAAACCAUCAGAGCCACAAGUCAGCUUCCUACCUGAAUACGAGUUUUGCUUCAGUUUGAGCACUUGAAGAAGUGGCAGCUUUUCUAGUGCGGGCAUGGGAUCCUCCAUAAGUUCCGUAUUAGAGAAACUCAAGUGGGUUAGUCUUGGAGGAAAUUGGUACUCAACAAGGACAAUUUUGGAGAAAGCUGGCAUCUUGAUUUCGUUCACCAACUUCAAUGACUCGAGGCAGCUCAAUCUGCAAAGACUUUGGGACAACAAAAAUUGAUAAUAACUUAAAUCUCCCCAUAUCCGGAGAUUUCGAAGAUUAGGUAGUCUGCCCAAAAUGUCUUCAGUACAGCAGCAAGGAUGCAAGGCUGAAAUGAAAUUGAGAUUUUCCAGAGAGCCGCAGUAUUUCCCUGGAUGCGCAGGAAGUGUGAUUGACCCAAAAUUUAGAUGCCUGAGUUUGUUCAUCUUCCAAAAUUCAUCUGCUGUAUGAUCUAUAUAGCUAAAGGGCAUGUCUAGGGUGUAGAGGUUCGGAAGAUUACUCAAUAAUGAUGGAGGCAGGCUUUUGAGGGAAGGGAUAUUCAACUUCAAAUAUCGCAAAAGAAAUAAAUUUUCAAUUCCAGACGGAUAUUGGAUGAGAACAAGAGAUCCCAAGUCCAAUACUCUGAGAAGUUUGAACAUUUCACAAAUUUUCUGCCAAUCUAUGGGGUCAAGGUGGUCGCUUUCUGAAGUGAAGUACAACAAAGAAUGCAGGUGCGAGUCAUAAUCAUCUAAGUAAGCAAAAUCACUCUGUUGUUCUAAAGCGUAGAAACGUUUGACAUUUUUUUGUGAUUUACCUUCUGUAUCCAUGAAAGGGGAAAAGAUAAAUUCCACCUCGGAAGCCACUCCUAACAAUACAGGACGGCAACGACCGGGAAUAGAGCAUGUGUUGAUUGUGCCUCCAGCUCUUCUCUUAUUUGCUUCGACAAAGCCUCUGUUGAUUAGUUGCUCUAAGUACUUCUCAGCAGUUGCCUCAUUAUUGUCUGAAAUGAAACCUUCAGCUAUCCACAGCUGAUAUAACUGCCUGGUGGAUAUCUCUAGGUGUGCGGGAAACACAGAGAAGUAGAGAAAACAAGGUUUCAAGACAAAAGGUAACAUACAAUAUAUGACGCAUUGAAGCCCAAGCGACAUGGUCAAUACUUCGUCUAUAUUUUCUUCCAAUGAGAUGCUUCCAUGAUACAAGAUGUGGAAAGGCCAUCCUUGGUAUGUAGCUCUCAAUGGUCCUCCAGUGGGCACAAAAUCAAGUCCAAUGUUCUCUCCGUUUUCGAACUGAAAUGAGGUGACAAUCUCAAUUUGAGCGAGUGUUAUUAAUACUCUACUUCCAUUCUGAUUAUCGGGAAGUAUUUUUCGAAUAACAUCCCAUGCUGAUAUUCUCCACACAUUAUCAAAAACAAUCAAAUACCGCUUGGUCAUUAGAUAUUCACGAAGAAUAUUUUUUUUCAUUUCAUAAUUUUUAUCCUUCAUUUCACUCAGUCUAGAUGAAGGCAUUAGAAACUUAAUAAUGAUAUCUAAUAUUCGGUGAGCAUCAUAGCUGUGAGGCUCUGGAACCCAAGCGUGACAAUCAAAAUAAUGCUUCACAUAGUUGCUGCUGUAAGCCUCUGCGGCGAAUGCCGUCUUGUCCAAUCCAAUGCUAUCAAGUAUGGCCACUGCUGAAAGUUGAGGUGGUCCUUCUAUCAAUAGAUCUAACAACUCCUCCAUUCUAUCAUCUAGACCCACCGUGUCCCUAUUCUUAGACGAUGAAGAUGCAGGAAAAUUGCCGGCUUCAGCUUCAAUUGAUUUGAGCUCAUCAAUGAUUCCGGAAUCGAACUGCUGAACUUGUUGCAUCCGUUGUUUUAUAUCAAUGAUUUUGCUUUGGAGUCCUAGCAGAGCAUCACAAAUGUCCAUGCUGCGCCCGCUUUGACUCUUCUGUUGAGUGAUGCUGUUGACGAAUGUGUCAAUGACCUUCUCAGAUUCAUACGUAAAGCAAUUGAUUUCAUCCAUAACGGUCCCAAGAUCUGGGUUGUCAAUUUCAACUUCUCCUAUUUUUUGCAUCAGAAGGCAGGAGAUAUCAUCUUCAAAUUCACUCAGCCAAGAAGUAACGAUUUCAACCUCCGCAUGAAGGUUCUGAAUAGGUUGUUUUGCAGCAUCAGGCAACGUGACUUCUUCACCAGCUAACACCCGUCCCAGCCUCUCGGAAAAUAGUCUGAAGUUGAUGUCCAUAUCUCCUCCUCUCUCUGUGCCUAGUGGUCCUAACAUUCAAAUUGAGACAUAAUUGAGAGAGACAAUGAUUAAAAGAUUUUAAAAAAUAAUAAUAAGAAAUCUUUAUGUCUCUCAAUUCAAACAUUAACCAGCAUUAAUUGUUGAUGAAACUCUACUCAGAACCAUAUGCCUGAUACCUCCUUCUCUAAUUAAUCCUGCCGAGUGUUGCCAUUCAAAAAGUUAAAUCAUGAUUGCUGACAGUCAAAUUACAAGAGAUGAAAGGCAGAGUGCUGGAAAUGAAUCUUAUAUCCUCAUGUUGAGUAUGCAUUCUCAACCAAGAUUGGUGACCAAUCAUUACGUAAAACGAAUAGAAAGAAAAAUUUUAUAAAAUGCAAAUUAGCUUGGAAAGAUUCUACCUAGAAACCAUCAUGUGACAAAUUAAUCUCUUUGUCAACGCAUUUCUAAAUGUAAUAUAAUAAGUUUCGUCCUGGAAAUGAGCAAGAUGAUGCUUGUACUCAAAAUAAGCUAAGCUAGCCUUCAAUUUUUUUUUUUUUUAAUUUCCCCCUUUUUAUCUGAUUUGUCAUCAUAUGAAACGUGUGAGGAAAAACAUAACUUGUAAACGAGAAUCAAAUGCAAAUAAAUCGUGAACCUAACAUUCAUGAUAUAAAAAUAAUAAAAUGGAGUUAUUUUGUGGAUAAUUCAAAUAUUAAACUACCUGUUUUUUCUUGAAGUGAUCACAAACUUCAAUAUCCCGACGAUAUAUAUCUUAUUUUGAUUAAAAAACAACACAAUCAAAUUAUUACAUAGAAAGAAUAGGAAAAACAAAGCUGAAUUUUAUUUAAAUUGGGUAUUGAUAGAUGAAUGAUUUUGUUAGAAUUGAAAAUGAUCGUGCAUGUGAAAGAAAAAUAAGUUCAGAGAAAAAUAAAAGAUCAAGAUCAUUUAAACUUUACUUGUAAGUAAAGGAAAAUAUCUUGGUUCAAGAAAAGAAAGAGAUACCAAACUCACAAAAUGGAAAAGGAGAAAGGUUAAACAAAGACUUAGUUCAAAGAAAAGAACAUGAUGCUGGUGUCCUGUCAUCUUUUUUUUUUUAUAAUUAAUUUUCAUUUUUCUUUUUCCAAUUUUUGUUUUUCCAAUCCAAAAAAUGAACGCAAUAUACAUUUGCUAACUGGGAAAAAAGUCAUUUUGUCUCAAAAUAAAAUGACAAUAUAUCAUGAUUACAAGAUGUCUUGUGUUGGGUUCAGUUAUUCCAUGUGAGCCAACCACCCAUGUUGAGAAGAUGAGCGACUUUUAAGGGGAAUAAAACUGUCUGCCUCCCGAGGGGUAUUUAAGAAAACAGUGUACACCAGAAGUGGGGGAUCAAAAGAAGGAAUGAAAAAAGAAAAUUAAUCUUCCAUCGUAGAGAAUGAGAGAAAAUUUAUAUUAUUUCAUCUUUUUUUUUAGGGAUAUUAUCAUUUUUCUACCAAAAGUAUUCUGACACAUUAUGUCAGUACCACGGUUUGGUAAAACUAUCAAUUUACCACCAAACGUUUAAACUGUUAGCAUUUAAUAAAUAAAUUUGCCCUUUAAAAAUUAAAUAAAUUAAAUCAAUUUAUGAAGUACCUAGCACCACACAGUCAAUUUUACAAAAUUCAUGAAGGGUAAUUUUUGCCCUUUAAGAAGGAAAAACACCAAAUGAUGAUUUAAUUACAAAAUUCAUAAAAGGUUAUUUACACGGUCUUUUACACUCCAGGGGUAAAAUUGACCUUUUAUGAAUUUUCCGUUACAUAUUAAUUGAGUUUUAACGGAAUGGUGGGAAAAUGCUAACAGUUUAAAUAUUUGGUGGUAAAUUGAUGGUUUUACCAAACCGUGGUACUGACAUGAUGUGUCAGACUACCUUUGGUGGGAAAAUAAUAAUAUCCUUUUUAUUUUUAUUUUGCUUGAGUUAUUUCCUUAUAGUCAACUAUUUAAUUUGCUUCAAAUCUAACUUAAGCAUAAGAGAGUUCUCGCCGGAUCCCCCACCGGUGAGUCGUGACCGGUUUUUGUAGUUUUCAGGCUGCAGAUUUAAGUUCAUAUCAACAUUCAAAUUUUGUUCGUACUAGUUUUCGACUCGAAACAAAUUCAGUUGUUGAGCUCAUUUUUCGACAUCAACAACUUGGACAUUCUUAAGAUAGCAAAAUCAAUAAACUCAACAUUAUGUUACUGGCUAAAGAGUGAAGAAACCAUAAGAAUCCAAUGACAACCAAAGCAGAAGGAUCAAUUUUAAUACAAAAGGGAAUUCCUCUGCUGCAAACAAGGGCUUUGAUGUGAUUGUAAGGAAUUGAGAGUGAGCAGCAGCACAUCCUCUCGCCAUCAACUUCAUUGCACUGCAUUACAAGGCAAAUGUGAAAACGAUUACAGCUGCCCUUUAUUCUCUUAGUGCAAUUGGGCUGCUAAUCAACCAAUAGAGAAAGAAUUCAGUCAUCAAUUCUAACAAAGCUUCCAAAACCUGCAACGCUACAACUAAAUUUUAAAUCUUCCACUUUCAGAACUUUACUCGUUAAAUCUCCUUUUCAAUUCUACCUAGUCCUUACUGGAUCCUUAAAGUCACCAAGGAUUAGUGAUGGUUUUUUAUUUUACAAGGGCUGCUGGACAACCCAGAUUGACGAGGGCUAAAAUCUCCAUAUAUUUGGAGGCUAUGAAGAUUAGACAAUAUGCCCCAGUUUUUUUUUGUUGUUGUGUUUAAUCCUCUGUUAGUACCAAGAUCACACACCUAAGACCCUCUUUGACGUAUCAAGAAUCAUUCCCAGAAACCCAAACUCAAAAUUGAAUCAAAGUGCCUACAUCCACUGAAGAACAAGGACCAUUUCAUAAUCAUUCCAAGAAUAUACAACUUUUUCUCUUUAACUCUCUCUUUCUAUGGCUUUGAUGAGACAUGUGAAGAUGACCCAACAACCAGCCAUAUAAACUACAAUAAAGGCUAUUUCCAACAAACCCGAAAUUUCCCUGCACUUUUUUAACGAACCCCAACUGACUUUGGACCAGCAUUGUCGCCCUUACAAUGAACGACACGUCGGCGAAAUUCCAAAAAAUCGAACGACAAUAUCGUUCUGUCAGUUUUAAGAUGAUGAGAUGUGAUCACAGCACAAACAUUUUUCGUCUCACUAAAGUAAUGAGAUUGAACUGUACCACUACUCAAAAACUAGAAAAAUAAAAUAAAAUAAAAAACAAUAACAUAUAUGCAACUACAAUGUUGACAAAUUGAAUACACACCAGUGAACGUGAAAAUAUAAAGUAAAACAAGAAAAUGACAUAAUCCCUGAAAACAAAGAAACCAAACAAUUCUUAUAAGAAAAAAAAAAACCACACAAUUUCAGUGAAGGCUGGAUUCUUAUUGAAAUUGAAACUUUGGCUGCAGUACAGUUAAGAUAUUUUCCGCUCUGCUUUGACCUACACAUACAAGUAAUUGAAUAUCUUAUUUUACAGUUUUUCUUGAUUAUUUCAACAACCAAUACAUAAGGGUUCUGCCUCUUCUAUUAAUAAGGGAUUAAUGAUUAGUGUCAGUAUCGGGGAAUGUGAUGGACACUGAUACGAAUUUAUAUAUCAAAUUGGAGCCAUCAGAGGAGGCGCAAGUGGAAGAGCUCAACCAAGAACCCACAGUCAGUCAACCCAAGGAGGACAUUCACCAUGAGCUAGUGCAAGAGAAUCAACGGCCCAAACGAAACAAGAAACUUCCAGACUGGCUACGAGACUACGUCGUUUAGGAUGAUAUGUAAAAGCAUUGUGAUUGGCUGCGUUUGUUUUGGAUUCUUUUUUGUCAUUUUCUGUUGCGUUGUCAAAUUGGUUAUUUUCGAUUGUCUGUUAUAUAUUGCGGGAUUUUGUCAUUUUGGGAAGGCAUGAAAUGAAUGGACCACUUUUCUUCCUCUCUAUGACUCUUCUUCUUUUCUUCUUUCUCAUUUCUCAACUUCCAGUUCUUUCCUCUGGAGCAAACACUCGCUCGAAGUAGUGAUAAUUUUGAUAUUGCUCAGUUUCACGAAUUAAGAGCAUAUCACUGGUGCUUUCAUUGAUCAUGGCAAAUUCUGAAAUUCUUUUUGCUUUACAGACCUUUCAAGCAACUUUUGACGCCAAACUUGAUGGGCAACAACUGUCCAUCCAUCAAACAAUCUAACAAUUCAUGACAUCAGUUGACUCUCGUUUUGAGGAGUUACGUAUAGAAAUUCAUGGGUCUUCCAACAAACCAGUUGGUUCCUCCAACCCUUCACACCCUUCAUCUUCUAAAUAUGAUGGCGUUCUUCAUGGUUCUGAAGUUUCUCCAGUACUUCGUUCCAUGAAAAUGGAUGUGCCCAAAUUCGAUGGGUCUGACCCUACUGGAUGGAUUUUUCGAAUAGAAGAAUUUUUGACUUUCAUGACACACCUGAGAUCCUCUGACUACGGAUUGUCUCUUUUCAUAUGGAGGGUCGCGCUGCCGCGUGGUAUCAAUGGAUGAAGAACAAUCACUUGGUCACUACUUGGCAAGAAUUUUUAGCUAACUUGCGCUAUCGUUUUGGUGCUUCUUUGUAUGAAGAUCCCCAAGGUGAUUUGUCCAAAUUGAGCCAAACUACCACGGUUGCCGAUUUCCAGUCAGCUUUUGAAGAUUUAAUGAACAAGGUCACUGUAAUUUCUGAACCUCUUUUGAUUAUUUUUUUCAUCACUGGUUUGAAACCCAACAUUCGACGGGAAUUGUUUUUCUCUAGACCGUCUUCAUUAAUGGAAACUUUUGCCUUAGCUCGUGCUUUUGAGGCCAAAUAUGACGAAGUGAAACAGAGCUCACGCUCAUGGCCUAAAUGGCAGCAACCGUAUCCCCUUUCACCUGGUUUCCAAACACAACCCAAACCCAUUUAUCCAUCCUCUUCACCUGCAACUGUUACCACAGCCAUCACCCCCGUAUCAUCUUCAACUCUUCCCUCACAAACCCACAAUACCAAUAACUCCAACACUUUACCUGCAUUAUUACCGACACCAACAUUACCUAUUCACCAUUUGUCUCCAGCCGAACUUCGCGACAAACGCGAGAAAGGUUUAUGUUACGAUUGUGACAAAAAAUACAGCAGCAAUCAUCGCUGUCGCAGUAAAUUUCUACUUCUCAUGGGCAUGGAUGAUGAGGAAUUGGAACCCAAACAUAACGAGGAACCAUCAGAAUUGGUAGAUGCUGGUAUUACUGGUGACAUCUCUAGCUUAAAUGCUCUAGCAGGGCAGGCCAAUCCUCGCUCUCUUCGUUUAAUUGGAGAAAUUGCUUCGCACACCUUUCAAGUGCUGAUUGAUAGUGGCAGCACUCACAAUUUCAUAAAACCGGCGUUAGCGGAACGAUUGGGGUUAGCCAUUCAUCCCACUACCAAUUUCCGAGUGUAUAUUGGCAACGGUGACUUCCUGGUGUGUAAACAGUUCUGUCCUCAAGUGAACUUAACAAUGCAAGGCACGACUUUUAUGGUAGACCUCUUCAUUUUGCCAAUUGAGGGCACAGAUGUAGUCCUUGGCAUUCAAUGGCUACAGAAAUUGGGCAAAGUGUCCUAUGACUACUCUGCCCUUACCAUGGAGUUUUCUUUAAAUGAGCAACCAGUGAUGCUUCGUGGUGAUUUGUCUUCUAAUACUUUGAUCACUUAUAAUCAAUUGCAGGCAUUGGUUCAAAGUGAUACCGUGACCAGCCUUUGUGCUUUACAACCAGUGCCCGCCAUCGAUGCUUUGCCUUCAUUCUCCAUCACAGACACUUCCUCACUUGAAUUUCCUUCUUCCCUUCCUGCUCAAUUUCUCAACCUUUUACAGCAAUACAAACACCUAUUUCUCCAACCUUCUAGCCUACCACCACACAGAACUAUUGACCACAAAAUCCAUUUAUUACCCAACACAUCCCCCAUCAAUGUUCGUCCAUACCGCUACCCACACUUCCAAAAAUCUGAAAUGGAAAAACUGAUAAGGGAAAUGUCAGAGCAGGGCAUAAUUCGACCUAGCCAAAGCCCUUUUUCCUCCCCGGUUCUCUUGGUCAAGAAAAAAGAUGGCACCUAUCGGUUUUGUGUUGACUAUCGUGCAUUAAAUGCCGUAACCAUCAAAGACAAGUUUCCUAUACCGACAAUCGAUGAGUUGUUUGAUGAACUUGGGGGCGCCACCAUUUUUAGCAAAUUGGAUUUGCGCGUGGGAUACCAUCAAAUUCGUGUCCACAACCGCAACAUAUACAAAACGGCAUUUCGAACACAUGAGGGCCAUUAUGAGUUUCUCGUCAUGCCGUUUGGGUUGACAAAUGCCCCAUCCACUUUUCAAGCCACAAUGAAUCAGAUUUUUGCAGCUCAUCUCCGGAAAUUUGUGAUUGUUUUUUUUUAUGAUAUCUUGGUUUAUAGCUCCUCCAUGGCCGAGCAUUUGCUUCAUCUUGAGCAAGUAUUAGCUUGUUUACAUCUUCAUCAAUUUUUUAUUAAAUUAUCCAAAUGUUUGUUUUGCCAGGCCACUAUUGAGUAUCUAGGCCAUAUUGUUUCAGCCUCGGGAGUACAAGCCGACCCCCAAAAGAUUGAUGCCAUGCUUAACUGGCCAAGUCCACGUUCUAUCAAACAGUUGAGGGGUUUUCUUGGUCUCACUGGAUAUUAUAGGCGCUUCAUCCGUGGUUAUGCUUCCUUGGCAGCCCCCCUCACUGAUUUGCUGCGAAAGGAUGCCUUUCAAUGGAAUUUGACAGCCAUGGAGGCCUUUGAAGCUCUUAAACAAGCAAUGGUGCAAGCUCCAGUCCUUAAGUUGCCGAAUUUUGCUUCCGAAUUCGUCAUUGAGACCGAUGCUUCUAAUGUAGGCAUAUGAGCCGUACUUACACAACAUGGGCAUCCGAUUGCUUAUUUCAGCAAGAAGUUGGGUCCCAAAUUGCGGGCUUCUUCCACUUACAUCAAGGAGUUGCAUGCAGUUGUAGAACCUGUGUAUAAGUGGCGGCAGUAUUUGUUGGGCCGAUUCUUUGUUAUCCGCACGGAUCAUAAGAGUAUUAAAGAACUCCUUCAACAAGUGAUACAAACACCAGAUCAGCAAGUUUAUCUCCGUAAAUUAUUGGGUUUCCAAUUCCGAAUUGAGUACAGACCAGGCCGUACCAAUAGCGCUGCUGAUGCUCUAUCCCGUGUCCAUGAAUCAGCUCCUGAGGAUAACAUCAACAUCUCCCCCACUUGCCUUUCUUUUAACAGCCAUCCUUUAUUUGAAUUGCUGCAGUCAUUACUUAAUGAGAAUACCACAUUACCUGAUUUAAUAUCACUUCACCAGCAACUUUUACAAGGCAAACUGUCAGCUGACUUCUCCGUUCAAAACGGAUUUCUUCUCCACCGUCAGCGUUAUUACAUCAGUCCUACCUCCUCUUUAAAAGUCGUACUGUUGCAAGAAUUUCACUCUACGCCACUGGCAGGUCAUGUGGGUGUCACUAGAACCUUAAUCAGAUUAUCUUUAACAUUCUAUUGGCCCAAAAUGCGUCAUGAUGUGGAAACGUUUAUCCGAGAGUGUUUAAUAUGCCAGCAAACUAAGUAUUCCACUUAAGCCCCUGCUGGUCUUCUUCAACCAUUGCCGAUACCUAAUAUGGUUUGGGAUGAGGUCACAAUGGAUUUCGUUACAGGUCUUCCGUUAGCACAAGGUUUCUCGGUCAUAUUGGUUGUUGUCGAUCGUCUUACAAAGUUUGCCCAUUUUGGUCCGUUACCCUGUCAAUUUACUGCCCUCAAGAUAGCUGAACUCUUUGUGGACAUGGUCAUUAAAAUACAUGGUUUUCCAAUUUCAAUUAUCUCCGAUCGAGACCCAGUGUUCUUGAGCAAUUUUUGGAAACAAUUAUUCCUCUUAAGUGGCACAACUCUUCGUCAUAGCACGGCAUACCACCCUCAAACGGAUGGUCAAACGGAAGUGGUGAAUCGAGGAUUGGAGCAAUAUUUAUGAGCUUUCACUCAAGCCAAACCACAGAAGCGGGUUUCCUUACGGAGUUGGGCAGAAUUUAGUUAUAAUUCUCAUUUCCACAGUGGCUUGAAGAUGUCGCCCUAUCAAGCUUUAUUUGGCCGAUUGCCUCCAACUAUUCCUCAUUAUGCUAAGGGCUCUACUUCAAUCCAAGCUUUGGAGGACAUUCUCCUUGAACGUAAUACUCUUCUCCAGUCUUUAAAAGCUAAUUUGAGGCAGGCACAACAUCGAAUGGCUCAGAAAGCUAAUGCCCAUCGCCGUGAAGCUCACUUUGAAGUAGGGGAUAAAGUGCUGGUUAAAUUACAGCCAUAUAGACAGACCACUAUAGCUUCUCGCGCCUGUCAGAAGUUGGCCAAGCGAUGCUACAGGCCAUUUACGGUACUUGCUAGAGUGGGGUCUGUAGCUUACAAAUUGGAGUUACCCAGUACUUCCAAAAUCCACUCGGUUUUUCACAUCUCUGUCCAUAAGCCUUAUCAUGGCAACGACCCUGCUAUUUCACAUCCUUUACCAGAGUUGAGUGUGGAUAACCAUCCUCUUUUGCUACCGGCUGCCAUUUGUGCAACCCGAAUAGUGUUGCAACAGGGGAAGCCAACGCCUCAAGUGUUAGUUCAAUGGACCGACAGUUCACCGGAGAAUUCGUCUUGGGAAAACUUUGACGCCUUUUGUAAGCUCUAUCUAGCAUUUCACCUUGAGGACAAGGUGUGUUUUCCAGAGGGAGGGAAUGAUACGGAUUUAUAUAUCAAAUUGGAGCCAUCAGAGGAGGCGUAAGUGGAAGAGCUCAACCAAGAACCCACAGUCAGUCAACCCAAAGAGGACAUUCACCAUGAGCCAGUGCAAGAGAAUCAACGGCCCAAACGAAACAAGAAACUUCCAGACUGGCUACGAGACUACGUCGUUUAGGAUGAUUUGUAAAAGCAUUGUGAUUGGCUGCGUUUGUUUUGGAUUCUUUUUUGUCAUUUUCUGUUGCGUUGUCAAAUUGGUUAUUUUCGAUUGUCUGUUAUAUAUUGCGGGAUUUUGUCAUUUUGGGAAGGCAUGAAAUGAAUGGACCACUUUUCUUCCUCUCUGUGACUCUUCUUCUUUUCUUCUUUCUCAUUUCUCAACUUCCAGUUCUUUCCUCUGGAGCAAACACUCGCUCGAAGUAGUGAUAAUUUUGAUAUUGCUCAGUUUCACGAAUUAAGAGCGUAUCAGACACUUCGAAGUCUUUGUUGAGACAAAAAUUAGAUAGAAAACACUUUAUGGUGUCAUUAUUAUUUAGGCUGCUGCGUACUAUCGAAUCAAUCAUAGAGAAUAGAUGUUUACAUGAAAUUAGAUAAAUAAUUAGAGGUUGAAGUUAUUGGAUAAAAAGGAAAAAAAACUUACAUCAAAUUCGAUCCACGCUAAUCAAAUUCCAUAUGGAUAUAGUUGAAUGCCAUACUGCUCCUUAUCCUCGAAUUCCCGUAGCUGUUGUCUCAGCUCCGGCUCAGGCCACCACAACUCCAAUUUGUUUAAGCUCUUUAGGCACCAAAGCUGUUCAGGAAUCCUUUUCAAGUGAGCACAAGGGUUGAUGAUCAAGCAUUCUAGUUUCGGCAUGGCUCUAAUCCCCAUAGUCCAUUCCUCUAGCCAUAGCAUUGAUUUAAGGUGCAGCACCUUGAGUUUUGGAAAGCCAUCAGAGCUACAAGCCAGCUUUCUACCUGAAUACGAGUUUUGCUUCAGUUUGAGCACCUGAAGAACCGGCAGCUUUUCUUGUGCCGACAUGGGAUAAUCCAUUAGCUCAAUAUUUGAAAAACUCAAGUGGGUUAGACUCGGAGGAAAUUGGUAUUCAGCAAGGAUGAUAUUUGAUCGCCGUGGAAUCUUGCUUUCAUUCGCCAACUUCAAUGACUCGAGGCAGCUCAAUCUAUAGAGACUUUUGGACAUCAAAGAUUGAUAAUAACUUAAAUCUCCCCAUAUCCGGAGAUUUCGAAGAUUAGGUAGUCUGCCUAAUAUAUCUUCAGUACAGCAUUAAUGAUGCAAUGCUGAAAUGAAAUCGAAAUUUUCCAGAGAGCCGCAAUAUUUUCCUGGAUGUGCAAGAAGUGUGAUUGAGCCAAAAUUUAGAUACCUCAGUUUGCUCAUCUUCCAAAAUUCAUCUGCUGUAUGAUCUAUGUAGCUAAAGGGCAUGUCUAGGGUGUAUAGGUUCAAAAGACUGUUUAAUAACGAUGAAGGCAGGCUUUUCAGGGAAGGGAUAUUCAAGUUCAGAUAUCUCAAAAGAAAUAAAUUUUUUAUUUCGGAAGGAUAUCAGAUGCGAACAAGAGAUCCCAAGUUCAAUACUCUGAGAAAUUUGAACAUUUUACAGAUUUUCUCGCAAUAAGUGGGGUCAAGGUAGUGGCUUCCUGAAGUGAGGUGCAACAAAGAAUAGAGGAACGAGUCAAAAUGAUCUAAAAAUGCAAAAUCAUUCAAAUUUCCAUGAGCGGUGAAGCGUUUCACAUUUUCCCGUAAUUUAACUUCCUGAUCCAUAAUUGGGGAAAUGACAAAUUCCCCCUCGAAAGCCACAGUCAACAACGCAGGACUGCAACGCCCAGGAAUAGAGCAUGUGUUGAUUCUGCCUCUGUCACUUCUCUUCCCUGCAUCAACAAAGCCUCCAUUGAUUAGCUGUUCUAAGUAUCUCUCAGCAGUUGCCUCGUUGUUGACUGGAAUGAAAUCUUCAGCUAUCCACAACUAACAUAAUUGCUUGGUGGAUAUCUCAAAAGUGUGCGGGAAACACAGAUAAGUAGAGACAACAAAGUUUCAAGUAAAAAGGUAACAUACAAUAUGCAACGACUUGAAUCCCUCGGGGUUCAUCAAGUGCUUUCUCUAUAUUUUCUUUCAGUGAGAUGCUUCCAUGAUAUAAGAUGUGGAAAGGCCAUCCUUGGUAUGUAACUCUCAAUGGUCCUCCAGUGGGCACAAAUCAAGCCCAAUGUUCUCUCCAUUUUCGAACUGAAAUGAGGCGACGAUUUCAAUGUCAGAAAAAAUAAUCACAGUGAGUUAAACAAAUAAACCAGUAGGUAAUUUGACUGCAGCAAAACAGCAACUGAAGAAAAUAAACUCGAGGCCUAUAAUACAGUGUCCUUAAAACAGAUUUAUCACCUAUUGAAGUGCUUUAGGUUUCUUGAUAACUGUUUCCCAGGAUACAACGGGCACGAAUUUUCUUUCAAGCACAGACAGAUAAUUCCCGCGAACCACAACAACGGUAAACUCGAUCAGAAAACAAGACAAAAGAAGGAGGAAAGAAAAAUUGUAAGUGUUCUGUGUGCUGGUUUCAGUGUGUGUAAAAACAGAAGAGGAAGGUGCCUUUUUAUACUCAUGUGGGUACGUAACAAUAGCAUAAAAAUUGAAUUUCGGAAUUCAAUAUAUGCAAUUUAAUUGCUGUAACAGCCAUUGAAUUUUAAACAAUUCAAUUCAAAAAUUGAAUUGCAUAACAGCCCAAAAUAAUUGCGAAGCUGUUACAAAUCUUUUGAAUUCAAAAGGUGUGAAACUGUUACAACAAAUUUAAAAGGAAAUAAAAAACGUGCCAUGCGAGCUUGGGCUGACAUUCGCGGGCACACACGAGUUCAACCAAAUCAGUCAUGAAUUCGCCCCCCCCCCCCCCCGGUGCACGCGUGUGGGGAGAGAGCCUCUAUCCUUAAAAUUCUUGUUCAUGCAUGGUUAAGUAUUUAUAUAUAAAUACUAAUCCCUUGGCUUCUUCAAUGAGGAUAACAAAGCCUCCAUUAAUUAGCUGUUCUAAGUAUUUCUCAGUAGUUGCCUCAUUUUUUUCUGGAAUGAAACCUUCGGCUAUCCACAAUUGAUAUAAUUGCUUGGUGGAUAUCUCAAAGUGUACGGGAAACAUAGAUAAGUAGAGACAACAAAGUUUCAAGUAAAAAGGUCACGUACAAUAUGCAACGACUUGAAGCCCCCGGGGUUCAUCAAGUGCUUCCUCUAUAUUUUCUUUUAGUGAUAUGCUUUCAUGAUAUAAGAUGUGGAAAGGCCAUCCUUGGUAUGUAACUCUCAAUGGUCCUCCAGUGGGCACAAAAUCAAGCCCAAUGUUCUCUCCAUUUUCGAACUGAAAUGAGGCGACGAUCUCAAUUCGACUGAGUGUUAUGAAUACUCUACUUCCAUUCUGAUUAUCGGGAAGUAUUUCUCGAAUAACAUCCCAUACUGAUAUUCUCCACACAUUAUCAAGCACAAUCAAAUAAUGCUUGGUCAUUAGAUAUUCAUGAAGAAUAAUUUUUUUCAUUUCCGAACUUUCUUCCAUAAUUUCACUCAACCUACAUGAAGGCAUCACAAACUUAAUAAUGCCGUAUAAUAUUUGGUCAGCAUCAUAUGGUAAAGAAUCUUCAACUCAAGCGUGACAAUCAAAAUAAUGCUUCACAUAGUUGCUGCUGUAAGCCUCUGCAGCGAAAAUUGUCUUGUCCAAUCCAAUGCUAUCAAGUACGGCCACUACCGAAAGUUGAGGCGGUCCUUCUAUCAGUAGAUCUAAUAACUCCUCCAUUCUAUUAUCUAGACUCACCGUGUCUCUAUUCUUAAAAGAUGAGGAUGCAGGAAAAUUACGGGCUUUUGCUUCAAACGAUUUGAGCUCAUCAACGAUUCCGGAGUGGAUGUCCUGAACUUGCUCCAUCUGUUGUUUUAUAUCAAUGAUUUUGCUUUGGAGUCCUAGCAGGGCAUCACAAAUGUCCUUGCUGCAUCCGCUUUGACUCGUCUGUUGAGUGAUGUUGAUAGCAAAUGUGUCAAUCACAUUCUCAGAUACGUAUGAAAAGCAAUGAAUUUUGUCAACGAUAGCCUUAUAAUCUUCUAAUUCUGCAAGAGUUUGACCCUCUUCUGCAUUGACUUGCUACAUAAACCAAGCAGUGUUGUAUCCAGAGUCCCUCAGCUAAGAACCAACGAUUUUAAUCUCAGUGUAAAGGUUCUGAAUAGGUUGUUCAGCAGCAUCAGGCGCCGUGAAUUCUUCACUAGCUAGCACCCUUCUCAGUCUCUCUGAAAAUAGUCCAAGGUUGAUGUCUAUAUCUCCUUCACUCUCAGUAGUCAGUAGCCAACAGCCCUAGCAUGGAAAGAAAAUAAUUAUAAAAAAAAUGGCUAAAAGCUCUCCUUUUACUUCAACAUUAGUCAACAUAAUCAACUGAGGAUGGCACCAAUACCUUAUUCUCUCAAGAAGUUGAAUCAAGUUCAGGUGGCUGUCAAAGUAGAACAGAUUAAGGCAGAGCAGUACUGGAAAAUGAAUCUUAAAACUAAAUGCUGCAGGUGCCGUGGGGAUACUGAUUGAUAAGAGGAAUUAUAUUGAGAAAUUAUUGAUGUACAAUAAUGAUUUUCUGCGAAAACCUGAGGUAUAAUGUACAUGUAUAUAAAAUAUUCUUUAUGCUAGAAGAUAAAAGGGUGUCUUAUAAUUUGUGUUUUAUAUAUAUGUGUAUGAAGAAAGUAAAAUAGGCUAUCAAGACUAGUUUCUUUUUUGCCCUCUCAAAAGACUGAAAGAUUAAAAAUAAUUCCGCUGGGACCAUAAAGCUUGCCUAGAGAGAAAAAGCAUCACCUUAGAAUCUGAUUCAUUGAUGCAUCAAAUGCAUAAUAGUCGCCAUUGUUUAGAGAUUUUCUUUUCAAGCGCUUUACAGACUACAACAGAAUACGUAGGGAUGGCAAAACAUCGGGUCGGGCUCGGGCUUGGCCAAACCCAACCCGACCCGAUCAAUAAAGAACUAAAGCCCGACCCUAAAAAAAGCCCUAUCUAUUUAUAGUUAGGGUCGGGUCGGGUCCGACCCGAAUCGGGCCAACAUCGGGUCGGGCUAAGCCCGACCCUACCAAAACCAUUUUCCAAAUGCUGAAAUGUAGCUGCAAGCCUGCAACUUGCAUUUCCAGAUUGCUUAAGCUGCUCGUGUGCUGUCCAAGGCUCCAAGCUGCUCAUGUGAUGUCCACAUGCCUCAAUUAAUUAACCACCAAAGCACUAAAAUGCUAUGCCGUUUUGAUGCUUAUGGAAAUUCCACAAUGGAAUCAAUUUGAAGGUCACACGAGAAGCACAUGACUAACUUAAACAUGAAUAACAAUAAGGCUGAUAUGCAACCACAAUUCAAUUCUCAAUUCCACAAUCAUUUCCAAAACCAUUUUACACACAAAUCAAUUCCAAAAUCCAACAUGAAAAAUACAUAAUACAAUUAAAUUAAAAACACACAAUGUAAUUUUUCAACAAUUCUAACCAAAUCAAUUCCAUAACCCAACAUAAAAAAAAAAGUCUUAUACAAUAAUACAAAUAAAAACUCAUAAUUCAAUUCCACAACCAAACUUUUUUUUUUUAAAAAGAACUACUCCAACACUUGCGGGCCACUUUCAUCUUCAUCCACAAAUUCCUCUCCAUUAAAAGUUUCACUUUCGAGAAUUUUACCUACAAAAAAAAAAAGAAAAUGAGAAAAUAAUUCAAGUGUAUAAAAUUAUUACUAAACCAAUUAUUUUGUACAUUAUUUAUAUUCAUACCUUUGGAGUUUGCCCAUAGCCAAUGUUGAGUGCACAUAAGCGCUUCCAAUGUCAUAGGAUGAAGUCUACUUCGAUGUGGAGUCAAGACUCUACCUCCAGUGCUAAAUGUCGAUUCAGAGGCAACGGUUUUCACGGGAAUGGCUAAGAUAUCCUUGGCCAUUUGAGCCAAAAUAGGGUAUUUGCCUUGGUUCACAUUCCACCAAUUCAGAAUAUCAAAGUCCGAAGUGGAUUUGAUUAAAGGCUCUUCUAAAUACCUCUCAAGGUCGGACUUCGAUACAAUGGUCUCACUAUUUUGGGUUGCAAAUGCCUCAAACUUCUUUAUAUCAAAAAAUUUACGGCCAGUUCCUAAAUUAAAAUUAAAACGAACAUCGGCCGAAGAAGAUUCACCAACAACCGCAUCACUCACAUUCCCACUUUUAAUUUCAUAAAACUUGACCAAAUCGUUACUUAAAUUGCGCACCCUUUGAAUCUCAUUUGCAGCACCCUCACCAUAAAGUUGUGGAAAAUAAUAAUUAACCAAUUGCAUCUUAAACCUCGGAUCAAGAAUAACUGCCAUCACCAAAAUCCCAUGAAUUUGGGCCCAAUAUUUAUCAAAUUUCAUAAUCAUUUGACCAGCCAUUUCUCUAACCACAGGCACACUAUAAAGAUCCCAUUCAUCCAAAUUAAUCCUCAUUUCACAUAUCAUUGGAAAAAAAAGAUUAGAUGUAGGAUAUUGUGUACCUGAAAAUAACUCUGUCAUAGAGUAAAACGGCAGUAAAUAUUCCAACAUCUUUUCAGCCAUCUCCCAUUCCUCAUCUGUUGGCAAAGAGGUGUAGUGUUUAUCGCGCUGCUGCAGUCUAGAAAAGACUAUUUUAUAUUUCACAGCAACAUCAAGCAUAACAUAUGUAGAAUUCCAUCUAGUUACACAAUCAAGUACCAACUUUUUCUCACACUUAACUUGUAAUUGCCGCGCAGCCAUUUCAAAAGUUUCUACCCUCUUUGGUGUGCCUGUCCAAUAAGCCACACUAUCCUAAUCUUUUUAAUCCACUCCUCAAUCACUUUCAUCCCAUCCUUCACAAUUAGGUUUAAAAUAUGAGCCACACACCUCAUAUGAAAAAAAUUCCCACCCAUUAACAUAGAAUCAGCUGGAAUCAAUCCCAUCAAUCUAUCAACCAUAGCAUCAUUGGUGGAACAAUUAUCUAAAGUUACAACUGAUAUCCUUCUAUCCACAUUCCAAUCCAACAUAAAUUUGAAAAAUGCUUCAGAAAGAAAUUCAACGGUAUGUGGAGCCGGCAAAUAUAUAAACCUAUUCAUUACCAAAAAAUUAAAUUUUAGAAUUAAUUAAAUUGAAUUAAAAAUAAGUAAACAUAAUAUCGAUUUUGCAAAUAUAUGAACCUAUUCAUCACCAAAAAAUUAAAUUUUAGAAUUAAUUAAAUUGAAUUAGAAAUAAGUAAACAUAAUAUCGAUUUUGCAAAUAUAUGAAUCUAUUCAUCACCAAAAAUUUAAAUUUUAGAAUUAAUUAAAUUGAAUUUAAAUAAAUAUCAAGUAACAAGAAAAGUACCUUAAAAUUCGACUUUGUAACCGCCAAGACUUGUCCACAAAAUGUCCCGUAACAACCAUGUAACCCUUCUUUUGAUUACUCGCAGUCCACAUGUCUGUAGUAAUUGCCACCCUACUAUCAUUAUUCUCCAACAAAGCCAUUGCUUUUGCCUUUUCAGCUUGAUACAAUUUAAAAAUCUCACUCUUUAAAGUGUUUCUACUCAAAUUCUUCACCAAAGGGUUGGCAUAAGACAUCAAAUCCCUAAAUGCCUCAUAUUCCACAAAAUUAAGUGGCAGCUCAUGCUUUACAACCAAGGUUGCUAUCUUUUGCCGAGCAACAAUUGGAUCAAAUUCUCUCGUCUCAAUACAACUUGUUCCAUCAUCUUUCCUCAUCACGCUAAGAGUUUUUUGUAAGCAAUCAAGAACUAAGGGAACACCCUUUGCCUUACAUGAUUUUUUCAAAUGUCUAUCCAAAUGUGAGGUUCCAUUAUGACCGGAUGCUACCAACUUAGCUUGACAAUGAUUACAUUUCGCCUUCAAUUCACCAUUAAUGGUUACCUUGGUGAAGUGUCCCCAAACAUAAGAAGGUUCCCGCAUACCUCGCUUUUUUUUAUUACUACUUUGUUCUACCCCAUCAUCAUCACGGGAUGUCUCUUCAACUCCUUCAACUUCUUGGACCCCUUCAAGAGGAAUGUCAUCAUUUGUAUCCUCUUCGCCAACAUGAGAAUUCUCAAGUGAAUUUGACAUAAUGACCUAAAUUAAAUGUGUAACAAGUUGCAAUUAAAAUAUAAUAUUUAUGGUAACUACAUAAUCAUUAUGAAUAUAACAAGUUUUAUUGGCCAUUGUGUGUGUGUGUGUGUGUUUGAAUGUCUAGAUAAAUAAAUUAAAUUGAGCUGUAUGUGAAAUUUAUUAUAUUUAUAACAAUUGACUAGUUCACAUGAUGCAGUAAGAAAAUUUUUGUAAACUAGUUAAAAUUUUAGCUGAAGACGUCUUUGAAUCUUCAAGAAACAAAGGGGUAAGAGCAUGUAAAAGUACCAUGACUUUGAAGUAAAAAUGCAGCAACAAGCCCCAAGUAAAAGAAAAGAAAAUUCAUGAGUACAAAGAAAUCAAUUUACAACAUACAGCGGGACAAAAUUAUUAAAUUCGUGAGUACAAAGAAAUCAAUCCCUAAGCUGGUAUAGCAUCCACUGGACUACUCUUUUUAAUCGUUAAUUAAUAUAUAGUUACUGAUCUAUAACAAAUUCUUUCCAUCACCACAAAAAUAAAAUAAAAAUUCAAUCUAGCGGAAUGCAUCUAAUGACAAAAAUUCAUGUAAUUACAACUUAAAAAGCAGUGAAUUGGAUUAUAAUUACAAUUUAUAAUUACAACUUAAAAAGUUCAACAUGACCGAUCGAGGCUGCAGGCUGCUGGUUUUAUGGGUAAUUACAUAACAAAUUGGUCGGAAAUAAUUACAGAACAAAUUGCCAAUUCAUGAGUUCAAUUCACUCACCUAGCGGCGUCGCGGAUGGUCACAAUGGCGGGUCACGAUGGAGAGAAACGCAACAGUGAGAUGCGACAGCGAGACACGACGGUGAGACAACACAACAGUGAGACGCGGCUGAUUGGCUGGCGUGCGUCGACAGUCACGAUGCUGCUGGCUGAUUCGGUGGCGGGCUGGGUGGCUGGCUUAGUGGCUUAGGGUUUUUGAGAAUUUGAGAGCUGUGCCGUGCCGUACUGUGUUGUGUGAUUGUGUCUUGUGUGAUGCAGCUGUUUGUGAUGUGAGCGUGCAGCGUGUGUGAUUUUUUUUUUUUUUUUGCAAAUAGGGUCGGGUCGGGUCGGGUUGGCUUUAAGCCUGACCCUGACCCUAAAUUUGUUCGGGCCUAAAAAUUGUGGCCCGAACCCGACCCGAAACCCGAAAAUUCAGGCCAAAGCCCUAAUAAUUAGGGUCGGGUCAAUCGGGUUAAAAUUAGGGCCGAGCUAAAUUGCCAAGCCUAAGAAUACGUUAUAGUUUGAAUGGUUAGAUGAUCAUUCCUGUUGAUACUGAAAUCUGCUCGCCCUUUGCCCAACCAGAUCUUUUCACCAACGUUUAUAUGAUCAACAGACAAAAUGUCACAUUCUUUCUAUUUCAACGGUUUCUUGAGUUCCUGGGAUUGGAAUCACCAUUUUUUCUUCUCCUAAGCAUGCGUUCACAAGAAUGGAUCAGAGACGCCGGUGGUUUUAUCGGCGUAAACCCUCCGAUGCUUAAGUUAGCACAAGGUGUUUACGGGAAAACUAUGUAAUUUAGAUUGUGUGAUUUCUUGUAAUGCUCUCAAAAAUUUGUAUAGAAUGUAACUUGGUUUCAAUUUGGUAGAGUUUUUCCUUUUUCUCUCAAUUUUUUCUCCCCAUUUUUCAUCAGUUUCCUGACUUCUUAUAGCUGUUGUCCCACGUUUCUGCGUACUCUUUAUGCCCCCAUUUUUCGGGUGAUGGUAGACCUUCAUGGGUCUUCCACCAUUGGAUUGUGGGUAAACGUGGGAUGCCAUGUCUCUCCCAACGGUUUGGGGCAUAACGGAACUGUCGUGAUUUCCUGAGAUCGUGUGCCCUUUCUUUGGGAGAUGGGUAUCUAGUCGGUAUACGUCUCUGGUCGAUAUAUUUCUCUGGUUGAUGCUCAUCUCUAGUUGGCACAUAUUUAUAUAAGACGUUUUACCAGGACUCUUCUCGUGCCAUUCAGCUGAGGAGAUUCGCUUCGGGGUGAGAGAUGAGGGCACGUUUUAUCAGGACUCUUCUCGUGCCAUUCAGCUGAGGAGAUUCGCCUCGGGGUGGGAGAUGAGGGCAUGGCCGAGCUAGUACGUUUUAUUACUUAACACCAAUCCCAGUUUCUGGUCUUGUGAGUGAAACGAGUUGAGAUUAGAAACUGAUAAUCGGAUCUUACCGACCCCAGGAAAUACCUAUCUGGUCUUCGUGUUAUUAUGAUGGAUUUGAGGUUCCGCCUUUUGUUUAAGGAGAUUUCAGUCUGCGUAUGGGCCUUCGUGAUCGUGUCCAAUAUAUAGCUGGGCUAACAUCUCGUCAGGCCUUUUCUAACGGUCAGUGACGUGUCGCUUCUUGCCUUUUCGUAUUUGAAAUUUAAAACGACGACUUAUCUGUCCUCGAUUUACGGCAAGUGAGCUGGCAUCCGUGUAACUUAAACGCCUCCAUUUCCCCUUUCAUUUUAAAUCCCUAAAUUAAAACUGUCAUUGCGUUUCAUUAUUUGCCAUUCUACCGUAAGCCAACUCCCUCCUUGGACUUUAAUCAUACUUUCAGCGUCAGAAACCUUUGUUUGCUGGGUCCUUUCUCCGUCACAGCAAUGCUACUAGUGCCAGUCUAUUCCAAGUAUCGCCUUUAACUUCUUCUCUGGUUGUUGUUGCUUGGGUUCUGUAUUAUCCCUUUUUGUACCCCUAUACUUGGAUUUACUGUGCUUUCCCUUUUAAGAUUUCGAUAUGUCAAACCGAAAGGGAAAAAUAAUUAUAGAUGAGAGUGACGAAGAGAUAGAGGAUUCAUACCCCAACCUAUUUGGACCCAAUGAUCCCCUACGCUCUUCUCGCAGUGUAGGUCCCUCAUAUCAUAAGGAUACCCUUGAAUACCCUCGCCCCAUGACCAUUUUGCCUUCCCCUAAUUUAGAACCCGUGGGAAAUCGUGGUGGACCAGCGUCGGGCUCUGGUGAGAAUCACAGUUCUGGGGGGCUGGGGUCCUUGAGGAAGUGGGUGAAGGUGAGGAGAGUAGUUCCGAGCCGAGCAGACCCUCUAAGAAGAGGAACCUUGGUCAUAGAAUGGAGGCAGAUGCUUACCCCAUUAAUUAUAUCACCUGUGCUACUACCCACACUGACCUACUCAAGCUUAGAAACCUUUAAAAUAUCCCUGAGGAGGUUCUCCUUGUAAUCCCUGGGAAAAGUGACGUCCCCAGUCGGCCUCCCAAGGGGUAUGUGACGAUGCAUCUAGAAAGUUUCAAGCUAGGGGCUCGGUUGCCCCUUCAGCUUUAUUUUGCCAGGAUAUUGGGUGGCAUGCAUCUGGCUCCAGGUCAGCUUCACCCGAACGUGUGGAGGGUUCUUUCAGCCUUGUAUGUGCUAUGGGAAAGGUGUGGACUCGGGGAGCCUUCCCUUGUGGAAGUAAAGCACUUGUAUCAACUGAGGAGCAGCCCAAAAGAGGCUGGCUGGUACUACUUCAUGUCGAGCUCUGCAAAGAGGAAGCCUAUAAGCUAAAAUGUCGACCUCAACCGUAGGCCUUACAAAUCUAAAGUGUCGACCUCAGUUGUAGAUCUUACCAAACUAAAAUGUCGACCUCGACCGUAGAGCUCACAAAGCAAGUGUCAACCUCAACCAUAGGCUUUACAAAACUAAAAUGUCGACCUCAGUUGUAGAUCCUACCAAACUAAAAUGUCAACCUCAACCGUAGGCUUUACAAAACUAAAAUGUCGACCUCAAAUGUAGAGCUCACAAAGCAAAAGUGUCAACCUCAACCAUAAAUCUUACUAAGCUAAAAUGUUGACCUCAGUUUUAGAUCCUACCAAGCUAAAAUGUCAACCUCAACCGUAAAGCUCACAAAGCAACUAUCGACCUCAACCGUAGGCUUUGCAAAACUAAAAUGUCGACCUCAAAUGUAGAUCUUACAAAGCAAGUGUGGACUUCAACCGUAGGCUUUACAAAACUAAAAUGUCGACCUCAAUUGUAGAGCUCACAACGCAAAAGUGUCGACCUCAAUUGUAGACCUUACAAAACUAAAUUGUCGACCUCAACCAUAGGCCUUACAAAUCUAAAGUGUCAACCUUAAUAAAUUGAAAAUUGUAGAACUUAAAUGUUAUGGCUAUGGUCGACCUCAACAAGUUUUCACGUUGGACCUCAACAAGGCCAAAAUGUUGAUCUCAAUCUCAAUAAGCUUGGAUAAAUUUUUCAUGUUCGACCUCAACAAGGCCUAAAUGUCGAAACUCAAUCUCAAUAAGAUUUGAUAAAAAAUUUCACGUUGGACCUCAAUAAGGCCAAAAUGUCUAUCUCAUUCUCAAUAAGAUUAGAUAAAUUUUCACAUUCAGCCUCAACAAGGCCUAAAUUUCGAUCUCAAUCUCAAUAAGAUUUGAUAAAAAAAUUUUCGUUGGACCUCAAUAAGGCCCAAAUAUGCCGAUCUCAAAUAAGACCGGUCACAAGUAGGUAAGAAAUAGAGUUGCACUUCUGAAUAACCUCAUUGAUAUUAAUAUGGCAGAAAUUAAAGAAUUGAACACAUAACGAAUUGAAAUAACAAAGAAACAAACUAUCAUAACAUAUUUAAAGAAAACAAACAAACAAGAACAUCAUAAAUAAGAUUGGCCUACUGAUAGUAUUUUCGUAGGUGCUCUGCAUUCAAUGCCUUGCCGAUGACCCUGCCAUCCGGAUAACCUAACUUAUAUGUGCCAUUACCAAAUGAAUGUAGUACUUUGUAUAGUCCUUACCAGCUCGGCCCCAGAACUUCAUCAGCUGGCUUUUUAGUUGAUUGAUUGACUUUGCGGAGCACCAGGUCCCCCUCCUGAAAUUGUUGUAGCCUGACAUUCUUGUUGUAGAACUUAGCCACUUUUUACUGGUAAAUUACUGCUCGACCUCUUGCCGUCUUUCUCUUCUCAUCAAACAAAUCUAAAUCCAACAACAUAUGUUCCCUGUUUACUAUCUCAUCAUAAUAUUUUGUGCGGUGUGUCUCCAUGCCAACCUCAGUUGGGAUUACUGCCUCAUGUCCGAAAGCAAGCAAGAAUGGAGUCUCCUCCGUUAAAGUCUUCACGGUCAUUCUAUAGGCCCACAGUACUCCUGGAAGCUCAUCCACCCAAGCUCCCUUCUUCUCACCCAACCUUUUCUUCAACAAUUGCUUUAUAGUUUUGUUCGUCGCUUCCACUUCUCUGUUUGCCUUCGGAUGAGUAGGUGAGCUAAAUCAAAGUUCAAUAUCAAGCUGACCACAAAACUUCUUGAAAUUCUCAUUAUUGAAUUGGGUUCCAUUAUCAGUGAUAAUAGCUUGUGGUAGGCCAUUUUUGCAAAUCAUAUUCCUCCAUAUGAAAUAUGUUGUGCGCUUCUCGGUUAUCUUUUGUAAUUGUUCAACUUCAAUCCACUUAGUAAAAUAAUCAAUGGCUACCACCGCGUAUUUCAUUUGGCCUCUCUCGGUUGGCAUUGGUCUGAUAAGAUCCACCCCCCAUUGUGCAAAUGGCCAAGUGCUCCCCAUUGUCAUCAUGUUUUCUGGUGGUCGUCUUACAAUUAUGGCGAACUUUUGGCAUUCAUCACAUCUCUGAACUAACUCUUGUGCAUCUUCAUGCAUGGUCGGCCAAAAAUAACCAUACCUUAUUAUUUUAUGGGCCAAUGCCCUACCUCCGCUAUGAUUUCCAUAAAUUCCCUCGUGCACCUCUCUCAUCACAUUGUUGGCAUCAGCUGAGCCCAAACAUCACAGGUAAGGUAAAGUGUAACUUCUCUUAUAAAGCACACCUUCGAUAAUGGUGCAUCGUGUUGCCUGGCAUCGCAGCCUUCUUACCUCUGCUUUAUCUUGAGGUUGUUCCCCAAAUUCAAUAUACCUCAUGAUAGGCACCAUCUAGUUCUUCUCAUCUUUUACCAUACAAACUUUCAUUUUGGAAUCAGCUAUACAUGGCUUUGAAACUGACUCCAAUAGAAUUCCUCGUGGGAACUUUGGGCAUUCUAUAGCUGCUAGUCUUGCUAUAUAAUCUGUUCGGUAAUUCUUUCCCCUCAGAACUUGCUCCAUUGUAGCGUGAUCAAAACUACCCCAUAGCUACAGUGCUUUGCUCAGAUACUUGGACAUGUUCUCACUUUUGGCUUGAAAUGUCUCAUUCAGGUAGUUCACUACCAGUUGAGAGUCAAUCUUCACCUUCAAAUGUCGAACUCCCAAUGCUCUUGCUAAUUUUAGACCCGCAAUGAGAGCUUCGCAUUCUGCUUCAUUGUUUGUAGGAUGUAAUUCAUACUUGAGAGCGUAGCAUACUUCUUCCUAGUCGGGCGAAACAAGAACAAUUCCCCCGCCUGACCCUUCUGGGUUUGCAGCUCCACCUACAUUAAGCUCCCAUACAUCAUUAUUCUUCUCUGCCUCUUUAAUCUCCUGCUCGGCAUCCAUCUCUUCACUCUCUUCACUGUAAUCAUUAAUGAAGUUGACCAAAGUUUGUGCUUUAAUUGUUGACCUCGAUCGGUAACUGAUGUCGAAUUCACUUAGUUCUACCGACUACUUAACUAGUCUUCCUGAAAUGUCCGGUUUGUGCAAAAUUUGUCUCAAAGGUUGAUUAGUGACUACCACGAUCUCAUGAGCUUGAAAAUAUGGCCUCACCUUUCUUGCGGCUACAACUAAAGCCAUCACCCACUUUUCUACAAUAUGAUAUCUUACUUCUACCCCUGUAAGAGAUCUGCUCAUGUAGUAUACAGGUCGUUGUACUUCAUCUUUUUCUUUUACCAUGACUGAGCUAGUUGAAUAAUUUGAGACCACCAAGUAGAUCAAGAAAACAUCACCCACUAAGGGCUUCGCCAAAGUGGGUACGUUGGCCAAAUACGCCUUUAAAUGUUAAAAUGUUGUCUCACAUUCUUCCGACCACCUCAAUCUUUUUCCUUUCUUUAUCAAUUUAAAAAACAAAUGGCAUUUAUCUGAUGAUUUCAAAAUGAACCUACUCAGCGCGGUAACUUUUCCAGCUAAGCUCUGAACAUCUUUACGAUUCUUCGGCGACCUCAUCUUGAGGAUGACCUCUACUUUUUCCAGAUUAGCUUCUAUCCCCUUUUGACUAACUAGGAAGCCCAAAAAUUUCCUUGAUUCUACUUCAAAGACACACUUUGCCGGAAUCAACUUCAUCUGAUUCUUUCGUAGCACUUCAAACGUCUCACGCAAAUGCGUUGUAUGUUUGACUGGCUCAACAGACUUGGUUAUCAUGUCAUCUACAUAUACCUCCAUCGUUUUACCAAUCAAGGGCUUGAAAAACUUGUUUACCAAUAUUUGAUAAGUAGCUCCAGCAUUUUUUAAUCCGAAUGGCAUCACAUGGUAGCAAUACAAUCCUUGAUCAGUCACAAAAGCUGUCUUUUCUUCAUCUGCUGUGGACAUACGAGUCUGGUUGUAUCCUAAGAAUGCAUCCAUAAAACUCAUCAAGUCAUGCCCGACUGUUGAAUCCACUAACUAAUCAAUCUUUGAGAGAAGGAAACUAUUUUGAGGACAAACUUUGUUGAGGUCGGUAAAGUCCACACACAUCCUCCAUUUUCCAUUCGCCUUUUUAACCAUUACCACAUUCGAAACCCAUUCUAGAUAGUUCACUUCCCUUAUAAAUCCCACUUUCAACAAUUUAUCUACCUCAUCAUGGAUGGCCGCAUACCUUUCCUGGUUGAACAUUCUUCUUUUCUGCUUCACUGGCUUAUGUUUUUUUAUCUAUAGCUAACUGGUGACACAUGAUUCGUAGGUCUAUUCCCGGCAUAUCUUCAUGUCUCUAAGCAAAUAUGUCAUUAUACUCCACUAAUAAAUUCUGAAGCUCAUUGGAAAUGUCAUCUGUUAUCUUUGUUCCCACUCUUACUACUCUGCUUAGAUCAUCCUCACUUACUGGCACUUGUUUCAUUUCUUCAUUAGGUUGCUGUUGGCAUAACCUAUUUUCAGCUCGUGGAUCAAUACUUGUGAUCUGUAUGGAUUCUCUCGCAAUUGUAGUGUAACAGCUUCGAGCCACUUGUUGUUGGCCCCUCAUCACUCCAACUCCACCUUGAACUCUAAACUUCACACAUUGCAUAUGAGUUGAGCUCACUGCUCCUGCUAUCCUAUUGAACGGUUUGCCCAAAAUAACUUGAUAAGGGCUUGGCUCAUCAACUACCAAUCAUGUCACCAUCAUUGUCUUUAGUAACCUCUUAUCUUUUAUUGCAGCAUAUAUUUCUGCUCUGCUCGUGUUCAGUGGUGUGUAUCUUCCACUCUGUUCUAAUAAAUUCACCCCAUUAGCAGGUCUCGAUCCUCUCCGGUCUACAGGUGGUGGCAACCUAUUGUAAUCUCUUACUUGGUUCUCCCGUUGGUUCCUCAUAUAAUUAUUUCCUCCAUCUCGGCCUCUUCCUACUAAUGAGAUUCCUCUUCUUUCACGUUUUCCUUCCCAAUUUCGACCCGACCUUUCUAGUUGUCUAUAAUUAAACAACCCUUUGUCGUAAUGACUCCUAUCAUCUGUGUUCAUCCUCGAGCUAUACCCAAAGUUAUCUCCUCUCCUUCUCAGGUCUCCCCUUCUCACCGAACCCUCUGUCUGCAUUUCCAUUCUCCUAUUUUCUUCCUCUGCAUCUUCAAUUUUCAUAUCCAAUUUUUCUUGGUCGUGCGCCUUAGUAUAUGUUGUUAUCCUCUUACUAUAUAAGCUAUUCCACAAUCGAUUGAUUCUCAACCCCUUCUUUAAUCCCUCUAGAGCAUCCGGGUGAUCAAAGGCCCCUAGAUCGGUAGCCUCCUUAUGAUACCUGGUCACAAAACUCCUCAAACUUUCAAAUUCUCGUUGGACCAAUUUUUUCAAUCUGCUCGUAUCUUGCUCUGGUAUGCAUGAACCUCUAAAACGCACAACGAAAAGCUCACAUAACUCCUUGAAAUUUUCUAUGCUUCCCUUCUUUAAUCUUCGGUACCACUCCCGUGCUUGUCCUUCUAAGGUUAAAGGAAAAACACAACACCUUUGAAAAUUAUUCAAACCUUGGAUCCCGUUCAUCUUAUUAAACUUCUCCACGUGAUGAUUCAGGUCAGUUUUUCCUUCAUACACCAAGGCUGGAACCACAUACUUGGAUGGCAAAGUUACCACCAUCACUUUACGUACCAAGAGGGACUCGUCAUCAAGUAACAACCUUCCUAUUACUUUCUUGCCCUCUGUUUUCACCUCUAAUGCCUCUAGUGUUUUUUGAAAUUGCAGCAUUCGCUGCUCAAGCUCAUUUGCCUGGUGGGCGUCUCUCAACUCUUCCAUCUCCCUUUCUUGAUUCAAGUCAUUGAUUUUCCAUCUCAACUCAUUCACUUGUUCUCCUACACUUCUAUUCUCUUGUCGUACCCCAACUUAUGGUAGUCCCUUUCCGCUCUGCUGUUCACCACCAAGCUCUUCCAUCUCUCAUGUUCUACUACUCUCUAGGUCACUAGCUCGAACUUGAGCACCUCUGACUUGGGCAUCAACCAACCCCCUGAUCAUCUCCUCAAAUUUUGCCAUGUGCCUCUCGAUCCCUUCUCUCCAUCUCUUAUCUGUCGUGGCAUUCAUUUCCUCUGCCAAUUGGCGCAAGGUCUACCUAUUUCCAUCAUUAUCAUCCAUUGUUGUUUCGUAAUCUGAUAGCCUUCUCCUUCUAAAUCUUCAAACGUAUGGCUUUUCGUACCUUUCCUCACAGACGGCGCCAAGAUGUUGAUGCUGAAAAACGACCUCAACAGCUGAAUUUGUUUUCUUUUGGGGAAUUACAGUGCGAAUCCAAGCUCAAACGUCGGUCUGAACCCAGCUUUAUAUUCCUGACAACCAGAAAACACGGUUAGGAUACGCCGGUGGGGUCCCGGCGUAGACCCUCCGAUGCUUAAGUCAGAAAUUGUGUAUAAGAAAAAGGUAAAUGAGAAGGGAGAAUUGUGAAAAGCGAAAAUUAAGGAAUUUUUUCGGUAGAGAAAACUAAAAAUCUUGUCGGGAAUCCUAAGACUUUUAGAGAGGUGACUUAUAGAAUUUUUGGUUCAUUUUUCUAACCCCUUCCUCAGUUGCCCCUUUCAGCUUAAAUAGGCCCUUGGUCGUGGGUGGUUACCACCUUUAACUUCUGCCCACUGUCUUCAGCAGUUGCACGUGGUCAUCAGUUGGAGACGGUUUAAAUGGAUCGUGGCACACAACUUUUCGAGAAACUAGGCCACGUUAUCUCAACCGAUAGCUUUCUAUGUCAAGCUAAUUCUCGGGUCGGACAAAUAAAUUUCGAGGUCGGAUUUCUUCACUUUCAGAUCGGACCGAUGAAUUUCCUAGUUGCUCAUAUAGGCUUAAGGUUGUAUUCUUAAAUAAGGUCAUUUAUAUAAAUCUCAGGUCGUACUUGUAAAUCAGGCCGCCAACAUAGGCUCCAGGUUGUACUUACGAGGUUAGCUCGACGACAAUGAGUUCUGAGUAGAUUGGGGUCGACUAUAUUUCUAAACAUUACUAGAAAAAUCCAACCCGAACAAUGUUGACUCUUUCUAGAGGUUAUCAGAAAAAUCCAACCCGAACAUUCAUAAAUUAUUAAUCUAAACCUGCUGGUUUUGAUCCAAUUUCUUCUAUGGUUUUACUUGUUUGUUUUAGAGCUAAGUACAAGAUCAUCCAUUGAUCUUGUCUCCAUUGGUCUUGAUUGAUCUUGGGGUUUCAUUUGAUCUAUGAAACCUUGGAUUGUUUCAAAUUUUCUUCUCUGUUUCAUUGAUGAAUCCCGAUGGCUAUACAAAAUCGUCUUUCCUCUACUGCAAGCAGGGGCUUUGGGGCGACUGCAAGGAACUGGGAUGAUGGUACGUGUUCAAGCGUGCAAAUUUGCAGAGAAUGAAUUGAGCAAGUGUUGAUUGUGCCUCCAGCACUUCUCAUUUUUGCUCCAGCAAAACUCCAUGACUAGUUGUUCUAAGAACUUCUCAGCAGUUGACUCAUUAUUGUUUGGACUGAAACCUUCAGCUACCCACAAUUGAUACAAUUAAAGUUUCAAGAAAAAAAAUAAUGUGAAAUGGUAUUAAAUCCUCUUACAAUUUGAACUUAUAUGGGUUUUGAAGAAUCUUAUGAUAUAUGUGUAUUUUUAUUUAUAUACAAUCAAGAUUUAUUCAUUAUUUUAUUUCAUAUAAUAACACAUAAUUACAUAAUUGUAGUAGCUCAGAUCGGUAUAGAAUCCUAAAAUGUGGAAUAUGCAAACAUUUGAUACUCACUAGAGAUAUGCCAAGUAUCUAGCCAAUUCUUUUCUAAUGACACAAUUCCAUGGUAGAAGAUGAGAAAAGGCCGUCGGUAACUUUUAGUGGUACUCCUGCAGGCACUAACUUAAUCCCAGUGUUCUCUCCAUUUUUCAGUUGGAACGAUGUGAGCAAGUCUAUUUGAGAAAGCUAACAGUCUAAUUCAAUAAUGGGCUGAAGAUCUUUUUCUAAUUCUCCAUCAGUUUUGAUCUUUUUCAGCAUUUGAUCGCAGCAUAAUCCAAGUUGUGUUGUUUCCACAAGCACUCAGCAAAGAAGUAACGAUUUCUUAUCUCUGCGUGAAGGUUUUGAAUAUGUUGUUUAGCAACCUCGAGCAACGUGACUCCGUCCCUUCCCGUCUCAUCACGCGGUAGUCCUAGCAUGCAAAGUAAUUAAAAGACAUCAUGAUAAAAAAAUAAAAAAAUAAAUCUUUAGAUCUCUUGAUGAAUAAUGAUAGAGGAGCAACUAUCUUGUAUAAAUAAAUUUGUACAGACUGAUGUGAUAUGAAAAGAUUAAUUGUAUAAAAAUAACUUUAGCUGUUGAUGAAACUCAACUCCGAUUGACACACUAUGAGUGAUAUCUAAUUCUCUAACUAAUCCAGCAGGAAGUUGCUAUUCAAAAAAUUGAAUAAAGAUUGGUGACCAAUCAUUAUGUAAAAGGAAUAGAAAGAAAAAUUUUAUAAAAUGCAAAUUAAUUAAUGUUUAGCUUUUAGGAAAGGAGGUUAGUGCAACUUGGAAAGAUUCUAUCUAGAAACCAUCAUUUUACGAAUUAACCUGUUUGUCAAUGCAUUUCUAAAUGGAAGAUAGUUGGUCCUGGAAAAUGAGCCAAAUUGUGCUUGUGCUCAAAAUAACAUUUGCUAAAUGCUAAUGUAAUUGCUACCGAAACGCUAGCUUUCAUUUUUUUUUCUUUCUUUUUAUCUGAUUUUUCAUCAUAUGAAACGUGAGAGUGAAAUCAAAACUUGUGAAUAAGAUUCAAACAUGUACAUAUAGUGGAUCUAACAAAAUAAUGAAAUGGAAUUAUUUUGUCGAUAAUUCAAAUAAUAAAGCACCUAUUUUUUCUUAGAAUAAUCACAAACUUCAAUAUGCCGAUGAUAUAUAUCUUAUUGAGAUUAAAAACAACACAAGCAACCUAUUACGUGAAAGGAAUAGAAAAAAAAAAAAGGAUGUUGAAUUUUAUUCAACGUGGGUAUUAAUGGAUGAAUGAUUUUGGUAGAAUUGAAGUUUUUUUUUUUUAAUGCAAAGGCUAUAAGGAUCAUUUUUAAUGCAAACGGGGAUUUCUCUGCUGCAAAAGACGGCUUUGGUAUGAUUGUAAGGAAUUGAGAGUGAGCAGCACAUCCUGCGUGCCAUCAAAUUCUUUGCACUACAGGCACCCUCUGCAUGCUGUGGAGGGAAAAAUAUGAAAACCAUUACAACUGCUCUUCGUUCUCUUAAUCCAUUGGGGCUGCUAAUCAAUCAAUAGAGAAAGAAUUCAGUCAUCAAUUUUGACAAAGCUUCCAAAACGUACAACACUAGAGAUAAAAUCUUCCACUUUCAGAACUUUACUGGUUAAAUCUUCUGCUCCAAAUCACCAAGGAUUAGUGCUGGUUUUCGAUUUUACAUGGGCUGUUGGACAACCUAAAUUGAUAAGGGCUUAAUCUCCAAAUAUCUGAAGAAUAUGAAGAUUAGGCAAUAUGCUCCAGUUUCUUUUUGUUGCGUUUAAUCCUCUAACAGUACCAAGAUCAAACACCCUAGACCAUCUUUGAUUUGAUGUAUGAAGACUCAUUCUCAGAAAUCCGAACUAAAAAUUGAAUCAAAGUGCCUACAUCCAGUGAAGAACAAGGAUACAAGUUGUCAAGCUUUCACUAUUUCACAAAUCAAGGUUACCAGGAUGUAGAGCUUGUUACAGAGAACAAGAAUAUACAACUUUUUAUUUCAACUCUCUCUCUCUCUCUCUCUCCAUAGCUUUGAUGAGAUUUGAGAAGAUGGCCCAUCAACCAGCCUUAUAAACUACGAUAAAGGCUAUCUCUAACAAUCCUUGAAUUUUCCUGCACUUAUUUAACUAACCCCAACUCAAUUCUGACCAGCACUCUGACCCUUAUUAUGACCGACACGUCGGUGAAAUUCCAAAAAACCGAACAACAAUGUCGUUCUGCCAGUGUUGACAUGAUGAGAUGAGAUCACAUCACAAAUACUUUUCUUCUAACUGAAGUACUAAGCUUGAAGUUGAACUGUACCGCUACUUAAAAACUAGAGGAAGAAAUAAAAUAAAAAUAAAAACAAUAACAAUAACAUAUAUCAAUUUGAAUGUUGACAAAUUGAAUACACACAAGUGAAACUGAAAAUAGAAAGUAAAACAAUUAAUCAGACUUUUGCACAAUAUAUUAAUCCGAACAUGACAUUAUUACUUUUAGCAAGCAAAUCCUUGAAAACAAAGAAACCAAACAAAGUGUGGACAACACAGCAGCAGUGAACACUGAAAGGAUGAAGGCUGGAUUCUGGUUGAAAUUGAAACUUUGGCUGCAGUGCAGUUAAGAUAGUUUCUGCUCUGCUUUUACCUACACAUACAACUAAUUGAAGAUCGCAUCAUACAGUUUUUAAUGAAUGGUGUCAGCAUUAGGAACUGUGAUGGACACAUCGAGUUUAUGUUAAGAAUGUAGAAAACACUUUAUAGUACGAUUAUAGUUUAGGCAUUUGCGCACUAUCAAAUCUGUUGUAGAGAAGAAAACAUUUAUAUGAAAUUAGAUCAAUAAUUAAAGGUUGAAGUUAUUGGAGAAGAAGAUAAAACUUACAUCAAAUUCAAUCGGGGCUAAUCAAAUUCCGUAAGGAUAUAGCCGAACACCAUACUGCUCCUUAUCCUCGAAUUCCCGUAGCUUUGUCUCAGCUCCGGCUGCGGCCACCAACACUCGAAAUUGUUUAAGCUCUUUAUGCCCCAGAGCUGUUCAGGAAACAUUUUCAAGUAAGCACAAGGGUUGAUAAUCAAGCAUUCUAGUUUUGGCAUGACUGCAAUCCCCAUAGUCCACUCCUCUAGCCAUAGCAUUGAUUUCAGGUGCAACACCUUGAGGUUCGGAAAACCAUAAGAGCCACAAGUCAGCUUUCUACCUGAAUACGAGUUUUGCUUCAGUUUGAGCACUUGAAGAAGCGGCAGCUUUUCUAGUGCCGGCAUGGGAUCAUCCAUUAGGUCAGUAUUAGAAAAACUCACGUGGGUUAGACUAUGAGGAAAUAGGUAUUCAGCAAGGACGAUUUUGUAGAGCCGUGGCAUCUUGCUUUUAUUUUCCAGCUUCAAUGACUCGAGAUUGCUCAAUCCGCAGAGACUUUUGGAUAACAAAGAUUGAUAAUAACUAAAAUCUCCCCGUAUCUGGAGAUUUCAAAGAUUAGGUAGUCUGGCCAGUAUAUCUUCAGUACAGCAGCAAGGAUUCAAGGCUGAAAUGAAAUUGAGAUUUUCCAGAGAGCCGCAAUAUUUUCCUGGAUGCGCAGGAAGUGUGAUUGAGCCAAAAUUUAGAUGCCUGAGUUUGUUCAUAUUCCAAAAUUCAUCUGCUGUAUGAUCUAUGUAGCUAAAGGGCAUGUCUAGGGUGUAGAGGUUCAGAAGAUUGCUAAAUAAUGAUGAAGGCAGGCUUUUGAGGGAAGGGAUAUUCAACUUCAAAUAUCUCAAAAGGAAUAAAAUUUCAAUUCCGAAUGGAUACUGGAUGAGAACAAGAGAUCACAAGUCCAAUACUUUGAGAAGUUUGAACAUUCCACAAAUUUUCUCCCAAUCCAUGGGGUCAAAGUGGCGGGUUUCUGGAGAGCAGAACAACAAAGACUGCAGUUGCAAGUCAUAAUCAUCUAAGCAAGCGAAAUCACCCUCUCUUUCAACAGCGUUUAACCGUUUGAAUUUUUUUGGUGAUUUACCUUCUGGAUCCAUGAAAGGGGAAGAGAUAAAUUCCACCAUAUAAGGAACUGACAUCAACACAGGAUGGCAACAGCUACGAAUAGAGCAUGUGUUGAUAGUGCCUGCAGCUUUUCUCUUCUUUGCUUCAACAAAGCCUCCCUUGAUUAGUUGUUCUAAGUAAUUCUCAGCAGUUGCCUCACUAUUGUCUAGGAUGAAACCUUCAGCUAUCCACAACUAAUAUAACUGCCUGGUGGAUAUCUCUAGGUGUGCGGGAAACACGGAUAAGUAGAGAAAACAAAGUUUCAAGCAAAAAGGUAACUUGCAACAUGUGAAGCCUACAAUCCCAACGGGUGUAUCCAAUACUUCCUCUAUAUUUUCUUCUAAUGAGAUGCUUCCAUGAUAUAAGAUGAGGAAAGGCCAUCCUUGGUAAGUAACUCUCAAUCGUCCUCCAGUGGGCACAAAAUCAAGCCGAAUGUUCUCUCCGUUUUCGAACUGAAAUGAGGUGACCAUCUCAAUUUGAGUGAGUGUUAUUAAUACUCGACUUCCAUUCUGAUUAUCUGGAAGUAUUUCUCGAAUAACAUCCAAUACAUCAGUGCUCCACACGUCAUCAAUCACAAUCAAAUACUGCUUGGUCAUUAGAUAUUCAUGAAGAAUGAUUUUUUUCAUUUCAUAAUUUUUAUCCUCUAUUUCACUCAACCUAGAUGAAGGCAUUAGAAACUUAAUAAUGAUAUCUAAUAUUUGGUCAGCUUCAUACGGAUAAGGCUCCCGAAUCCAAGUGUGACAAUCAAAAUAAUGCUUCGCAUAACUGCUGUUGUAAGCCUCUCUGGCGAAAGCCGUCUUGUCCAACCCAAUGCUAUCAAGUAUGACCACCACUGAAAGCUGAGGUGGUCCCUCAAUCAACAGAUCUAACAACUCCACCAUUCUAUCAUCUAGACCCACCAUUUCCCGGUUUUUAGAAGAUGAAAAUAUACCGGCUUCAGCUUCAAGAGUUUUGAUGUCGUCCAUGAGGUCGGAAUCCAUGUGCUUAAGUUGUUGCAUCCGUUGCUUAAUAUCAGUGAUUCUGCUUUGGUGUCCUUGCAGAGCAUCACAAACGUCCUUGCUGUGGCUGCUUUGAAUCUUCUGUUCACUGAUGCUGUUGAUGAAUGUGUCAAUCACCUUCUCAGAUUCAUACGUAAAGCAAUUGAUUUGAUCCAUAAUGGUCCCAAGAUCUGGGUCAUCAAUUUCCUCUUUUCCUAUUUGUUGCACCAGAAGCCAGGACGUUUCAUAUUCAGAGUCCCUCAGCCAGGAAGUAACGAUUUCAAUCUCGGCGAGAAGGUUCUGAAUAGGUUGUUUUACAGCAUCAGGCAACGUGGCUUCUUCACUAGCUAACACCCUUCUCAACCUCUCUGAAAAUAGUCUGAAGUUGAUGUCCAUAUCUCCUCCUCUCUCAGAUUCACCCUGAAAUCAGUCCUGUACCAUGCAAAGAAAUAAUUAAAAGAGAGAGGGGAAAAGGAAAAUAUGCUUUAAAGCUCUCAAUUCAAACAUUAGUGCUGGCUCCCAUACCUUCCUUCUCUUCGCUAGUUCUCCAGUCAAGAAGUUGAAUCAAGAUCGUUGACUCUCAAAUUAGAACAUAUCAAGGCAGAAUCUUACAAUAAUCUCGUCUUCCAUAUGAUGAAAAAAGAAUAAAGCAGAGAAAAAUAAACAGGACAUCGUCAAGUACCGAUCAAGACCGAUUUGUUUUAUACAUCCACUUUUGAGAAAGAAAGGAAGGGAUAAAAACAAUUCCACUGGGACUAUAAAAGCUUGUCUAAAAUGAAGAGAACAGAGUAAGCACAACAGCGUUAUCAAUUAUUUAAUAAUUAAGCUGUGGAAAAAUGCAAAAUCAUGUCUGGUGGGUUAAAUUUAUUGCGAGACUUGCAUGUAUGUAUAUCACAGAUAAAAUUUUUAUCCCAGGGUUAUAAAUGUAAAAUUACUCAAAUAAAUGUGCAUUAUUAAUCAUGUACGGUGCUAUCUUAUUUCUUCAACGAGAUUUAGAGAAAGUACUAAAUCGUUUGUAAAACUACAUACAUAUCCCGCAGAAAGUUGGAGAUCUUUUUAGCAUUCUUUUUUAAGAAAUGAAAAUUGAUAAAAAGUUCUAAUGUGACAAAAAAUAAUAAUAAAUUGUGCAAUCUUACAAUGUUAACUGAAAAAUAGUUAUAAUUUUUUAUUUAACAUUUUAAAUUUUAUUUAUAGUUGUUUUGUCGCCAUUGUAUGGUUCUUUGAUUCAAAUAUCAAUAUUAUAUGAACCCUCACCAUUUUGAAAGGAUUACAUCUUAAAGCACUAUUUAUAAUUAUGUUCAUUUGAGCCCUUAGUGUUAAAAAUAUAACAAUCCAUCAAAUGAAAUCAAUGAUAAUCGAAUUCCAAGUAGGAAUCGCAGAAAAAUCCGAUCUAGGUAGAGCAUGUUUUCGAAGUACUCUGGCUGGAUUUGGACUUUGGUUAAAAAACCCGAACCCAGCUCGAAAGCUCAAAACAAUUGAAAAUUUUUUAAAUAUAUGUUAUUUUAAUUAAAAUACAACUUUUAAUAUAUUUAAUCCACUCAUAGCAUAUAUUUAAAGUUUUAAAUCAUUUGAGUCCAACUUUUAAAGCCUAGUCUAACAAAGAAGAAACUAAAUUUUAUAAACUAUAAAUUUGUAAACUAUAAUGAAAAAAGUUUUUUUUUUUAAAAUGGAAUGUAUACUUCAGACUUUUUGGCUUGGCUUGAGAGAAAAAGAAAGAAAAAAAACAUGUUUUGCCAUCCCUAAUUCCAAAGCUUUAAAGACUUCUCCAAAUGUAUAGUACAACAUUGUAUAGGACCAAUCACACGGAGAUGAUUUGAAUUUUUUAACACAAUUUUAAUGCAUAUCAGAAGAGAGGCAGCAAUCUUAGUUGAUACUUUUAUUUGACAUAUGAUGUAAGAAAUGAAGCAAAGAUUGUAACGUUACAAACUUUGCAAUUCAGCAUCCAAAAUAUCACUAGAACUUGAAAUACAAGCUUUAAUCUCUUCAACAACACGUCGAAUUGCGGCCAGGAACACAGACGCAAAGAUGGGUAUCAAGAUCACAUUCAAACGAAUGACAGGGAUUGUCACAGUCAGCAUUGCUUUUACAAGUGACUGCUUUUGAUUCCGGCUGGGCAUCAACUGUCGGCAUGGAAAUAUGAAACAACAUGCCUACAUAUAUAAAUGUCAAACAAUUAAUCAGCCUAAUGGUAGUAACACACAUGCAUAUAUAAAUGCCAACCAAUUAGUUGUCAUAUUAUAGUUAAUUAUUGAUGCAGCGGAAGUUUAAUGUUUAAAUAUUCCGUUGAUUUUAGAGAAUGCCAGAAUAAAAAAACAAUUAAAUUCACAUUGAUUUAAAAGAAUGCCGCGAAUUUAGGUGUUAAGACUCGUUGAUUCCACAGAAUAUCGAGAAUUAACUGAAUUCAAAUACUGACACAGAGUUUUGAAAACUGAAAUAUUAUUAAACUCGAAUCUCUCUACUUGUAAAAGCUGCAAAAGACACUUAUUUAUACUAACCGAGACUUAUCCUAAUUUGAUUAGAAAACAUAUUUUAAUAAGACUUAUACCUAAAUUAUGAAUAUUACCCAAAUAAGCAAUACCUAAAAAUUAAGACUCUAAAUAAGAAACCAAAUUAAAUUAGAAUACAAAUUAAUUAAAAUGUAAGGUACAAUUUUUUCACUUAAAUAUAAUAUAAUUUACUUUAAGCUAACAAGCCCCUUAAGUAUUAAAAUAAUAAUAAUAUAAAAUAUUUAAUUCUAAGUAAUGAUGACAUAAACAAUGACAUAAGUAGUGAUGAUAUAAAUAAUGACAUACGUGAUGACGUAAGAGAAGUAUAUAGAGAAAGUUAAGAAUUCUAGAAUUUAGUAAGGUAUUUAUGAAGAAUAAUCUCAACUAUUGAUCAAGAGUUAUGGUGGCAAAAUUCUAUCCAUCCAUUAACCUUAAGAAAUCCUAUAAAUACCACCUACCCCAUUUCAUUUUCAAUGCAACCUAGAAAUUUCACUCUCUUCUAUUCUAAGUUAUAACAUCAAGAGUAGAGAAAUUCUCAAUUUAGAUAGGUCUAGAGAAGUCAAUGCCAUGAGGUAAGUAACACUUCAACUACAAUGUAAGGACAAAAAAAAUUUCAUACUUAACUUUAGUUUUAACCAUUCGUUUAUGUUAUGAUGCCUAUUAUGAUAUGAUUAGUUAUAAUCUAAAUUCUUAUAUGGUCGAUUCUGCUGCUUAAUCUAUGAUACUUAGUUACAUUAUGGUCGGCUCUUAUGCCUAAGCUAUGAUACUUAAUUAUGUUAUGGUUGGUUCUACCAUCUAAUUUGUGAUACUUAUACUUAAUUAUGCUAUGGUCGGCUAUGCCGCCUAUAUUAAAGAAUCUUGUUCUUAAAUAGUGUUGUGUGUUGAUUUUGUUAUGCAUCUAGGAAUUUCAAAUGUUAUGACAUAAGUUGCAUUGGAUACAUGCAUAUCAUGGAUUACAUUAUGAAAAAGAUGUUUCAGAAAAUGAAUUUAUGAAAAAUAGGUGGUUGUACUACCAAUUAGCAAAGUUUUUAAGGAGGGUAAGCCCCCAAAGCUAAGUAAAAAAAAAUCUUUUGGGGAUGACGAUACGUAACGCCCAAAAGAUCAACUAAUAAGGCCCAAGGGCAUAUUGUUUAAAGAGUAAAAGUGUCAGCCUUGCAGUGCAACAUACCUAGAGCCCUAAUGAAAUUGUUUUGUAUUUUCUAAGUUUCUUUUAAAAGCUUAAUAUGGUCAUCCAUUUGCAUCAUAAUUUAUGCAUGCAUAAAAGUGUUAUCUUACUGGGUAUUAGCUCAUAAAGUCCUUACAUUGCAGGUAACAAUGAGUAGGGCAAGCUGGAGCCAAGUCCUAACCAAGACGAAGUACAUAUGGGCAUAGCAGACCUUGGGAUUUUAUGAUGAGCUCAGCUUUGUUUCAUUAAAAAAAAAAAUAAGCAUCUUAAUUUUAUGUAAUAAUAAAGUUUUUAUACUAAGAAGUUUCUGUAUGACUUACUUUUUGUAAGAAAGUUUUGUUUGUUGUGAAUUUUUGUUAAUCUGUAUUUAUAAAAGCACAGUAUUUAAAGCAUCUUUAAAAUGAAUAUUUAAGUGGAGUUUUAUAUAAAAUAUUCCUAAAUAUUAUAAAUUUCAAUGUAAUUAGAGUUUCUUCAAUUUCUUACUCUGCAUCAUUCCCGCCAAAAUGGAGAAAAUUUGCCCUCAAAUUUUGUAUGUUGUAGUCUUCAAGAACAUCUUCAUGUGCAUAAGGAUUAAUUUUUAAAACAGGGCUUCGAUAUAGACGAAAAACUGUAAAUUUUCCUACUUUUGCAAUAACGUCCAUCCAAUCACUCUAAUGGCGUAAAAUAAAUUCUUCUAUCAACAAUUUAUCUAAUAAUGUCUUCUCGUAUUGUUCGUGUCGAACUUCAACAUAGUUGAGGAAAAAUGAUUUCUUCACAUAAUACACUAACUGUUGAAAAAUAUCACAACUAUUUUUGUCUUCUUUUGGCAAAUCAAGAGAACAAUAAGAGAUUGUAUCAACAACUACCUCUUUUUGCUCCAGAAGAUCAAAAGAUGUAGCCACAAUAUCAAGAUACUCAUCAAAUUUCGGUAGUUGAUCCAAAUCAAUGUCUUUUUGUUGAGAAUUUGUUGUAGACACCAAUAGCUAAUUAAUAUUCUCCCCGGAGGGAAUAAUAUUGUUGAGUGAAACAAAGUUACUAUUUUCCUCAUUAUCCUUAUAACAAACAUCAUCACGAACAACUUCAUCAAAUCCAUAUGUCUGCUUUAUGUGUAAAGAUUUUCUAUCUUGAAGUAAUCUUGAGAAAUCAAAUGCAAAAUCUUCAACAUCCUAUUUAAAACUUCUUUCAAGACAAAAUCUUCACGGCGAUGUUGUCAUUUCAUGAUUCAAUUGUUUUUCUUCUUUUCCUCCUUUUUUCGGGUGUUUGUUUGGGUUUCAAUUUUUUGGCUAAGAUCAGAAAAUUAAAGAAAAAUACUGAAAUAGAAGAAAGUACUGGGCCAAGGCUGAAAUUAAGCAAAAGUUUUAGAUUUCCUGUGACGGUGGUCGGAAAUCGAGCAAGGAUGGGUGGAUUUGAAAGAUUUUGGGCUGGUGAGUAUGAUGGUGGUGGUUGUUUGUCCGAAAAAGUGGUGUUUUGGCCAGAAAUUAUAGAUAAAGUCGGCAGUUUGAGGGCUUCGAUUUCCGGCGGUGUGAGCUCGAUUGGCGGUGAUUAAUGCUAGGAAAAGUUCAGCUGAUGGAGAGGAAUGGGUUGAUGGUGGUGCUUCUGGCCAUAUUGCACCGGAAAGUGGUGAACGGACGUGGUAGAAAUCACGGCAGUUUUGGCUUUUUUUCCGGCAACCUGUGGUUAAUCUACAGUGGAAGAUGCUUGGGGUUUGAUGGUUGGCGAUUUAUGAUCCGAAUGGUAGUGGUUGCGUCCGGAUCGGUGACGGAAAACUAAAGCCAGCAGCCUUGGACGGUGGGCGCGGGUUGAAGCUUUUGCUUCCGUUUUGGUUUUUUUUUCUUCUUCUUUUUUUUUUAUAAAGCUAAAUGGAAAAAAAUAAAAAAAGGAAAGGUUUGGUGGUAGAUGGGGUUAGAUUGGUGAUAUCAGAUUUUAACUCUAAUUUUAAGCUGAUGUAAUGGAAGUUUAAUGUUUAAAUAUUUCGCUAAUUUUAUAGAAUAUCAGAAUAAAAGAAUAAUUAAAUUCACGUUGAUUCCACAGAAUACCGAGAAUUAAUUGAACUCAAAUACUCACACAAAGUUUUGAAAACUGAAAUAUUAUUAAACUCGAAUCUCUCUGCUUAUAAAAGUUAUAAAAGACACUUAUUUAUACUAACUAAAACUUAUCCUAAUUUGAUUAAAAAACUUAUUUUAAUAAGAUUUAUACCUAAAUUAAGAAUAUUGCCCAAAUAAGUAAUGCUAAAAAUUAAGACUCUAAAUAGAAAACCAAAUUAAACUAGAAUACAAAUUAAUUAAAAUAUUACUAAAUAUUAUAAAUUUCAAUGAAAUUAUGAUUUUUUUUAAUUUCUUGCUUAGCGUCAAUUAUGCAUGCAUUAAAAAGAUGAGGAAGAGAAGAUUAAGUAACAAACAUGAGGCCACCAAGAGAGUAUGAAAAAUGUGGAUUUAAGUUUAAGUUCCAUAAUGUUUAUGUUAGCAAAAGUGCAAAACAGAGAGUCUGAGGAUAAUGAUAUUAUUAAAUUUAAUAUGGGUUUGGUUUGUUUAGAUUCAUGAGUUUCUCUAGACUGAUAUGUGGGGGAAAAUUUAAUCCACUUGACAACUAAAAAAUUCAGAAAUCAAACCUCAAUUUGAAAAAUUAGAAAUUUAAACAAUUAAUUUUUUUCCAUAUGCAUGCAAAAAAUUAUAUCUAUGUAACUUGUCAUAUGCUAUAUAUAUUCUAUCAGGUGGAAGAUUUUCUAUUCAUUUGUAUCAAAUAUAUGGUAUCAAUCAAUAAAUUAUUGUUUUGUUAUAUAUACUUAUAGUAUCUUAUAGUAAACUAAGAAAUAUUAAAGAUCUUCUAGCGUGUUUUGAGUCGUAAAAUGUUUAAAAAAAAUUCAAUUCUAAAGUAUAAUUAACUAUUUUGUGUCCUAGGUAUUAUAAAAGGUCUUUGAAGUUUUUGGAUUUUUUUGACCCAUUUGUCAAUAAGUGAAACUAUUAGCACCACUUUAAACUCCUCAUAAAUCUUCUCUUCUAAAAGUACACCAUUAAAAACAUAUGUAAAUCACACUAAUUUUAAUGACACCUAUGUUAAUUUCACAAAUAACCUUAUAUAUUCUUUGUGCUUAAAAAAUCAUAUGAAAACAAAAAUCUUUUGUUACGAAACUUUUUCACCAAUUUAAUUUGAAUCUAAAAACUAGAUAAGAUACUCUAGGCCAUCUUCUUGAGUGGAGCUAUUUUAAUUCCACAAACGUCCUUGUACACUUCUUUCUCACUAACUUUACUAUGAGAGAGAGAAAAAAAAAUUAAAAAUAUAUUUCUUUUAUACUAAAAAAGGUUGCUAUAAGCUAAUCCAAUAUUAUUUUAUACUCUGAAUGUGACAAUUCGCAUGCUUUUAUAUGAACGCAUAAAUUGAUAAAAUCAAGAGAACAAGUAGCCAAAAUAGUAAGGCUCUCAUAAUUUGAAAAUAAUGAACUAAAAAUUUCAGUCCAACAGAAACCACUAAUUUAAGAAUAAAAAUAAAAUAAAAAAUAUUUUCACUAUAACAACAAAAUUAUCUUUUAUUUAAUAAAAAUAAAACCCAUGUGGGGUUAGAGGAAGAGAGAUGGAUUGUCAAACAUGAUUUGAUUAAAGUUAAAAAUAUAAAUUUACGAUAUAAGAAUUCUUUUAGAGGUAGCAAUAGCUCCACUCUUUUUUUUUUUUUUCUGUAGUUCUGCAAGUUCUAGGCGCAGGGAUUCUAUGAAAGUCUUAGAGGGUGCCGAUAACUUUCAAUAAUAUGCGUGUAGGUUAAACAAUAUUGAAUUAUUAGAUGGACCUUUCUACCUCUAUUUUACUUAUUUUGGAUGGAUGUACUUUAGAGAAUCUAUAAGAUAACCAUCCUCUUAUUUGAUCCAAUCCAAUUUAAUUGACUUACCGCUUUAUGUUAAUAUAUAAUUAUAUUUUCUUUGAAUUGUUAAUUGUUAUAAUAGUUCAGAGUUUUAUCGAGGAGAUAGCUCGAAAAUCAAACUAAUUCUUACUCAGAAGGGAGCGGAAAUAAAUUGUGAUAGAAAAUAAAUUAUUUGAGUGCUCUGCGAGUCAAAGACCCACCCUCAGAUAAACAACUAUCUUAAUAAAGCAGAGCAGCAAUGUCAUUCUUCUCGUUGGGUCUUUUCUUCAAACGUCUUCUGUACAAACAGCUCACCCGCCGUCAGAAUCUAUUUCCGCUCAUAAAACAAAAACCCAGAACCCAAUCAACAACACCCUCUUCCGUUCUGGUAAAAGUUUGCAUGAUAAUGAGUAAAUGAAAAAUAAACAGUAAUUCAAAGCUAUCCGAGGAUUUUUCUCAAUUUAUCCUUUAUGCAAUUGUUUGUUGUUUAUGGGUGUAUGAUUAUAUUUUAAAACAAAUAAAAAAAAAGUAAAGGAAAAGAAAAUUCGAUAAAGAAAAAGCGCUCAUUAUCCAAAUAAAAAAAAAAAAGGCAUCCAUCACUUUAGUUUCUAACGUGGCCAUCAGUCCUUUCUUUGUCUCUUCUUUUUAAUUUGUUACAUUAAUUUGUCAGCAUCAUUGCUGAAACUUGAUAACGAUAACUUAAUAACGAUAACGAUAACGAUAUAAACAAGAUCUUGGGCAUCGGAAACUUAAUAACGAUAUCUAAUAUUUAGUCGGCAUCGUCAGCAUCAUUGCUGUAAGGCUCUGAAAUCCAAGCGUGACAAUCAAAAUAAUGCUUCACAUAACUGCUGUUGUAAGCCUCUCUGGCGAAAGCCGUCUUGUCCAACCCAAUGCUAUCAAGUAUGGCCACCAAUGAAAACUGAGGUGGUCCCUCGAUCAAUAGAUCUAACAACUCCUCCAUUCCAUCAUCUUGACCCACGAUGUCCCUACUUUUAGAAGAUGAAGAUAUACCGGCUUCAAUUUCAAAAGUUUUGAUGCGAUCAAUGAUUUCGGAAUCCAUGUGCUUAAGUUGUUGCAUCUGUUGCUUAAUAUCAGUGAUUCUGCUUUGGAGUCCUUGCAGAGCAUCAAAAAUGUCCUUGCUACAGCUGCUUUGACUCUUAUGUUGAGCGAUGCUGUUGAUGAAUGUGUCAAUGACCUCCUCAGAUUCAUACGUAAAGCGAUUGAUUUCAUCCAUAAGGGUCCCAAUGUUCCCAAGAUCUGGGUCAUCAAUUUCCUCUUCUACUAUUUUGAGUAGCAGAAGGCAGGAGAUAUUGUUAAGAAAUUGGUGGGUGAAGUAGAAACGCAGCUACAAUGAAAUUGAAAGAAAAAUAAAGAACAAGCACAAAAAGGACACUAGGAAAUUACGUGGUUCGGCUUUUAGCCUAUGUCCACGGGCGAACACAAAAGUAAAAUAUUUUACUAGUGAAAAAGAGUUACAAGUAUUCAAGUAUUGUAGUAUUUUAACUCACUACCCAAAACCUCAAUACACUCAAACUCUCAAAUCACUAGACUCUUAAAAGCUCUCUGAAUAAAUAAAAGAGUUGAAGAACUCAAUGAUUUAUAAAUGAAGGGAGCCAGCAUUUUUAUAGCCUAAAUUGGCUACUGUUCAUUUAAUAAUUAAUUAUUAUUAUUAUUUUAUUAAUUUUUCUUUUCUUUUCCUUCUUCAGCCCGACAUCUCUUUUUCUUCUUUCUCUUUUGUUUCUUUCUUUUGUUCCAAUCAAAAAAACAGAAGUAAUACUUUCUUCUUCAAAAUGGGUGGGCCCACCUUCUAGAAGGGUGGAGCCCACAUGCCAUUUUUGUCAUUCUCCCACUUGGAGAUUAGAUUGAGAACCAAUCAAUCUCCACACCAUCCUUUCUGCUUUGCCAUUGUCAUAUUGCCUACGUUUCUACUAGGCCACAAGAGGAUCUACUUUAGACAAACUUGUCAGUAUUGAUUGGCUUGGUCAUAACAUCUCCUAGGUUCUACUUCAUAUGGAUUUUCUAUAAAUCCACAUUUCCAUCUUCCACUACUUCUCGAACAAAGUGAUACUAAACUCCUAUGUGCUUUGUCCUAGAAUGAAAAACUGGAUUCCUUGUAAUGUGCAAGGUACUCUGACUGUCACAAAACACAGAAAUUUUCUCUUGUUUGUGCCCGAGCUCCUCCGAUAACCUUUGUAUCCAAAUAGCUUCCUUGCAAGCUUGUGUAGCUACCAUGUAUUCUGCUUCUGUUGUAGAUAAAGCAACAACGGUAUGCAGUUUUGAAAUCCAACUUACAGCUGCUCUCGCAAGUGUAAACACAUAGCCAGUAGUAGAUUUCCUUUUAUCAAGGUCUCCUGAAAAAUCUAAAUCCACAUAGCCCCUGACAGUAAAUUUUGAUCCUCCAUAACAUAAUGCAACAUCGGAGGUUCCUCUGAUAUACCUCAUAAUCCUCUUCACAGUUAUCCAAUGCUCUCCACCAGGAUUCGUCAUGUAUCGACUGACUGCUCUCACUGCUUGUGCAAUGUCUGGUCUAGUACAUAUCAUAGCGAACAUCAAACUUCCCACUGCUGAUGCAUACGGUACUCAAGACAUCUUCUUUCUCUCUGCUUCAUUGCUAGGACACAUACUUGAGGAUAAUUUGAAAUUAACAGGAAGUGGGGUAAAGAUUUUCUUCAAGUAGUUCUUCUGAGAAAGCCAAAUCUUCCUGUUAUUUCUAUCUCGGUGAAUUUGCAUCCCUAGAAUUUGUUUGUUGGUCCCAAGUCCUUCAUUUCAAAUUCUUUAGCCAACUGUGCCUUCAAUUCUUGGAUUUGAUCUUUGUUGGGGCCUGCUACCAACAUGUCAUCCACAUACAACAACAAAAUAAUGAAAUCAUUAUCUUCAAACAUCUUGUAAUAUGCACAAUUGUCUGAAUUGAGUCUGUUGUAUCCAAGGCUCAUGAUGAAAGAAUCAAAUCUCUUAUACUAACACCUCGGUGCCUGUUUGAGACCGUAUAGAGAUUUGUUCAACUUGCAAACCAAGUUCUCAUUUCCCUUUUCAGCAAAACCUUCUGGUUGGAGCAUAUAAAUUUCCUCUUCAAGUUCUCCAUGAAGAAAUGCAGUUUUCACAUCCAACUGCUCAAGAUGUAAGUCAAAUGUAGCACACAUUGCCAAGACUACUCUGACUGUCGUGAGUCGAACCACCGGAGAAAAUAUCUCGUUGAAGUCAAUACCUUCUUUCUGAGCAAAUCCUUUCACCACCAAUCUCGCACGAUACCGUUCCACUUGGUCAUUGCCAUCAUGUUUGAUCUUAUAGACCCAUUUGUUUCCAAUGGCUUUUCUUUCGUGUGAUAGGGGUACAAGUUCCCAUGUCUUGUUCUUGUGUAGAGCUUCAAUUUCUUCAUACAUUGCUGUCAUCCACAAAGCAACAUUUGAGCUGUUUAAGGCUUCAUGGAAAGUUGAUGGCUCUCCAUCCUCUGUUAGAAGACAAUAUGCAACAUUGAUCUCUGUGACAUACUCCGAGUGCCACGAUGGCGGUCGUCUCUCACGAGUUGACCGACAAACUUCUAGAGCCUCGGACUCGACUGGUUCUUGUUCUUCGUGCUCUGGUGCUGCUUUAGAAGAAUCUAAAUCUUCUGGAUUAUUUUCCACAUAUACCGGCACAGUCUCUGACUUUUCUUUUACAGUGUCAUCAUCUUCAUCUUUCUUUUGCAGUUGAUCUUCUACAAAAAUAACAUCUCUGCUGAUGACGAUCUUAUGGGCAGUGGGGUCCCACAGACAAUACCCCUUUACUCCAUCAGCAUUUCCCAAGAAGAUACAUCUUUUAGAUUUUGGAUCCAGCUUUUUUCUUUCUUGGGCAUUGUACAUCACGUACACAGGACAUCCAAAUGCAUGUAGGUAGGAGUAAUCAGCUGGCUUUUCAGUCCACAUCUUCAUCGUUGUCUUCAGCCCAAUUGCUGUAGAUGGCGACCGAUUUACUAUACAACAGGCAGUUUUGGCUGCUUCUGCCCAGAUGAAUUGGGUAGACCAACAGUCCUCAACAUAGCUCUUAUCAUUUAUUUAAUAGUCAUGUUCAUCCGCUCUACCACUCCAUUUUGUUGAGGAGUGUAUGCCACUAUAAAUUGCCUCUGAAUACCUUCUUGCUUACAGAAAGCAAGAAACUCGUCGUCUGUAUACUCUCCACCAUUAUCUAUCCUCAAGCAUUUGAUCCUUUUCCUGGAUUCAAGUUCAACCCGCACUUUGUAUUCUUUAAAUACUGGAAAUACAUCUGACUUUUUCUUAAUUGAAUACACCCAACAUCUCUUGGAAUAAUCAUCAAUGAAAGUCACCAUGUACUUUGCACAUCCCAUGGACAUAUCCGGCGAUUUCCAAACAUCAGAAUGAAUCAAGUCUAUAAUGCAUUUACUUCUAACAAUAGAUCUACUGAACUUUAAUCUAUACUACUCACUUGUAACACAAUGCUCGCAAAAUGGUAAACUUACCGAUUUGAGCCUUGGAAGCAAUUUUCGCUCAAAGAGAAUCUUCAAACCUUGUUCUGACAUGUGGCCAAGUUUGAGAUGCCACAUUAUCAUUUACUCUUCUCCAUUUGAUGCGACACACACAUCAGCCUCCUGUAGUAUUUCUCCUUUAAGCAUGAAUAGAUUAGCACCGAUCUUUUCUGUCUUUAUCAAUACAAGUGUGCAUUUAACGAUCUUCAUAAUUCCAUUCUCCACAUGAGUUUUGUACCCAUGACUAUCCAUUUUUCCUAAAGACAAUAGAUUUUUCUGAAAGAAAUGCAUCCGGUACAUGUCUCAACUCCUAAUACGGGGCAGCACCCCUUGAUCAAAGGGCGCGCCGAGAGGGAACAACCUCGAGUAGGCCAUUGACAUGUCGUACCUCCCCAAUUGUGCGAAUUAUACCAUCAAACAUUUUCAUUUUGAUAGUACCAAUACCAGCAAUCUCCAAGGCAUGAUCAUCUCCCAUAUAUACAGAUCCUCUUUAGAUAGGUUCAUAUGUAUGGAACCAUUCUCUCCUAGAAGUCAUGUGCCAGGUAGCUCCUGAGUCUAUAAGCCAGACAUCCAAAUAGCUGUUUUCUGCCUUCUGAAAUAGUUAUUGCCUCGCUAUAGAUAAUUUCGCCAUCAUCCGAGAUACUUGCUACACACCCCUGAGCAUUUGAUGACUCAGGUUCUUUGCCCUUUUUUUUCUUCUGGUUACUCCAACACUCUUUCUUGACGUGCCCUUUCUUGCCACAGUUGUAGUAUUUAACAUUCUUCUUACUUCUAGAUUUUGAUCUACCAUGAUUGUGACUCCCACUGGGGUCACGUUCCAUUGAUCUCCCUCUCGUCACCGAUAGCGCCUCCGCUUGCUGCGAACUUGCUUGUCUGUUUUUCUUAUUUUUUCGUCUGCUCUCCUCAUUUAAUACGGAGGCUGCAACAUCGUCAAAAACUAGACUGUCUGCUGGAUUGUUGUUCGUCAGGUUGAUAAUGAGCUGAUCAUAUGGGUUCGGUAGACUUUGAAGUAAAAGCUCUGCAUGUUCAUUCUCCUCUAUAUUAUGACCCAACGUUGUGAGUUGUGAAAAUAAAAUUUUCAAGGUGUUGAUGUGGUCGGUCACCAUUGUAGAUUCCGCCAUUCGAAGAGUAUAGAGCUUCCUCUUCAAGAAGAUUUUGUUGUGUAGUGACUUGGCCUCGUACAAUUUUGUGAGAGUAUCUCAUAUUUCCUUCGCUGUAUUUUUCUCUGCCACACUGGAUAAUACUCCAUCUGCAAGUGCCAAGUGUAGAUCAGAAACGGUGUUGCCAUCUAUCUCGUUCCACUUGUCAUCAGUUAUCUCCAUGGGUCUUUCUCCAAUUGCUGCCAAGCAAUUAUUUUUCCUCAAUAUAGCUUUCAUCUUCAUUUUGCACAACGAAAAAUUAUUUCCAUUAAACUUCUCAAUUUCAUACUUUACCACCAUUUUGUUGAUAAAUACCACACACAAGCUAGUGUACCACCCUGAAUAGUUGUAAGUAUGUGUGAGAAUGCACACUAGGAAAGUUCCCAGGAAAGACUGGAGGGGUCACAAUGGUCCCACCUAAAACCCAGACUCCUUAAGCUCUUAUCGCCUUUGUGACAGAACUUUCCUAGACAUGUACAAAACCACACAAUUACUUUACUCACACCACUAUUCCCUGCUUUGGACCGCAAAAUUAUUAGAUCGAUCCCACCGUUUCUUGUGAACAGUAUCGUAUCUAUGAACAGUGCCGUAUACGUGAACAGUACCCGACUCUAAAGAAUACAACCAAUAGCUCUUAUACCACUGUUAGGAAAUUGGUGGGUGAAGCAGGGCCACAGCUAAAAUGAAAUUGGAAGAAAAAUAAAGAACAAGCACAAAAAGGACACUAGAAAAUUACGUGGUUCGGCUUUUAGCCUACGUCCACGGGCGAACACAGAAGGAAAAUAUUUUACUAGUGAAAAGGAAUUACAAGUAUUGUAGUAUUUUAAUUCACUACCCAAAACUCCAAUACACUCAAACUCUCAAACCAAUAGACUCUUAAAAUACUCUCUAAAUAAAUAAAAGAACUGAAGAACUCGAUGAUUUACAAAUGAAGGGAGCCCGCACUUUUAAAGCCAAAAUUGGCUACUGUUCAUUUAAUAUUUAAUUAUUAUUAUUAUUUUAUUAAUUUUUCUUUUCUUUUCCUUCUUCGGCCCGGCAUCUCUUUUUCUUCUCUCUUUCUUCUUUUUCUUCUUUCUAUUUUGUUUCUUUCUUUUGUUCCAGUAAAAAAAAUGGAAGUAAUACUUUCUUCUUCAAAAUGGGUGGGCCCACCUUCUAGAAGGGUGGAGCCCACAUGCCAUUUUUGUUAGAUAUCAUCUUCAAAUUCCCUCAGCCAAGAAGUAACGAUUUCAACCUCCACAUUAAGGUUCUGAAUAGCUUGUUUUGCAUCACCAAGCAACGUGACUUCUUCACCAGCUAAUACCCUUCUCAGCCUCUCUGAAAAUAGUCUGAAGCUGAUGUCCAUAUCUCCUCCUCUCUCAGACUCACCCUGAAAUCAGUCCUGUAGCAUGCAAAGAAAUAAUUAAAAGAGAGAGGGGAAAAGGAAAAUAUGCUUUAAAGCUCUCACUUCAAACAUUAGUGCUGGCUCCCAUACCUUCCUUCUCUUAGCUAGUUCUCUAGUCAAGAAGUUGAAUCAAGAUCAUUGACUCUCAAAUUAUAACAGAUCAAGGCAAAAUCUUACAAUACUCUUGUCUUCCAAAUGUUGUAAAAAGAAUAAAGCAGAGAAAAAUAAACAAGACAUCGUCAAGUUUUGAUCAAGACCAAUUUGUUUUAUACAUCCACUUUUAAGAAAGGAAGGGUAAAAACAAUUCUGCUGGGACUAUAAACGCUUGUUUGAAAAGAAGAGAACAAAGCAAGCACAAGAGGGAAAAGGAUCCUCUUCUGAUCUGAUCUCUUCUGAGUUUUUCAAGAUCUUCUGUCAAGUGUCUUUUAGUGGUAGUGUAUGAGUAAGAUUCAAUUUCUUUUAUUUUUUUAUAUAUUAACUACCAAUCAACAAUUGACUUAUUUAUUCAUGAUAUAAUCAGAUCAAGAGAGAAUCUUGAUCCGCACAAGAGCGUUAUCAAUUAUUUAAUAAUUAAGCUGUGGAAAAAUGCAAAAUCAUGUCUGCCACUUGCUGGCAUGCAAAAAAAAAAAAAAUCAUUGUUAAAACUUCUUAGCUCUUAAUUCAAAUAUUUAUGUGUCCGCUGAAACAUUUAUUGUUAAUGAAUGGAAUAGGUCGUAGGUUGACCGACGUAACUCUUUCUCUCAAUACUCCAGUGGUGUAAGCAUGUUAGUUUAGUCAAUAGUUUCUCCUGUACAUAAAUGAUGUUUUAUUAUAGAAUUUUGAUAAUAUGUAUAAUAGGGAAGUAGUUGUAGUUGUAGAAAAGAGAUUGGGUAUUGGUUUAUGUGAUAUGGACUUGGAGCAUAAUAAAUUAUACAACUUGCAAUUAAAUCCAAAAUGGCAGUACUUCAUUACUUUUGUCCUCUGUGAAUAUAAAACACUGACUAUGUAAUCAUAAUACUUUUUUAAUGAGUAUGAUGACAAUUAAAGACAAAUAAUGAUUUUGUAAUUAUUUCAUGGAGUUAAUCACUGACUGCUAUAUCAUGCACAAGUUUUUCCGUGACUAUUUCCCGUGAAAAGGAAAUUUUUAAAAGCUUUAUCAAUGUAGGUUAGUACUAGCAGCUAGGUUGGAGAAGAUGAGGGAAAGGUGACGCUAAUGAAUAAAUAUGCUACCACUUGCAAUUAAUAAAAUGCUAACCCUAUAUGGUAAAGGCUGGAGAAGAUGAGGGGAAGGUGACGCUAAUGAAUAAAUAUGCUACCACUUGCAAUUAAUAAAAUGCUAACCCUGUCUGGUAAGCUAGCUCUGUUCAUUGAAAGCAAAAGCAAUAGAAUCUUUGACCUUGCUGCCACAAGAUGAUUGUCAUGGAAGGCACCAAAGUUUCCAAGUAACAGACAAAGUUAAAGUAGUUAGCACUAUGAGCCGAGGCAAAGACAUACUUCUAAUCAUCGUAUUUGCUUUUUAAGAGUCUUCACCCUAAUUUUCCACAGCUUGCUUCUCUGCCUCAUACCUUAGUUUUAACAGCAUCUCCAUCUAAUCCUCUCAACCCACCACACGGGGGUUUCUUGUUCAUCCGCUCCCUCCUCCUCCCUAGAGAAGAAUCAAUGGCCUGAUACAAACUUGAUUUUACGCUAUCAAGUACGGCCACUACUAAAAGUUGAGGUGGUACCUCGAUGAAUAAAUCUAUCAACUCCUCCAUUCUAUUAUUUAGACCCAUUGUGAACCUCUUCUUAAAUCCUGAAGAUACAGAAGAAUAAUUACCGGCAUCAGCCGCUGUUGAUGUGUUGAAUCCUCGAUGAUGAAUUAUAAAUUACAAGACUUGCAUGUACAUCACAAACAAAAUUUGUAUCCCAAGGCUAUAAAUAUAAAAUUACUCAAAAAUAAAUAUACAUGAUUAAUCAUGUACGACGGGAUCUUAUUUCUUCAACGAGAUUUAGAGAAAGUACUAGAUCGUUUGUAAAAUUUUAUAUUUAUUAUAUCUUCAUUUUAAAAGCUUAUACAUAUCCCACAGAAAUUUGGGGAUCUUUUAAGCAUACUUUUUUAAGAAAUGAAAAAUGAUAAAGAGUACUAAUAGUGACAUAAGGGUGACAAAAAUAACUGUAAAUUGUCCAGUGUUACAAUAUUGAUUGAAAAAUAGUUAUAAUUUUUUUUUAACACUAUAUGACUUUACAGUUGUUUUGUCACCAUUAUAUCGUUCUUCGAUUUAAGUAUCCAUACUAUAUGAACCCUCAUCUUUUUGAAAAGAUUAUCAUCUUAAGACACUAUUUAUAAUUAUUUUCGUAUGAGUCCUUAAUGUUAAAAAUAUAACAAUCAAUUAAUGAAAUCAAUGAUAAUUGAAUUCCAAAUAGGAAUGGCAGAAAAAUCGAAUCCCACUAGAUCAUAUUUUCUACAAGGGUAAUGCUAAGUUACAUGCAUGUACCUUACAUCCCUCUCACAUGAAUAGUGUAUGGAUACUAUUCAUGUGAGAGGAUUGUAAGGUACAUGCAUGUAACUUAGAGGGAUCCUUUCUACAAACUGUGGCCACACUCAGGCUUCGCAUAAAAGCUUGAGCCCAGCUCGAAAGCCCAAAAAACUACAUAAAAACUUGAAAAUAUGUAUUAUAUAUUUUAAUUAAAAUACAACUUUUAACAAUUAUUUAAUUCGCUUUUAACAUAUAUUUAAAGUUUUAAAUCAUUCAAGUCCAACUUUUAAAACCUAAUCUAACCACACACAAAAAAACUUAAUUUUAUACACUAUAAAUUUACGAAAUAUAAUAAAAAAAGUCUUUAGAAAUAUAAAAUGUAAACUUCAGGCUCUUUGGCUUGGCUAGAAAAACCCAGCGUUUACCAUCUCUAAUUCCAAGUCUUAAAGACUUCUCCAAAUGUGUAGUACAACAUUGUAUAGGACCAAUCACAUGGAGAUGAUUUGUAAAUUUUCGUACGCAAUUUUAAUAUGCAUAUCAGGAGAGAGUAGAGAAGAGAGGCAGCAAUAUUAGUUGAUGCUUUUAUAGGACAUAUAAUGUAAGGAAUAAAACAAAGAUUGCAAGAAACUCUACAAAUUUUGGAAUUCAGCAUCCAAAAUAUCACUAGAACUUGCAAUACAAGCUUUAAUUUCUUCAACAACACGUCGAAUUUCGGCCAGGAACACAAACGCAGAGAUGGGUAUCAAGAUCACAUUCAAACGCAUUUUGCAGUUGUCACACUCAGCAUUGCUUUUACAUGUGACUGCUUUUGAUUUCGGCUGAGCAUCAACUGCCGGCAUGGAAAUAUAAAACAACGCACCUGCAUAUAUAAAUGCCAAACAAUUAAUUAGCCUAAUGCUAAUAACACACCUGCAUAUAAAAAUGCCAACCAAUUAAUUAGCCUAAUGCUAAUACCUUCGUAUAAUAAUUAAUUAUGCAUGCAUCGAUGUGAAAAGAUGAGGAAGAGAAGAUUAAGGAACAAACAAGAGGCCAGCAAGAGAGUGAUGAAAAAUGUGAAUUUAAGUUCCAUUAUAUUAAUGUAAGCAGAAGUGCAAAACUGAGUGUCUGAGGAUAAAAAUAUUAAUAAAUUAAAAACUGGUUGGUUUGUUUAGAUUCAUGAGUUUUUCUAGACAGUAUUUAUGGGGGAAAAUUUAAUCCAUUUGACAACUGAAAAAUUCAGAAAUCAAACCUCGAAUCGACAGAUUAGAAAUUUAAAUAAUUAACUUUGUUCUAUAUGCAUGCAGAAAAUUAGAUGUAUGUAACUUUGUCAUAUACCAUAUAUUCUAUGAGGUGGAAGAUUUUCUGCUUCAUUUGUAUCAAGUAUAUGGUACCAAUCAAUAAAUUUUAUUUUGUUAUAUGUUGAUGCAAAAUCUGGUCAUGUCAGUAUGUAGGCCUACCAGAUUCCGACACCAGCAUUUGAAUUUGUUUGUGUGGAGAGACGGUUUCUAAUCUUGAUUUAGCAACUUGUACAAAAGUUGGCAACCAAGAACUCGACAAGUAUGAGCAAGAAUUGGCGAGCACUAUGUUCUCCUGGCGAGUUCCUGCAACCAAAAGAACGGUUAAGGGUGCCAGAAGUUUUUCGGCGCUAACCUUACUCAAGUCAGUAUCAAGAAUUUUCGCAGGAUAACAAAGUACAUGAAUAUAUAUGUAAAGUGAAUCAAUCUAAGUGAACCAAAAAGAGAAAAGUUAGAAGAAACUCUCUCUUAAAUAAGAAGAGAUGAUGAUAAGGAGAGAUGGUGAUCAAAAAAUAAAAGGGAUGAAGAAAAUAAAAGAUAAAUCUUCAAAUUUCCUAAUAUUCGAUAGGGGUCCAGGGUAUUCAAAUUUUGGAUCCUUAUCUUGUUGCCCCUUGGGAAUUCUAUAGGAGUUCAAAAUCCCUCUCCUUUGGAUCUCAGUGAAGUGGGUUUUUGGAUAGGGCUCCUCUUUCAUCUCCCCUUAAUUCUAGGAUUAUGAGUUAUUUGAAUAGGAGUCCACUUUCUUUACUCUUUAGGAUCAUGAAGUGUGGAUUUUGUGGAUAAAACUAAUUCCCUAGGUUUUCAGAUGAGGUGGAAAGGUUGUUUUGACUAGAUUUGUCCCCAGCUUCAAUUGUCUCCUUGCCUACUCCUGCUCGCCAAAUUUCCUCCAGGCCGUUUUAAGUGGCAAGGCAAGUAUAAUCAAGCUUCAAGGAAAGCUUGAUUCUAGUUGCCCUAUUUUAUCAACCAAACAUUAUAUAUACUUAUCGUAACUUAUAGUAAACUAAGAAAUAUUAAAGGUCUUCUAGCGUAUUUUGAGUUAUAAAAGGAGCACGCUUGCAAAGGAAAAGAAAGAGCCGUCACCCAAGGGAAAAUAAUAGAGAAAACCUAAAGAAAACAAAAGAUAAGAGCGUUUUGAGGGUUGCAACAGAGAAAUCACAAUGGACAAGGAGAUAUCGCAAGAUUAAGCAUACUUUAACUCUUUAUCUUGUUUUCUUGUUUUCUAAUUAUUCAUGGGAAUGCAUUUGAUGGCUGAAACCAUUUUAUUUAUUGUUUUGUCACAAAUCAUGAACUAAAAUUGAUUGUGGUUGAGUGAUAAACGAUCUUAAUGGUUAUUUGACUGAUAUACAUAUGUUGCUCUAUGUUUGCUAUAACAUUUGUCUUAAUUGUAUUUAUUUUAAUUUUCUAUUUCAACUGACCACUCAUUUAGUGGAUAUUACUAAGAAAGAGGCUAAAAAAUGCCUGACUUAGUAGAUCUCAUUAAGAUAAUACUUAAUUUUAGAUUAGGUUUCCUAAGUUGAGUAAUUCUCAAUUUGAAUAGAGUCAUUCUUGACCUAAAAUUAGUAAAGAACUAGAUAUAUGGAUUCACCUUAUAGGGUAAAUGAAACCUAGAUUGUUUAAUGUUAUAUUUAAUGUUGGCAUAACAAUUGGUCACUGUUAGGUUGCAUUAUAUAUAAGAUAUCAAAUAGGUGACAGCUAAGGAUGCAUGGGGGAUUCUGCCCAGUGGUGUAGUAGAUGUUGUAGCAAUGAGUUCUUAAUUAAGAAAAAAGUCAACACUAUUAAGUGAGUUUAUUUACUCAACUACUCUAUUACCAUUUGAUUUAUCUUUGUGUUUGACGUGAGAAUUUUCUUUAUUACAUUUAUUUAUUGCAUUUUUAAUUUAAGUAGUUCAUUAGUUUUAUAAAUUAUCUUAUUUUAAUUAAAACAAAAUUGCACUGUUAAGGUUGUUACACCAAAUCUGAAAACAUCAAAUCCCUGAGGAGACGAUCUGAAUACUCAUCAGUAUAUUAUUUGUUGUGCAUACUUGCACAUUAACAUCCAUAGCAAUAGAAAUAAUCCAACAUGAGGUGACUUCUGUAACUUGUUUUUUGGCAAAAGGAAAUGGCUCGAUAACUGGAAAAAGCAAAAGAAAGGAAGGAAAGAGAUAAAUGAUGUGAGAAAUUAAGGAUUUUGGGGAAGUGAAAAUUUAAAUAAUUGGUUCAGCGCAUACCAUAUCACAUACAUUUGAGAUGACGCAAUAGCUUGGGCAAAUAGGUGUCAGCUAAUUAGGGGAGUGAAAAAUCUUUUUCAACAACUUUUUGCUAUAGAGUCGGGCAACCAAAAUGGCAACUUGGAAUAUAGGAUACAUUAAGUUUCUAGUUUUGAUUUGUUUUACUCUCAACACUAGAAAUUGGGAGACUGAUGUUUUGGGGUGAGAAACAUGACGAUCAAGCACACAUGAGCAGAAUGUGCUCCCCUCAGCCUAAAAUGGCUCCUCAAGAAGAUUAUCCCACAUGAGGCAUGUAGCUAGUCUCAUGAGCAGAGUCAGCUUUAAGACGUGCGAGGAGAGACCAUAACCAAGUCAAAUCGAAGACUUGAUCAAAGGUCAACCCGUGGGUUUCCUCCAAAGAAUUCGGGCACGAAGCCCACUCACUAGUAGUUAUGUUGCCCACUUGCCAAUGGUUUUGUAACUAACCCAGUAACGGUGUUGGGGGAGAAGAGGCCGAUACUUCCAGUUGGAUACAAAAGCUUUAGAGAACCGAGGUAAGGGGGUUGAACAACUUUUCAUUUAAUUUUCUCGUGCUUUCUCUCUCUUUUCACAAUUUUAUCUUCUCUAUCUUUCUUUCUUUCUAAAAUAAAACAUUUCUUUCGUUAGCGUUGUUAUAAUUAAGCCAUGUGAAUUGUGGUAUAAGUUUUUCUAGGUAGACUGAGAUAGUUGACUUGAGUGUCAAAGGGUUUAUGCCAGAAAAACCUCGGGCUUCCCCUGACUAGUUGUUGUGAACGCUAGUGUUCUUGGAGAAAGUAUUCGAGAUCACAGGAACUUGUUCGAUAGUGAGGAAGCAACACAGAACUGUCUCCCCAAUAACAAAUCUAAGUGCUGAUGUGGUUAUUUGGUCGCUACACAGCUCGACCAGAUUUCUGCAUCGAUGGUCAUCAUAUGAAAAAUGCGAGCAAAAGCUUAACCUUGUAAAUAAGAAUCAGUCACAGGCGUCAAGUGGAUCUAAUAUUCAUAUUAUAAGAAUUUAAUAAAAUGAAAUCACUUUGUAGAUAAUUCAGAUAGUAAAAUACCUCUCACAGACUUCUUUAUAUCCCACGAUAUUUUAUUGUGAUUGAACUUAGGGUACGUUUAGUACACUAUAUUGUAUUAUGUUGUAUUGCAUUAUUUUAAUACAGGUGUAUUGUAUUAUGCUAUAUUACAUUAUCACUGUAUUACAACAAUAUUGUACAAUGUUUGGUGCUAUAUUGUACUAUGUUAAUUUUUAAUUAUAUUAUGUUUGGUAUUGCAUUGCACUGUAUUAAUUUUUUGUGAUUAAUUUAAAUUAUAUAUUUAGAAAAUAAUCCAUGUAAUAAUUCUAUAGUAUGUGUAAUAAGAUUUAUAUUAUUAUGUAUAUUGUUAAUUUCAAAUUAAUAUUAUUCAAAUCUAUUCAUAUUUAAACAUUUAUUAUUAGUUAUAUUAAAUUCCUAAAUAAUAAUCCAUUUUUAUAUAUUGAUUACAAUAAUAUAAUUAAAUAAUGUAAUAUUAUGUUAUAUUUUUAUUUUUACAUGUUAUUAAGUUAUUGUUAUUAGUUAUGUUAACUUAUUAAAUAUUAAUCAAUUUUAUAUAUUAAUUAUCAUAAUAUAAUUAAAUAAUACAUUAUUUAGUAUUUUAGUUAUAUUUUUAAUAUAAUAAAAAUUAAAAAAUAAUAUAAUAUUAUUUAAUAAUAAAUAAUAAAUUUAUAUUAAUAAUUAUAAUAUAAAAUAAAAAUUAAUAUUAAUAUUAUAUAAUAUAUAAUAUUAUAUUAUAUUAAAAAAUUAUAGUUAUUAUUAUUAUUAUAUAUUAAAAAAAAUUAUUGCGGCAAUUACCGCAUUAGUUAAGAUUAAUGCUGCUCACUGCUUUCCAAUCAAUUGUCAAAUAUGGGAUUUGUUCAAGUAAACUGAACCCACACGCUAAUGCUAUAUAAUACCACACGUCAAACACACCCAUAAAGCAUCUCAAUCAAAUUACUACAUGAAAGAAACCGAAACUAAAAAGGGAAAAAAAAAAAGUUGAAUUGUACUCAAACUGGGUAUUGAUAAAUGGAUGCACGGAAGCUUUUAAGUGGAGGCAAAGCAGGCAAGAAUUGAUUUGCCGAUGGAACCAAAAGAACAAUUCAAAAAAAAAAUUGAAUUGUAUUCAAACUGGGUAUUGAUAAAUGGAUGCACGGAAGCUUUCAAGCAGAGGCAAAGCAGGCAAGAAUUGACUUGCCGAUGGAACAAAUAGAACUCUAUUGGCAUUACUGAAAUGGCAUUUUAUUCGAUCUUGAGUACCAGAGAAAGAUUACACAAGUCAAGAGAAAAGGGGAAGGAGCAUUUAGCCUUUACUUGUAAGUAAAGGUAAAUAUCUUGGUUCAAGCAAAGAAAGAGAUACCAUACUAGACCAAAAGGAAAGCAUCUUAAGAAACAGUAAAGAAAGCAAAGACUUAGUUCUAGAAAAGAACAAGAUGCUGACGUCCUUUAUAAUCUGCUUAUCGUCUUCUUCUUCUUCCGGUCUCUGUUUUUCCAAUAAAAAGAUUUUGCUAACUGGAUUAGGAAAGAAAAAAUGAAAACCCUGAUUGCAAGAUGUUUUGGACAUUUAUAUCAUUUUCAUCUUUCGCAAUCUAAUUCGGUCAUUUCUGUCUGUAAUAGAAACAUGAAUACAAUUGAUUGAAAGGAAAAGAUGACAGAGAUGAAACUCCCGCAUUAGUUUAUUAAACGAGAAUGUGAUCCGAUCUUCAAGUCUUGAGAUAUUUUUAUUUUAUUUUAUUUUAAGUUAUAUUUAUUUGGUUGGUUGUGGUUAAUGUUUUAACUUAUACUUGAACUCAAUAAACUAGUUGUUAGUUAAUUAGUUAAUUAUUUGCCUUAGUUUAGGAUUGUGGCUCUUAUUCUUUAGUUUCAAAUUUCAUAUGUAAGCUAGUAUUUAAACUAGCAUCAAUCUUAAUAAUGGGACGCUGAAAUACUUUAUUUGGCAACUGAGAAAUUGUAUUUGAGAGGUAUUUGGUCCCUCAAAACACCAAAAACAUGUUCAUGGAGGUUUGGGUUUCCUUGGAUUAACUUAUUUAUCACUUGUUCUUUUUAUUUUAUAUUAUUUUCAGUUGCAGACAAUUUGUGCCUGAAAAAGAAUGUGAACAUCUUAACGGAUAGUUCAACACUAUAUUAUUGGAUUAAGAAACCACAAGAUACCAAGGACAUCCAAACCAACUAAGAGGAUUUGAAACAAUUACAGACUCAAAAUUAUACAAGUGAAUCCAAAACUAGAAUGUAAGACAGUGACUGGAGUCUAUGAAAUCAAACCUCUGCAUUUUAACCUCAUAUGUAUGAGAAUGAAGUCAUAACUUUGUAAAUUCUGGAUUUUUCAGCUGAAAUGAUCUCUCAGGCUGCAGCUAUAACAUGGCUUCUCUGAUACUACCUGCAGAAUGAAUUGGCGAUAACCAGACCUGAAGAUUUUGAUUUCUUUAUCUUUUCUACUUCAUUUAAUCGAUUAAUCUCAAUGGCUGUAAGGAUCCUUUUUUGAUGCAACAACGUGUGUGCUUUAGCGUAAACAAUUUAAUGCACCAAAAAAAAAAAGGCCUUAUUGAACUCUGCUGGUGGGUUGAUAAAAAACGCUAAUGGGGAUUGGGUUGCUGGAUUCUGUGCGAACAUUGGCAUUAGUUCGGUUACUAAUGCUGAACUCUGGGGUUUAUUCUAUGGUCUUGGUCUGGCUUGGAAGCUGGGGGUUCGGAAUUUGUUGGUUGAAGUUGAUAGCAAGUGCACUAUUGAACUACUUGCAAACACGAGCAAUAGUCCAAAUAGCUUUUCUUCACUGAUUCAAAGCAUCAGGAAGCUCCUUGAUAGGGAUUAGCAUGUGUGCAUUAACUAUAUUUAUCGUGAAGCAAAUUUUGCAGUGGAUUUUCUUGCGAAUUUUGCAAUGAGUCAACCUCUUGGUUUCCAUUUCCUCCACGAUCCUCCUCGUGGUGUUGUCCAUUGUUUAAAUCAUGACAUGUACGGGAAUGCUUUCCCUCGUUUUGUUUUUGUUUAGCCUUGUUGGCUCCCUUUUGUUUAAAAAAAAAAAAGGCCUUAUUGUAGUGCCUAAGAGGAUCUUAGUACUUCUUCACAAGAAUAUUUACUAGGAGAGUCAGCCAUUUAUGAAGUUCAUGAAUAAUCAAUCUUUUCCGCAAAACAAACCAAACAUACUGAGUGUCAAACAUGCCCAGCCUUAGAAGAGGAUUCCAAAGCAAGCAACAGAACAAAGACAGAAAAUACAUUCCACUGAAUCCAAGACUGGAAAGGCGUCACAAAUAUUAUUUAUUUUUUUGCACACAAUUCACCAACCAUGGCUGAAGCACCAAUCAAUCAACUCUCAAUUGAAUAUCUGAAAUGAUAUUUCCUAUUUUUGAGAGGACAGCAGAUACAAAGAAAGCAAAAAAUGUCCACCAUACGAUCAGGAUUUAUUUGUAUAUACAACAGAAGUGAAGACUAACUGAAAGGAUUCUGGUUGAAACUGAAACGCGGGCUGCAGUUAUGAUAUUUUCUGCUCGGACUUCACCUACACAAGUCAUUGGAGAAAUUGGUGAAAAAUAAAAUUUUUAUAUUACAUUUUUUAUCUUAACUAUUAAAACAAAUGAUGCCAAUGUCUGCUAGGCUCACGGUUGAACAUACAAGGGUACUGAAGUCUCCCCUGCGGCUAAAGAGGGUGAAAUGAUAAGGGUGACUAUCAGAAACUCUAAAGAGGGCUCAACUAUUUAACUGAAGGAGGAGGAAAAUAAAUAUAUUGAAGAGAAAGUAUACGAAAUUAGAUUAAAAAAAAAUUAAAAGUUGAAGAAAUUGGAUAAAAGGAGAAACUUACAUCGAAUUCAAUCGGGGCUAAUCAAAUUCCAUAAGGAUAUAGUUGAAUGCCAGACUGCUUCUUAUCCUCGAAUUCCCGUAGCUUUUGUCUCAACUCCGGCUGAGGCCACCAGCAAUCAAAUUUGUUUAAGCUCUUUAUGCACCAGAGCAGUUCAGGAAUCCUUUUCAAGUAAGCACAAGGGUUGAUAAUCAAGCAUUCUAGUUUUGGCAUGGCUGCAAUCCCCAUAGUCCACUCCUCUAGCCAUAGCAUAGAUUUCAUGUGCAACACCUUAAGCCUUGGAAAACCAUUAGAACCACAAGUCAGCUUUCUACCUGAAUAUGAGUUUUGCUUCAGUUUGAGCACUUGAAGAACCGGCAGCUGUUCUAGUGCCGGCAUGGGGUCAUCCAUUAGAUCAGUAUUAGAAAAACUCAGGUGGGUUAGACUUCGAGGAAAUAGGUUUUCAGCAAGGACGAUUUUGGAGUGCCGCGGCGUCUUGCUUUCAGUCGCCAGCUUCAAUGACUCAAGAGAGCUCAAUCUGCAGAGACUUUUGGGCAACAAAGAUUGAUAAUAACUUAAAUCUCCCCGUAUCUGGAGAUUUGGAAGAUUAGGUAGUCUGCCCAAAGGAAAUAUAUCGCAAAAGAAAUAAAUUUUCAACUCCGGACGGAUAUUGGAAGAGAACAAGAGAUCCCAAGUCCAAUACUCUGAGAAAUUUGAACAUUUUACCAAUUUUCUCCCAAUCUAUUGGGUCAAGGUGGUCGCUUUUUGAAGCAAAGUACAACAAAGAAUGCAAGUGCAAGUCAGAAUCAUCUAAGUAAGCGAAAUCGCUCUGUUUUUCAAAAACGUUGAUUCGUUUGAUAUUUUUUCGUGAUUUACCUUCUGGAUCAAUGAAAGGGAAAAAGAUAAAAUCCGCUUUGAAAGCCAUUACGAAUGACACGGGACGGCCACGGCCAAGAACAGAGCAUGUUUUGAUGGUGCCUCCAGCUCUUCUCUUCUUUGCUUCAACAAAACCUCUAUUGAUUAGUUGUUCUAAGUGCUUCUCAGCAGUUGCCUCAUUAUUGUCUGGAAUGAAACCUUCAGCUAUCCACAACUGAUAUAACUGCCUGGUGGAUAUCUCUAGGUGUGUGGGAAACACAGAUAAGUAGAGAAAACAAAGUUUCAAGCAAAAAGGUAACUUGCAAUAUGUGACUACUACAAUCCCAAGGGGUGUCUCCAAUACUUUCCCUAUAUUUUCUUCUAAUGAGAUGCUUCCAUGAUAUAAGAUGAGGAAAGGCCAUCCUUGGUAAGUAACUCUCAAUGGUCCUCCAGUGGGCACAAGAUCAAGCCGAAUGUUCUCUCCGUUUUCGAACUGAAAUGAGGUGACCAUCUCAAUUUCAGUGAGUGUUAUUAAUAUUCUACUUCCAUUCUGAUUAUCCGGAAGUAUUUCUCAAAUAACGUCCAAUACAUCAGUGCUCCACACGUCAUCAAGCACAAUCAAAUACCGCUUGGUCAUUAGAUAUUCAUGAAGAAUAUUUUUUUUCAUUUUAUAAUUUUUAUCCUUUAUUUCACUCAACCUAGAUGAAGGCAUUAGAAACUUAAUAAUGAUAUCUAAUAUUUGGUC
rnacentral:lncRNA from 1 species